GGCUGGAGCGCGAGGAGCCGCUGCCGCCGCCUCAGCCCUGAGGAGCCUUCACCCUCGGCGCCUGGGUGGCCGCUCGGUCUCCACAGGCUCCGCGCCAAGCGAGGUCCUCUGCUUCAGCCCUGCCCGGCCGGCGCGUCCGCCCCGCCCGAUCUCCGCCGCUGGCCCGUGGCUUCGCCGCCCGCCGCGGGACAGGUGAGUGAGUGGCCGGGGCCGGGGCCGGGGCCGGGGCACAGCGCACCCCGCGUCCCGGGAGGACGAGCCCCGCCAGCGGCCGAGGACCCUGAGGCCCGCGGCCCGCAAACUUCCCCCGGGCCGGGGCGGGCAGGGCCCCUGGCGCCCGUUGAGGGUCCCAGGCUGAGCAGGGUCCCAGGCUGAGCAGGGUCCCGAGGCAUGGGCCCGGGCCAAGGGGCGGUCCCAGGUGGUGGGCGAGGGUCCGUGGCGGGCGGGAGCCCGGGGCCGAACUGGGGCUCCGCGUGGCGGGCGGAAUCCGGGACUUGGACGGAGGUCCACGACGGGGCGGGGUCCUGCACUGGGCUCCCGGGCCGACGCGGUCCUGCGCGGAGGUCCGGGCGCGGGGCUGGAGUCCUGCGGAUCGCGGGUCCCGAGCCCGUGCAGGUGCUGCCGGGAUCCGGGCCGGGCGUGUCCUGGGCGGCCCCCGGCGGGGCGGGGGUCCUGAGCGCGUCUGGGCCCGGGCCGGGCAGGGGUCCUGCGGUGACCGGCUCUGGCUGGCGCCCAGGGUCGGGGAGCGAGCGGACGCAGCUGCAGCGCGCUCCGGAGGACCUGGGCUGCCUGCCUCCUGUCCUUUCCCUGAAUUGGGAAGUUGUCAGCGGUCAGGCUCCUCGCUCGCGGAUCACUGACCAGGGCUGGGUCGUCGCCCUGGACUUGGGAGGCCUUAGUUUCAAAACCGCACAAAUGCUUUUUGAAGAGAUUUCAGGAAAAACCCCGGACGGGUGGGUGGAUGCAGGGCGUGGGGUGCAGUCUCCCGAGCCAUCAACAGCUGCCCUUUUACUUCCCCUGACCCCCUCCUUUCUUUCCUCUCUUUCUGGUGACCCUGCUAAGGAAGAGGUAGGUUCCUCUGAUGCUGAUGCAGGUUCCUCUUUUUGGGUCACUGUACUUUCUUUUCUGGCAGAGAGGACCUUUUUCUUAUUGUCCCUACAAGUGUUUACUGAAAGUGUUUUCUUUUUCUUUUUUGCUUAGUAUUUUCCAAUUUUUUUUUCCCUACAUUGUCAGUAUGUUUCUUCUUUAGGAGAUUGGAAAAGUUGACCAAAGCUGGGACCUUCCCUCAUGAUCAUGGACUUGAAGGUCUACUUCAGUCUGUAUGUGAGCCAAUAGCGCUGUUGGUUAAUGAGGAUUUAUAGUGUGUGGUGCCCCAGAAGGAACUGUGGAUGCAGAGCCUUGCAGAACAGCCCUUUGAAUCUAGGUAGAUGACAUACAGUCCCUCCAUUCCAAGCCAAUCCUCUGUUUUAAGCCUUCACUAUGCCUCUGAAACUGAACUUGCCUCCUGAAGCAAACCGUUGCCCCUUCCUCUUCUUUGGACUUACUCAUAAAAGGUGUGCAGGCGUGAUUCCUUUUUGAGAACUAAUUGCCAACCUUUUCAUCUGCAAGAACAAUUAAUCAACUAAGAAAUCUCAGAGAAAUGUAGAUUCUAGAAGUGUUUGCAAAAUUGUGCACUCUGGGGGAUCAUUGUUCAUGAGAGGGGCUGGAGAAGCUUGGGACAGUGUCUUCAGACAUGAGAUCCGUCACCAGGCAGGGGGUUUCCAGACACAAGUGCAGUCAUGGACUACUGAGUGUUCCACUUUGAGUAGUGUCCUUUUCACUUGUGUGUAGACUCGGUUGUUAUACAGUGUAAAUUCAGUACCCAUGUUUUGGAAUAUAUAAAACUUUAUAAACUUAGUCAAUUUAUGCUCAAUUUUAAAGAUUUGAAAGAGUUUUGAUGGCAAAUGGGGUCUUUAUAACUGAAAGAUUGGAAGUCCAUCCUCAGCUUUCAGUGCCAGUGGCAAAGACUCUCACAGGCCCUGUAUGAGCCCACUGUCCAUGGUGCUGAAUUGGUGUCUUCUAUUUCUUCCUCUCACACCUUCCUUUCCAGUGUGAAAUUGAUUUUUAGAGUAUGUUUUAAAAUUAAUUUCAGAUUUCACAUUUUAAAAGAAAAGUUGAACAGGAAAGUUCUGCUGAACCUGAAUGGGAGAAUGCCUUUAAAACGCUCAAACCAUAUCAUUCUCUUUCUCUAUUUAAAAAAAAAAAAAAAAAAAGCUGAUAAUUAUGCUGACUCAGCAUUCUCUUUCUUUUGCUUAGUCUUCUCUCCAGGGGGAGUUUUCUUGCUUAAGUAUGAACAUCAAGUAACAAGCCAUUGAAAUUAAAUGAGACUGUUUUCUUAAUAACCACCUUCUAACAAAAAGAACCCUUUAUUGCAGUAUGCAUGUAUAUUUGUGUGCAUGGGGCAAUUUGUCUCCCUAAAAAGCACCAUUUGUUCCACCCUCACAUCUCCAGCCUUUUCAGGAGAGGGCUGAGUAUGUGGUGGUUUAUUGGUGGUUGCCAGAUAUUUCUGCUGUUAGAGCAGUGUCAGUUCUUUUAUAUAAUUUUGAGGAAUGUAAAUAAUUUCUGAUAAAUACUUUAUUACUCAUGGGGUUAAUUUUAUCAGUUAGUUUAGAAUGGCCCCACAGGUUAGCAAUAGAAAUGGUGUUGCUUGUGUUACAGAGAUUCUUCCACAUGAUAGUGGAUUUCAUAUUAAGUCAAGCAGUGGGUGAUUGAAGUGUUAUUGGUAUGAUUAUCUGAACUAAUUCAUAUUAAGCCAAGCAGUAGGUGAUUGAAGUGUUAUUGGUAUGAUUAUCUGACCUAAUUCCUUGGCCCUACUUGCUGUACACUUAGUCCAGUUUAUUUGUAACAUCUUUUUAAUUGAGGAAACUCAGCAAAAUGUCACUUAGAAUUCAGGAACACUCUGAGUGUCUCCUUUGCUAGUUGCUGUGACAUGGGAACCUCAGGGAAUGAGGCCUGUUUUUGUCAUUGAAGGGCUCACCAGUUGGACUGAGAGGGGCUUGAAAACAGAUGGUUUCAGGGGCACAAAGUGCUGCAGUUGGGAUAUACAGAAAGUCCAGUGAGAGUGUUGGGGCUUUGAGUGAUUAGACUGGGGAUCUCCUUCAGAGAGGAGGCAACCUGAGCCCUAGAGGAUGAAUUAUAAUUGUGUACAGAUAUAUAAAAAUUGAUUAGAUAAAGAUGAGAAGAUUGUUGUACUUGGGGAACAGAGUGUGUGGUGGUACAGAUGCUGGAGGUGUGAGUGGAGGUGUGAAGGAGUUGGAACCCUGUAGGGAAGAGGGGGGAAAGUGGAGCAAGGAUUGUCCGUAGGUAGAGUGAUGGUGUUCUAAGGCUGUCCACAUCCUAAUCCUCAGAAAACGUGAUGUGUCAGUUACUUGGCAAGGGAAGUUAAGAUAGUAGAUGGAAUCAGAUUGCUCACCAGAUGAUAUUAAAUAGGGAAAUGAUCUUGGGAUCCUCGAUUGUCUGGAUGGGCUCACUAAUCACAAGGGUCAUUAAAUGUGGAAGAGGGAAGCAGAAGUGUCACUGUCAGAGUGAUAUGAAGGGAGGAUUUUAGUUGUCUUUGCUGGCUUUGAGGAUGGAAGGGGAUCAUGAGACAAGGAAUGUGUAUAGCAUCUGGAAAAGGCAAGAAGAUGGAUUCUCUCCUAGAGUCUCCAGAACUGCAAGAUGAAUAUGUGUUGUGCUAAGUCACUAAGUUUGUGGAAAUGAGUUCCAGCAGCAGUAAGAAACUGGUACACACUGGAAUUCUGCUCUGUGCAGUCCUGGCUGGAAAGUUUGAGGAGGAAAUAACACAAUCAAAUUGACUUUAGAUGAUCAAAAUAACUCAGCUGCUGUUUGAGGGUGUUUGCCACAGUUGGCAAAAUAUGGUUCUGAGCCCCAGUUUUACCUCCUGGGCAAGACUGACAUAUGAUGCUGUCGUUUCUGACCUGAGCUCCACCUCAGUUUCCUGCCAGAGGUCUGCCCAGCCUUGCCCUUGCUGAUUUUCAUGUCCCUUUGGCUCACAUUUCCUCUCUGCUGGCUACUGGGGGAGAGACCAGGUGCAUGCAGCUAGGACUAUGGGGGUCACAACCCCAUUGCUGUUGUUGCCUCUCAUUCACACUAAUCCUUUGUAUCUUUUAAGUGUUUUAAUUGUUGUCAAUUGGGUAGGUAUGAAAUAUCUCACUGUUUUAAUUUGCAUUUCCUUGAUUACUGGUGAGUUUCAGGAUUUUUCAUCCUUUUUUUUUUUUUGGUCAUUUGGGUUUCCUCUCAUUUACUUUUGUAAUCUCAUCUUGUUUGUUCAUCUAUUGUCUCAUUUUUCUUUUUUGUAGCUUUUUAGAAGUUCUUUAUAUAUUCUGAAUUCUAUUUGUGUCCUAUUCUUUAUCCUUUAAAAAAUUCUCUUUUGAUGAACAGAUGUUAAUUUUAAUGUAGUUAAAUUUGUCAAUCUUUUCCUUAUGAUUUGUGGUUAUUGAGUCUUAUUUGAGAAAUCUUGUAUUACUUCAAGGUUGCAAGAUAUCCUUUUCCUUAAAAAAAAUUUAAAUAUUUUCUUUUAUAUUAUGCCUGGAACUUAUUUUUGUAUGGGGUAUGAGCUAGAGAUCCAGUUGUAGAAUUUUUCCAAAUUUUCUCCAAUUACUUUUAUUGAAUACCAUCCUUUCCCAGUGAUCUUCAAUACUGCCUUUGAAAUGUACCAAAUUUCACAAAUGGUACGAAUCAGUUUCCUGAUUCUCUAUGUACACAAUGAUAAUUUCUUUCUUCCUAGUCCUUAAGCUGUUAUGUAUGUUUUAUCUUAUUUACUUUACUUGCACCACUAAACAAAGUAGCGUAGAAAUUGGGUAAGAAUAUCAUUGUAUUGUUUUUCACUUGAAAGGCAAUCCUGUUAAAUCCUUAAUUGUGAACUUUGCUUUUGUGUUCUGGUAGAUUCCCUUUAUUAGGUUAUGGAUGGUUUCAUCUACUAGUAGUUUGAUAGAAGCUUUUUAAAAAAUUCUAGAUGGACAUAAUACCUUUAUUUUACUUUUAUGUGGUGCUGAGGAUCAAACCCAGUGCCUCAUGCAUGUUAGGCAAGCACUCUACCAUUGAGCACAGAAAUUAAAAAAAAAAAAUCAUAAAUUUUUAUCCAGUGUUUUUCUAUAUUUAUUUAUAUAAUUUAAUGUUUUUCUUCUUUAAACUGUGGCUGAGAUGAAGUAUUUUAAUCUUUUAAUUUUAUGCUACCAUUGAUUUCCUGAGGUAAACUGUACUUUGUCAAGAUAUGCUACACUAAACGGUUCUGUUGGAUUUCAUAUGCUAGUAUUUUACUUGGAGUUGGUGCACAGGCUCUUGAGGGUGCUGGCCAAUGCUGGCCUAUUCCCACAGUGACUCAUUCAGCUUUGGUGUCAAGAGGGUGCUUUAUCCUUUCUGAUAGAUUUUAAAGGGAGGAUAUUUAGUCCUCUGAAAAUUUGGAAAAUUGCUUCUUAAUGGUCUUAGUCUGGACUCUUUAGAAAAUGGAGACUUUUACAUGAGUAUGUAAUUGUUUUGGAAGAGCUACUGGUCUAUCUGCUCACAUUUCACUGGCCAGAAGGACUCAUUCUGGCACACUUGGUUUUAAAUGGGGUGGAGUCUUCCAUGUACCAAAGUAUAGGAAACUGAACACAGGUCACUCUUGAUAAUAUUCCCCAUAUUGGGCAGGCUAAUUGAUGUCCGUGCUACAGAGUGGGCCCAAGCCUGUCCUUACUGCCUUCCACGUCUUGUCCAUAGAUUUUUCAAGUGUGUUGAUCAUCAAGGGGCCAUUAGAAUGUGAAGCUAGGUAGCCUAGGUAGCUUGUGUUUGUUGUGAGCAAAUGGUCUGGUUAGUCUGCUUUGCAUUACUAUGAUGAGAUACCUCACGUAAGUCACUAAAGAGUAAAGAGAGGUUUAUUUUGGCUCAUUGUUGUGGAGAUUUAAGUCCAAGAUUAGGUGAACCCCUGAGUUUAGGCCUCUUAUAUAUAAAGUCCUGUCAUGCUAGGAUAUUUGAUUUACAGACUCUCUUUGUGGUUUGAGGAAGUAAGGGGCCAUGUUGUGGAAGCACAUAUGGCUAGAAACUGGGUAUCUUCUGGGAGUUGAGGGUGGACUCCAAGGACUGACAGUAGGAAGCAGGGGACAAUCAGCCUAUGGUGCAAGGACACAAAUUCUGUCAGUCACCAUGGCAAACUCUACCAGUCAAGCCUUCAUGUGAGCACACAGCUUGGCUAGUACCCUGAGUGCAGCCUGUGGGACCCCAGGCAGGGGACCUGCAAGCUGCUCAGCUUCCUGACUCAGAGACUGUGAGAUAACAACUGUGUCCUGUUUAGGGAGCUGCACUAGUGAUAACUUGCUAUGCAGCAAUGCACAGCUAAUGUGUGGAUCUCUGUGACCUCCCAGUGCUCUCACUAGAAGUGGAUUUGGGUUGGUGAACAGUGUUCAGAUCUAUGAAGUAAUCAGUUUGUCAUGUAUUUUAUCCUUUAAAACAUUUUUAGAAGUAAUACAAAUGUUUUCAGUAGAAAAAUUGGAGCAAACAGAAAAGUAAAAAAGAAGAUGAACAUCAUUCAAAAUCUAACCAUACAAAGAUAUCCAGUGUUUUUCCUACAUAUAUGCAUGAUAUGCAUAUCCUAAAGUUGGGAUUCAUUCCAUGAUGUAUUUUAUAAAUGAAUAUUUUCGUUUGAGCUCAGGAGAUAACUUUGUGGUAGAGCAUGUGCUUAGUACGCCCAAGGCCCUGUAUUCAGUCUCAGCAUCAAAAAAAAAAAAAAAAAACAAGUAAAUAAAUAAAAAAUAAAGCAUAAAAAUAUCCAGACCAGACUUUUAGUAGCUUGUGGUGCUUCCUUCUGUCAUCUUUCAUUCUUCUGACAUGCUAUCCUGAAUGGCUGCAUACUAUUCCAUGGGUGUCCAAGUUCAUUGAGCCACUUCAAUAUAGCUGAACAUUUUUAUUGCUCUAAGAUAUGCACCAUCAUAAAUAAUGCUUUGGUAAAUAUUCUAUAUAAAAAUCAGCAUGUUUCCUGCUGAUCUUCUGGAGGAUAAAUUUCUGAAGACAUAACUAUUAGGCCAACGCUUGCAAAUGUUUUUAAGCCUCUUGGUACUUAGCCUAUCCAGCUUCCAACAUUUCUAAAAAAUAAUGUAAAAGUUGGAUGUCUAUUUCUAUAACACGCCAGGUUGGGAUGGGACAAAACUAUUGAUUUUUGAGCAUUUAGGUUCCUAUUUUCUUAACCCUGUUUUCAAAGUGCUUUUAAAUUAUUCAUUAAAGUGCAAUAUGGAUUCUAUUUAUAGACAUGUUUGUGUGUGAGACUGCUCUCUUAAUAUUUGGGAAAAGGCUUAUGAAUUGCUGUUAUCACAUCCCUAUCUUUGUAAAUCUUUAUCCAUUCCUCUCCACCCUUUCUUUGUUCUUAGUCAACGAAAUAGAGAUACUGAGACACAGAGGCCUCGUGGCCUUGUGUUACUCAGACAAAAUGGCUGUUCUGAUCCAGCCUUGUUCUUAUCUUCUUGCCAUUUAUUAGCUAGCUGACAUCAUAAAGAUGAGAGGUCAAAUAUUAAUUAUUAAGUCAAAAAUAUUUCUGUAAUCCUAAAGUAAUGGUUGUUUAUUUGGAAUAUUUCUAAAAUAAAGACUAGCAUCCUAAGCAAAAUAAAAAUCUGGACAGUCAAAAAGAAAAUCUGUCACCCGCUGAUGACCAGUGUAUAAACAUAACUUGGUCAUGCUGCCUGUUCCUGUACUGUCUGGCUGGUCUUGAUGGCUGAUGUGUUGGAAUGUUUGCAUGUAAGCCUAUCAGAGAAACUGGUGAUGAUUUUCCUUUCUUGUGGCUGUCCUCUUUAUAAUCUGAGAUGAAUAUUCAGUUUAUUAAUUUGCAGCUUUUUUGUUUUUCUAGUAUGUGUACUUAAAGGUGAUGUAUUUCCUUAUAGAUAACACUUGAACCACAUUAUACAGAGAUUGAUUUGAUACAUUUCAUUAUUGUUUAAUAUAUUUUCUAAUUUCCAUUAUGAUUUUUCCUUUGAUUUGUAGGUAAUUUAGAAUAGUUUAAAAUUUCCAAACAUUUGAAUAUUAACAUUGUGUUUUCCAGCAAAAUUACAUUGCCCAAAGAUCUUUCCAUGAUUUUAAUUCUUUGAAAUUUGCUGAUAAGCUUUUUGUAGAUAUUUCUGUGAGCUGCUUGAAAAGAAUUGGGUUGAAAGUAUUAUAUAUUCUAUUUAGCUAAGUUGAUAAGUGUAUUACUCAGAUCUGUUUUCUUAUUGGUUGAAGUUUAGUUCUUUUUUUUUUUUUUAAAGAUAGAGUGAGAGAGGGAGGGAGAGAGAGAGAGAGAGAGAGAAUUUUUUUUUUAAUAUUUAUUUUUUAGUUUUCGGCGGACACAACAUCUUUGUUUGUAUGUGGUGCUGAGGAUCGAACCCGGGCCGCACGCAUGCCAGGCGAGCACGCUACCGCUUGAGCCACAUCCCCAGCCCCUGAAGUUUAGUUCUUGUAUGUUAGUAAGAUAAUUAUACAAUUUCAUUAUGAUUUUGGAUUUGUCUUAUUUCUCCUUGUAGUUCUGUCAAUUUUUAUUUGUAUAUUUUGAGGCCGUGUUAUUAGGGGCAUGCAAUUUAAAAUUGUUGUGUCUUCCUGAUGAAUUGAGUAAUCAGCAUGAAUGUUCUCUUUUAUCCUUAGUAACGCAUGUUUGUCUUUAUGGUGGAUAUGUCUGAUGUUCAUAAAGCCAGACCAGACUUUUCAAGCUCAUAUUUUCAAAAUAUCUUUCUUUUCCAUCACUUUACUUUUAACGUUACUAUAGUGUUAUACUUUGGAUGUCUCUUUUUCGAGAAAGGAGUAUAUUAGAUGUUUUCUUCUAAUCUGACAAUUUUAUCUUUUUGUUAGAACAUUCAAUUCAUUUACAUUGAAUGUAAUUACUGAUACAUUUCAGUUGAAAUCCACAAUCCUAUUAUGUAUUUUUCUUACAUUUUCUGUUUAUUGUUCUCCUUUCUUGCAUUAUUUUAAAUUGAUGUUAUGUUAAAAACAAUCAUCCCAUUUUCCGCCCUCUCCAGGGAUUGGAGGUCAGACUCUAUUUUUCUUGUUCAUAGUAGUCACCGUGAGUUAGAUGAUAUGCUGAUAGCUUCUUCAGGCACACAGUGGCACCCUCCCUUCCUCUGGAGCACUUGGGCUUCUCUCACCCUCCAGGCACAGAUGUGCUUGUUGCUGUGCAUGUAAUUUCCUAUGUUCUUUUAAGUUCGGCAAAACGAUAUUAACAGUCUUAUUAUGUUUAUAGUAUUGGUUUUAACUGCAUAUAUGAACAAUAAUGUUAACAGCAAAUGUUCAUUUAGAUUUGUUCACAUUUUUAUCCUUUCAUUGCUCUCAGACAUUUCUGACUUUUAUCCUGGGAUCGUUUCUCUUCUGCCCAAAGAGCCUUCUUUAGAGAUUUCUGUACAGCUGGUCAACAGUAUUUUUUUUCCUAAACAUAUUUCUAUUUCAACUUAAAAAACUUAAAUGUAAUUAGCAUACCAUAAAAUUCACCCUUUUAAAGUAUACAACUCAGUGGAUUUAGUAUAUGCAUAUGGUUGUGCAACCAUCACCGCUACCUAAUUUCAGAACAUUCUCAUCAUCUUAAAGAGAAAUGGCAUGCAUUUAUGGUAACCCCGUACCUCCCUUCCCCAGUCCUCUGCAGUCCUUGGUCUACUUUUUAUCUCUAAGGAUUUGUCCAUUAUGGACAUUUAAUAUGGAGUCAUAUAACAUGUGACCUUUUGUCUCUGGCUUCUUGUACUUGGCAGAAUAUGGUCAAGCUUUGUCCAUGUUCUAGUAUGUGUCAGUAAGUAUUUCAUUCCUUUUUGUGGCUGAAUGACAUACCAUUAUAUGGACAUGUGACAUUUAUUUGUUCAGCAGGUGUCAUUUGGGUUGUUCCCUUUUCUGGCCAUCAUGAAACAUGUGCCUAUGUGCUAUAAACAAUCAUGUACUAGUUUUUGUAGGAAUCUAUGUUUUUAGUUCUUGGUUUAUACCUAGUAGUAGAAUUGAUGGUCAUAUGGUAACUUUUGUUAAACUUUCUGAUUAAUUGCCAAAGAGUUUUAUAAAGAUGCCAUCCCAUUCCUACCAGCAAAGUGUGGGAAGCCAGUUUCUCCACAUCCUCUCCAACACAUCUUAUUUUCCAGUGUCUUUGAUGAUAGUCAUCCCAGUGGGUGGGAAGCGGUAUCUCACUGUGGUGCUGGCCAGCAUUUUCCUAAUGAUGAAUGUUGAGCAUUCGUGUGCCUAUUGGCCAUUUGUAUACCUUCUUUAGAGAAAUGGCUAUUUAGAUUCUUUGUCUAUUUUAAAAUUUGAUUGUCUUCUUUUUCUUGAGUUGUAGGAGUUCAUUAUAUUUUCCAUCUACUGGUUCUUUAUCAGAUACAUUGUUUGCAAAUAUUUCCCCUCCUAUCCUAAGCAGUCUUUUUACUUUCUUGAUAGUGUCCUUUGAUGCAGAAAAGGUUUUCAUUUUGAUGAAAUCCAGUUUAUUUUUUAUUUUGUUGCUUGUGAUUUAAGUGUUACAUUUAAAACAACUUUGUUGGGAUGGGGCUAUAGCUGGUAGAGUAGUAGAGUGCUUUCCUAGCCUGUGUGAGGCCAUGGAUUCCAUCCCAGCACCACAAGAAAACGAAAAAGCAAUCAAGAAGACCACAUUGGUUAAUCCCAGGUCAUGAUGAUUUACACCUACAUUUUAGUCUGAGAGUUUUAUAUUUUUAGCUCUUAAAUUUAGAUUUUUAAUGUGUUUUGAGUUUUUUUUUUGAGAGAGGGUCUUACGAUGUUGCCCAGGCUGUGGCUAACCCCUCCUCCUCCUCCUCCCUCAGCCUCUCCAGUGGCUGGUUAGUUCUUAUAUAUGGUGUGAGGUGCCGAAUUUCUGUUCUCGCUACUAAAAGGCUCAGGGGUCACUCCAGUUGAACUGGGCUAACUGGGCUGUGCAAAAUAACCACACAAGAGACACAAAUACCUUUUUUAUUGGGGUCGCUUUGGUGGCUUCUCUGACGUAAGGGUCUGCAGGAAGAGAGAGAGAGCACACGCUGACCCCUUUUUUUGAGGAGAAGCUAUUCAAAUGAGGCAAGGGGUCAGGUUUCAGGGGCCUGAGUCUAACUUCAUGAUGUCCACUGUCAGCAGGUUGACUGACUUCUGGGUAGGCCACAACUGAGGGCACAGUAAGAGAAGGGGACACAUACAAGGCACUUCAAUGGAAGAUUCUAUCCUAAAUAAGGCAAGGGGUUAUAUUACAAAAGAACAGGUGAGCGUAGCUCCACCCAUGGGGCUGUAAGAAAGACAAGCCUGGGCAGGAAGACACAAGUCCCUCGAAUCCUAGAAGAACAGGGCAGUCUAGCAGCAUGGGUGCCUGACUGCCAUAUCGCCCAGCAGGGGAGUUGACUCUGUCACUUGGAAGGUUGGUCUCCCACAGUGAGGGAGGAGGAUGUUUACUUCAUUGUUUUGCAUGUUGGCUAUCCAGUUCCCAGGUAUUAUUUGUUGACAAGACUAUUUCCCCAUUGAAUGGUCUUAGCACCUGUGUCAAACAUUAAUUGAUCAUGGACUGGGAUUGUGGUUCAGGGGUACAGCACUUCUUUAAUCCAUGGCCUAGCAUGUGUGAGUCAGUGGGUUUGAUUCUCAGCAUGACAUAAAAAAAUAAAUAAAAUAAUGAUAUUGUGUCCUUCUACAGCUAAUAAUAUAAAAAAAAUAAUUGAUCAUAAAAUAUGAGUUGAUUUCCAGACCUUCAAUUCUAUUUCAUUGACCUACAUAGCUUCACACAGUCUUGAUUAUUGUAGCUUGGGAAGCAUGAGUCCUUCAACUUUGUUCUUAAGACUGUUUGGGCAGUUCCUGUCCCUUGCAUUACCAUAUGAUUUUUAGUAUUAAUUUGUCCAUUUCUGCCAAAAAAAAAAGGGCAGCUAUAAUUUUGAUAGGGAUUGCAUUUGAAUCUGAAGAUCAGUUUGGAGAGUGCUAUGGUUUGGAUGUGUGUGUGUUUUUUUUUUUUGGUACCAGGGAUUGAACACAGGAGUACUUAACCACUUAGCCACAUCUCCAGUUCUUUUUUUAAAUUUUUUAAAUUUUGAGACAGGGUCUUGCUGAGUUGCUUAGGGCAUCACUAAAUUGCUGAGGUUGGCUUUGUACUUUUGACCCUCUUGCCUCAUCCUCCUGAGUCUCUGGGAUUACAGGUGUGCACCACCAUUCCCGGCUUGGAUGUGUUUUGUCUCCCAAAGGAAAUUUGGCCCCCAGUGUAAUGGUGUUGAGAGGUGGUUCAACCUUUAAGAGGAAGGGCCUACUAGGUGGUGAUUAGAUCUUUAAGAGGGAUUUACACUCUUUUUCCUGGUGUGCUUUCUUAGUCUUGAAGAUAUCUCUGCAAGAGCAGAUUGUUAUAAGAUAAUCUGGCAUCGCUCUGAAUCUCUCCUGCUUCCUUGUUUACUCUUGUGUCCCUUCUGCAUGUGACAAGUUCUUUUUCUGCUUCUCUGCAACAUUGUAGCACAGCUAGGGAGACCCCAGGACAUUGGCUGUAUAUUGUUUGGACCUUCUGGCCAUCAGAAUCAUGAGCCAAACAAACCUCUUUAUUUUAGAAGCUACCCAGCUUGAGGUGUUUUGUUACAGCAACACAGAAUGGACUAGAACAUAGCAUAUUGUCAUCUUAACAAUGUUAAGUUUCCCAGUCCAUGUGCAAGGGACUUAUUAGCUAUAAUAUUUUUUAAUGGAUUCUUGAUGAUUUCUAUCUUUUAAUUAUGGUUUCCUUUAGUUCUUUAAACAUAUUUAAUGCUGCUGUGAACAUGAAUAUACAACUAUGUGAGUUUCUGCUUUUACUUCACUUGUAUGCAUACCCCAAAAUUGUGAUUGCUAGAUCAUAUGCUAAUUCUGUUUUAUUUUUUGAGGAUCCACCAUAUCUUUUCCUUAGCAGUUGCACCAUUUUUUUAUUCUCAUCAGCAAUAUACAAAAGUUCCAGUUUCUCCACAUCCUUGUCUUGCUACUUUCUGGGACUUUUUUUUUUUUCUUUUUCUUUUUUAUAAUAACCGCAACUGUGGGCACGAAGUAUAUCUCAUUGAGAUUUUGGUUUGCAUUUUUGUAGAGAUUAGUAAUAUUGAGCAUCUUUUCAUCUGCUAAUUAGCUAUUAGCAUGUCUUCUGAGAGAAAUGUUUAUUCAUCUUUUGCCUAUUUUUAAUUGGGUUGUCUGAAUUUUUGUUGUUGCAAGUGUGGUUCUUUUGAUAGUCUAUGGGGUGAUUCCAACUUUUUGUGUCAUUGUUGCUGUUUUGUUUUCUGUGAUUUCCACUGUGUUUUUCCUCAUGGUGUCUAAUUUCUUCAUGUGUGCUAGACAUUGUAUUUACAGAAUCAUUUUCAGGGAUAAUGUGAGACUUAGAAUGAUUAUUUUUAGAAUGGUUUUCCAGUGUUCUUUAGUGUUAAAGGAGCCACAUUAAGCUACUAAGCCUGAGGCCAUCUAAAGGAACAGAACAAACUGCUGCGUCUUGGAGGGCUGGCUCACUUCUCAACUUUAAGGUUCAGCCUUUUGGCUUCUCAGUAUCUGACUCACAGUAGUGUGGUAGGGUGGGAGGGAGCCCUGAAAACUCACUAGUGUGGACAGCUGCCCUGAAAACUCACUAGUGUGGACAGCUGAGCCCUCUUUUGAGCUGAGGAAUCUCCAUGGGUCUUUGCUACUCAGACAUUUAUGGGCUUAUAUCUUUCUCCCAGGGCACAAGGGGUGGCUUUUCCACUUGAUGCGGCUCAUAUUUCUGGACUGUCUCUAUACGCUUUUCUGUCUCUCUCACAUUGGUCAGUUUUGACCUAAGUUUGUCUCUGUGAUGCUCAGCUGAGCAGAGUGGGUACUAGUCUCCCUGAAGGCUGGCGUUCCCAUUUAUUCUCUCUGUGACUGGAGGUUGGGCACGUGCAUGGUCUGCUUUGAGGGGCUGGGGUAAUAGUUUUGCCAAAUGCUUUGCAGCAUGAAGUAGGUCUCAUCACCACCCGCCUGACAAUGGUUUUUAUUUUGGCAACACUCCUCUUCAAAGAGUCCAUUUCCGUAUUAAUUCAUCUCUGAAUUAAUGAUAGAGAAUUUAAAAGAGGAAAAUUUAUGAUCUAAAUUCUUUCUUUGGGAAUUAUUUGACCCAUUUUCUAUUUCUUUCUGAUUCCUCACUGCUUGGGAGUGAAGCAGUGUACUUGUGUAGUUCUGGGCAGGCCUGGUUGUCUGUCCUUUCUCGUUUCACCUGCAUUCACAUCAGGAAAUCAAGCCAUUUCUGAUCUUUUUUUUUUUUUUUUUUAAAUAUUUAUUUUUUAGUUCUCGGCAGACACAACAUCUUUGUUUGUAUGUGGUGCUGAGGAUCGAACCCGGGCCGCACGCAUGCCAGGCGAGCGCGCUACCUCUUGAGCCACAUCCCCAGGCCCCAUUUCUGAUCUUUUAUAGGCAAGGAAAACAAGAUACUUCACUUCUUUUGGAAUAGGGUAGAAUGUAAAUUGGUGAAGACAGUGGUUUGACUCCAGACCGUAGUGAUGUGGGAGGUUUGCAGAGGCUCUUCUUGCUCUGGGUCUGUUUCUGCUGAGGAAAGGCAGACACAAGUGCCUCUCUUGGGGCUGUUCUGGAAGUGAAAGGAGAUGACUGACAUGCAAACAUAUUCAAUGGUCAGGCUUUUUGGGUAGAGAAGACAUUAUUAUUUCAUUCUGAAGUACUUUUAGGGGAUAAAUAAUUUACUCAGCCCACUAAGUUUAUCCUUUGAGGCCAAGUGCUCAUGCUCUCCCAUGUCGAGCCAGUUCAGGAACAGGGUGGAGGAGGGAAGCAGUCCUGAGAGUGCGCACCCUGAGUGUUACUGAGCUGGGUGCUGUGAGUCAGCUGUGCAUUACCAUAGAUGAAAUGCAUGUGGCAAUUAACUUAUAAAGGAAAGGAUUUAUUCUGACUGAUGGUUCUGAAGGUUCCAGUCCAAUAUUGGGUUGCCCCAUGACUUUAUGCUUGUGACCAGGGUACCUUGUGUUAGGAGUAAGCGGUGGAGCAAACUGCUAACAAUUUGAUCUAGGAAGCAGAGAGGGACUGAGGGACCUGGGAUCCACAGUUCCCUGUGAGGGUACACCACCAGUGACCUAGGGACCUUCUGCUAGACCUCACCUCCUAAAGUUCCUUUACCUCCCAAUAGUGUCACGGUGGAGAUUGCUCCUUCAACACAUGGACUUUUGGGGGAUAUGCCUGUAUUCAAAACAUAGCAAGUAAUGUUCCAGAAAUUUAUUCCUAGUUAUCUUUAAGCAAGUCAGAAACCGUCCAUAGUGACGAAACUUCUAGAGAGCAUAGCUUACAGUAUCUGUGGCGUGACAGCUAGCAGUGUCCAUAGUACUUGGAGUCCCUGACAGUUUGAAAUUUUGUGGAAUUUUGAACAUAUGAGAUUUUAUAAUAGAACUAUUGCAUUGAUCAGCAUUUUGUUACUAUAGAUACCUGACACAGCCUGCUUGUGGAGAAAAGGAGAGUCAUUCAGCUCACAGUUCUGGAAGUUCAAGCCCAAAUGGACUAGUGCAGAUUCUGUGGCAGGGGCCAUCCCUGGCUGUAUCUUCUAAUGGUGCAGAUAAGAAUGACAGGAGUGUAUGUGUGAGCAAGCAGGUCAUGUCUCAACCAAGAGGCUAGAGAAGACAGGAGAGGCAGGCCUGCUCCUUUUAUAACAGCCCCCCCUUUCUUUUCUUUUAAAUAUAUAUAUUUUUUAUUUGUUGAUGGACCUUUUAUUUUAUUCACUUAUUUUCCUAUGAACUGCUGAGAAUUGAACCCAGUGCCUCACACAAGUGAGGCAAGUGCGCUGCCAUGGAGCCACAACCCCAGCCCCUAUAAGAGCCCUUUUGAGAGAUCUCAGGGGCCACAUGUGACUACUUCACACUCCCAAAGAUCCAAGGGCCUCCUACUGGGCCCCACCUUUUCAAGGUCCCGCCACCUUGUAGUAUUGCCUUCCUGAGGAAUUAGCUACCAGCACAUGAAUCUUUGGAGGGUACAAGCUACAUCUGACUGUGACAACCUUAUUUCUUACUGACGUCUUCCAUACCUGUUUGAUUAAACUGGCACUGAAUUGUUUUGAUUUGAUGAAUUACCUCAAAAUUUUGACAUGAUGAAUUAUCUCAAAAUUAAACAGACAGUAAUCAAGUGAGUUACUUUGCUUACUGAUAAAUGGGUCACCUUGAGAUAGCCACAUUUUCUUUAUCCAUUUAUCUGUGGAAGUUUACCUAGGUUGGUGCCAUAGUUUAUCUAUUGUGAAUUGAGCUGCUAUAAACACUGAUGUGGCUGUUUUACUAUAGCAUGCUGAUUUUAAGUCCCUUGGGUAUAAGACAAGGAGUGGGAUAGCUGGUUCAAAUGGUGUCAACCCUUGAUUCCUACAAAGGGCUGUGACCCAUGGUUGGCUCUUUCCCUACCUCCUGUAGAUGGGUGCAGCCCCCACAUAGCAUCUCCGCUUCCCCUGGCACAUUUGAGUGUUCACAGGGCUUCUUGUUUUGGACAUGCUUCACAUGGCACUCAUCAUCCCUGAUUCUCUUGCCCUGGGUGUCAUUGCAUUGUCUAGGUACAACUUCUCCUGGGUUUAUAGGGAUGCCCUGGAGUCUAUGGGAUGUCCCUGUUGUUCUGCUGUCUUUGGCAAGGCCCACAAAACUUUCAUCUGGAGAACAGCUUGUCUGCUCCACAUUCUCAUUGCAGGGACAGAUCUUCUUCAGGUAUGCAUGCCCCUACAGACACGUAUGUGCUGUCAAGGAAGCCCACAGGAGAGGACCUAGUCCUCUUACGUGCAGUGCCCGUUAGGUAAGGAUAAGAUUGGAAUAUCAGACUGGAAGGGAGCUUGCAAGUCACUACUGAAAAGAGGAUCAAAUGCAACCCAGAGAGGGCAGCAAAUAGGAUGAGUGGUCAGGUGGCUCUGGUUUGUGAAUGCUCAUUAAGGAUGGCUCAGGGAUGGGCACAGUUUAAGUAUAGGUGAAGGCAGAACUUGGACUCUCCCUCUUCUUACCCCUGUCGUACACACCAGUCAGUAGGACUCUUUAAUAUAUGGAUUCUCAGAACUCCCUGGAACCAUGUAUGGUAGCUUGCACCUGAAAUCCCAGCAACUUGGGAGGCUGAGGCAGGAGGAUCACAAGUUCAAAGCCAGCCUCAGCAACUUAAGGCCUUAAGUGGUUCAGUGAGUUCAAUCCUGGUACUCAAACAAACACUUCCUGAAAACCUUCUAGGGUGCUUGUAAGGUCAGACUGUGUUUAUAAUGGCAUUGUGGCAUUAUAUUACUUUUUCCUUAUUGAAAAGUGGUGACAGGAACUUUAGCAGAAACCAAGAUGUCAGUACCCCAUGCUCUAUUGACAGUCACGAUGCUCUUCAUUGCUACCCACGCACAUUCAAAAAGCCAGCACCAUUUAAGACUGUUCCAAUGAAGCAGUAAGAAUUGAUUUUAUUGAAAUUUGACCCUUGAACUAUUUGGAUGGUUUGGCACUGUUUUGUCCCCCAGGGCUUCAUGUGUUGGAGGCUUGGUCCUCAGUUUGGCCAUGUAGAGGUGGUGGGAUAUCUAAGAGGCAGAGCCUAGUGGGCGGUCCUCAUAUCAUGUGGGUAUUCAUAGGUAGUAGUUCCUGUGGAGCUCUGUGUUUGUUCUUGUGAGGGGGAGGUGUUGUAAAAGCCUGAGCCUGAUCUUUGGUCUGCCUUCCUGCUUCCUGCCUUCUGAUAUGAUUGCACCCUUCCAUGUGGCUCCCACCAUCCUGAUGCCAUUGCUGUUAGGCUGUUACCAUUGGGGGACCAAUGGGUUGUCCAGUCUUGGACUUUUAGCCUCCAAAACUGUGAGCCAAACAAAUCUGUUUUCUUUGCAGAGUUACCCAGCUCUAGGCAUUUUGUUGUAGUAAUGAAAAGUGGACUCAAAAAGUACCUCUUUUUAAUAUUGUUAGAAUAUUACGGAGUUGGAAUUUGCAUAAUGUACUUCUGCCAGUGGAACACAGCAGUUGUUUCAAGGGAGAGUGCUUGUGUCUUCGUUGGGUUGGAAACUAAACUAGCUCCUCUUUCCCAUGGAAUGCCAUUUUUACUUUGAGGAAUAACUGACAAACUGGCUGCUCAGCCAUGUGUUUUUGGCAGUGUCUGGAAAUUGAACUAUGUGAACCUCUUACUUCAAAGGAAAUAACUGCCUGUGUUUGUUGCAAAUGAUAAAAUUUGAGUUUUCAGGCCAAAGUUGGAAUUUUGGAAAACUUGUUUCUGCUGUGGUGAGCUUGAUGGCUUCCCAGUACUUAUAGACAUCUAGGAUGAGGUUAGUGAUUCUUUAAUAAGUGUGAGUUUUAGACAUUUAUGUUGACAUGUGUUAACAUCAGAAGAUCUGAGUCACUCGGUGGACCUGUUUUCCAAACUGACUGAUGUUUUUUGUUGCAAAAGCUAUGCAUGGGUAAAAUAUUGGUUCAAAAUGAAAGAUUAUUAGAUAAUGGUCUCCAGUAGAGUUGUCAUAGUUUAUUGAUAGGGUUUCAGAUUCCAGGUGUUUUUUGGUGGUACUGGGGAUUGAAUUCAAGGCCUCAUGUAUGCUAGGCAAACAUUCCACCAAUGAGCUAUAUAUUCCCAGCCCUGCAGAUGAUCUGUAAGAGAUGACUAUUUGCCAGGUUUCUGUGUUUCAAUCAAGGGAGCCCACCAUAAUCUGACAUGCUAUUCAGAUCCUCUCCCGUGUCCCCUGUUGUGUCUGUGUAAGAUUGGGCCUUUCUCUAGGUCUGGUGCAGUCUGGCAGGUUGGAGCCCUUGGAUGGGAACUUACAAGUCGUCACCUGGUGUCUGGAAGCAGAGCUCAUGGAGAGGUUGUCACUGCUAUGUAAGCCACUCUCUGUGAGGCAUGCCAGGACUCAGGCCUGAGUCUGGGUGCUAGGUGAGCUGUGUGCCGUUUGCUCCUGCUGAGAGUUGCUGCAGUGUUCUUAGUAGAAAAACAGUUGAGUGCUGGUGGGAAUCUGGGGAGUAGGGAAUUCUGAGCAAUUAUACUUUUCUUGGCUUCCAGAUCAUCACUAAAAAAUUUCCUUAUGCCAUAAGAUUAACUUUCUGAUUUAUUCUCUAGAAUUUGUUAAAGUGAGUGAGUCUUUCUAAAAGACAGGAUUUUGUAACUUAGGGUGUCACGGACCACAGGACAUUAGCAAUCUAAGGACCCUGAGAAGUCAUUUGUUUUUGAUCUCCCACCUCAGAGCAGUGCGCCUACAGAGCUUCCCUUGCCAUGGAUAUGACUCCCACCAGCUGGAGUGAACAGUUGCUGGCAUAAGUGGGCCCUGUCCCUCAGCUUCUUGGUGGUAGGAAGGAGGUCAGAAAGCUUGGUUGAGGACAAGAGCCCCAGCUAUGGCAAUCUACGUACAACUUUGGACUCUUGCUUGCUGUGAAGGUUGUGUCAGUCACCAGUAGGAAGAGCAUGUCAUCCAGUGAAGGGAUAAUGUAAGAACAUACGUUCUCAGUGCCAGAGCUGUGUGUCAAUGAGGUCUCUCCUGGGCUCAGCAGAGGGAGGCACAUUGAACUAUGACUGUCUUCUGAACUCUAUCACUUCUUGUUUAAAAGUCUGCUAUAGGAGCCUAAGCCUCUGUGCAGGAUCUUCAGAGAGAAAAAGUAACAAUAGUGCAGAAAGUGAUAUGGAACUGUGAACCUUGGGUGUUGUUGGAGCUCUGGGCUGCUCCCUGAGGGGACUCACUUCUGAUGCCCUCAGAAGUGUCACUUGGGUGUCUGUGCUUGUUUUAUUUAAUUCCUCUCUGACAUCUUUCAUUUCUUUGGUAUAUGAAGACUUUCCUUCUACAUAAAGUGUGGGGCUGUGGCAGGUGAUGUUAAUGAGCUUGCUGGUCUUUAAAUAGUACAGCUCCUAUAAACAGAAUUACCUGCUUUAUAGCCUGAUUUUGAGGAUCCUGGAUGGCUGGUUCGCAUUAGAAAGGCAGUAAGAUGCUCCACCCCUACUGUGAGAAGACUGGCUGGGAAUGCACACCCCACACCAGAGACGCUUCCUUUGGGGUGGACCAGAUCAUCCGUCAGGAUGCAUUAAACUCCGGUUGCAUUGAAAUGAAGAAUGGCCAUGCCAGCAUCUUCUCCUUGAUUAUCGGAAACUUAGUCAUUUGUUCUCUGAGUCAGCUUAAUGGCAUAUAAUGUUCACAUCACAUUCUUUUGGGGCUGGGCCAAAAAGCCAGUAUGCUUGCCAGCACUUCAGCAAUGAGCUAAUCAGCCCUUGGCUCCCGUAUUCCUGGCCCAGAGCUCCUCUGGAAUUAGUGCUAUCACUGCAUCAGACCAGAGUCCUUACGAAGAUUGCUCUUUCUUUUCCUCUGGGUCACAUGCUGGUCCUUGCUUUCACCAGAUGAUACCAGACCCCUUCUGUCCCAGAAAACCUUCCUAGGCUGAGCUCUGAGAUGUGAUGCUAGGAAGUCAAUGCAACGUAUUAUUGAAAAGCCUGUCCUGGUGGCUUGUGAGGUGGGCAGUGGUCCCCACCCUCAAAGAGCAUGUCAUCCAGUGAAGGGAUAAUGCAGGAACACAUAUAUCCUCAGUGCCAGACAGUGUCAAGUACGCAAGCCCCAAAAGAGCAACAGACAGAUGUGGUGUUCCCAAGAAGCAGGCACUUUGCAGGAAUGGAGGCUGCCUUGGAGAGGGUGGGACUUAUGGUUUGAUGUUGGAAGGUCUGUGGAAGGGGCUGACACAUAAUAUGACCUGAAGAACAGCUAUUAUUAUUUUAUUGUGUAGAUUUUUGUCUUCUAAUUCGUAAAAGCAAAAAAAGUUGUCUUCCACAACUCUACUGGAUUGAAUCAUGAGGCCCAGGCAAGACAACAGAACAGAAGCUUGGGGAGCAGGUGUGAGGGUGGUGGCUGGGCCAGGUGAGUACUCAGAGUCUGGUGUGUGAUGACCAAGGUGCCCAAGCCUGCAGGGUAUCCACCUUGGAACUGAGAACAGAGGAGAAGCCUUUUGGAAUUUGGAAGUAGCAGGACAUGUCUGAUUUAAAGAUGAGCCAUGGCCAUAUAUUCUGGUCUGUGUUAAUAAUAAUAUAACUAAGUAGGAAAGAAUCCUUUUUUGAAAGUGUGAUAAAGGGAAAAAAAUUAAAAAAUUACAGUAUACUUUCCACAAGUUUGUGCUAGAGCAUGAGUUUAAAAAGAUGUUUAUGGGCUGGGGUGGUGGCUCAGUAGUGAGCCACACACACAUGAAGCACUGGGUUCAAUUCUGAGCACCACAUAAAAAUAAAUAAAUAAAAUAAAGGUACUGUGUCCAUCUUAAAAAAAAAAAAAAGAUGUUAGCUGGGUGUUGUGGUACAUGCCUGUAAUCCCAGUUGUUUGGGAGGCUGAGGCAGGAGGAUCACAAAUUCAAGGUUAGUGUCAGCAACUUAUUGAGGCCCUAAGCAACUUAGUGAAAUCCUGUCUCAAAAAAAAAAAGGACUGGGGAUGUGAUUCAGUGGUUAAGUGCAUCUGGGUUCAACCCCUAGACCCUCCAAAAAAGAUGUUUUGAGGAUUUUAUAAAUACUAUGUCAUACUUCACUGUGCGUAUAUAUCAUGAUUUGCCUGUUUGUUCAGUGGUUCUACUGCUGAAGGGAAUUUGGAAUAUUUCCAACUUGGGCUAUUAAGAAUAAUGCUUCUAUGAGCAUUCUUACAGAUUUCUUUUGGCCAACAGAUAUGCACAUUCCUCUUGCAUAUGUAUCUAGAGUUGGAAUGGGUGUCCUAGGGCUGCUGUGUGUUUGUUUUUAGUAAGUAAUUGCCUGACAGUGUUUUGAGGUGGUUGAACCAAGUUUUAGGCAAUCAGACAUGAAGGUGGAUUUGGCUGCCUCCUCUUGCUGGCGCUGGCUGUUUUUUGUCUUUUCCAUACCUGUCUUUCUGCAUGUUGUGUGGAGGGUCUCACUGUGUUCUAAUCUGGACUUUCCUCAUCACUUACAGUUUGAGUCCUUCUUAAUAAGUUACCAGUCAUUUCAGUCUGUCUUGUGAAGUGCCUACUUAGCUUCUUGUUAAUUUUCUGUUGGUUGUCUUUUUUAACUUGACUCAUUUAUUUAUUUUUAGAAUUCAACUCCUUCCUUCCUUCCUUCCUUCCCUCCUUCCUUCCUUCCUUCCUUCCUUCCUUCCGCCUCACCUAUGCUAAGCAACUGCUUUACCAUUGAGCCCCAGCCCCAGCCCGCAAAUCUUAUUUGUAAUGAAACCCAAUUCGUCAGUCUUUUAUAUGCAGUCCUUAUUAUUUCAGGUUGAAGGAAGGUGUUCUGACUCCAGGGCCAUGGAGGGGCUCCUCCACGUUUCCAUCCAGGAGCUUUUCUGUAUUCCUUGAGCUUCUGGUCCUGUCCACUUGUGUUGGUAUGAGGCAAAAGUCUAGAUUUGUGAUUUCUGUGUGCACAUCUAGUUAAUCUAGUCCCAUUUGUUGAUAGGACCAUUCUUUUUUUGCUGAAUUAUAGGUGUUGCCUUUGCUAAAAAUCAAAUGAUCUUAGAUGUCAGGGUUUAGUCAGAAGACAAUAAUUAAUUAUACCACUAGUUUGAAAAGGGACAAUUUAAUAGGAAAGAUUUUUAACUAGUAAAAGGAAUUAAUAAUUAAGAGGGACAAGGGAUGAAGGCCUCUGUAAAGAAUGCAGGAAAAGCAAAUGUAGGAGCUGCUCAAGGAGAAAUGAUACAAGUUCAGGCACAAGUCCAACAAGUCUGAUUUUAGGCAUUGCUGGAGAGGACAGGUUGGGAUCCUCGGAGAAAGCCACUGAAAUGCUAGCUGGGCUCCUUGGGUAACUGUGUGGCUCCAGGGGAAGCCAGCUACUGGGGGGCUGGCUGGUAAGCUACAGAGGAAGGAAAAAGCCCUAGAACCUGUGGGAGAAGCUCUUCUGCUUGCAGUGUGCCUCCAUGCCCUCUGUUAACAAGGCCAUCAUGUGCAGGCUGGCCAAGGAGAAAGGUUCUCCAGGCUCAGCAGCAGCAUCACUGAACAGGCCAAGAAGGGGUUGGGGUUGGGGCUGAGAGGCAAAAGUGGGUGACUGGGGUACCUAGUGGGGAGUGUCUGUUUUCUGACAAAGGUGUUUUUCUAUCACCUUCUUCAUCUUGUGUCAGUGCUACUGUACUAAUUGCUGUGUUAUAGUAUAGUGUCCCCCUCUUUUUUCAUGGGAAUAUAUUCCAGGACCCCAGUGGAUGUCUGAAAUCACAGAUAGUAUGAAACCCUAUGUAUGUUAUAUAUAUUUUUCCUAUCCAUGCAUACUUAUGAAAAAGUCUAAUUUAUAAAUUAGGCACAGUAAAAGGUUAAUAACAGUAAUUUACUGUAUAUCUUAGCAACCUCAGCAUAUGAUUUUUUUUCUUUCCUUAUUAAGUCAAGAACUUCUAGCAUAUUUGAAUUACAGGAUCACUACUCUUGUACUCUGGAGCCAUUAGUAAAUAAAACAAGGGUUGCUUGUAUUCCAGCACUGUGAUACCAUAGCAGUCCAUGUGAUAACUGAGGUGGCCACUAUGUAACCUAUGGUGGGUAGCAUAUACAGCAUGGAUACACUAGACAGAGGGGUGAUUCAUGACCUGGGCAAGCUGGGACACAAUGGUGUGAGAUUUCAUCAUGCUGUGCAGAAGAGCAUGCAAUUUCAUUGUGAAUUGUUUACUUUUGAAUUGUUUAUAAAGUGUAGUGACUCGGUUAUUUCUGGAAUUUUCCAUAUUUUCAGACAAUGGUUGAUGAUGGGUAACUGAAAAUGUGGAAAGCCCAUUUGCAGAUUGGGGGCUUGCUGUAAAUCCUAAUGACUGGUGGUAGAGGUUUCCCUGUGUUUUUCACUGAGAUUUUUCACAUUAUCGUAAGUCCUUUGCCUGUCUUUACAUAUUGUAAAAUAAGUAUGCCAAUAUCACACAUACACAAACCAGCUGGAAUUUUGAUAGGGACUUUCUGGUUUCAUAGAAUUGAUAUUUUUACAAGAUUAAGUCUUCCAAGUUCCAGAAUAUGGCUUAUUCCUCCAUUGAAAUCUUUAAUUUUUCCAAAUGAUGUUUUGUUGUUAUUGGCAUAGAGACUUUGCAUAGGUUUUGUUAGGUGUAUUUUUGGGAUUUCUUUGAUGCUGUUGUUGCAGCCAUGUAGAAAUAUGUCAGCGAGUGCUGCUCAUUGAUCUUUUAUUCAAUGACCUUGCUAAAAUCUACUUGUAGAAUUCAGCAUAGCAUCUACUACAGUUGUGGCUUUAUGUGUUCCUCUUUUUACUUCUGUUUUUUGCUUUUUAUUUGUUUUUCUGCUGUGCAUGGUAUUGAAUUCAGGCCCUGGUGCACGCGAGGCAGUUCUCUACUGCUGAGCUAUGCCCCAGACCUGUUUUUAGCCUUUUAUACUUGAAAGAGACAAUAGGAAGCAUAUACUAAUUCUGGCACUAUGUAUUCCCAUACUGACACUUUCAUAAUUUUGAGGUGUUCUUCUCUGGUGAAGUUUCGCCUUAAGGUCAGUUUCAUCUGAAGUAAUGAAGCUAUUCCAGUUUGCUCUGAUUCAUGUUUAAGUGAUGGAGCUUUUUAAAUUCUAUUUUCAACCUAGCUGCAACCUUACUUUCAAAAUACGUUUCUUUCAACAGAAUAUAGUAAUUUUUAUUCAGUGUGGCAACCUGUAUAUUUUCAUUGGAGUGUUUAAUCUGCUUACUUUUAUGAAAUGUGGUGCUUGAUUCUGCCACCUUGCCACUCAUUUCCCUUUUGUUCCAUCCAUGCUUCUGCUACUUUAUUUUCUUUCCUUGCCUUUAUUUGGAUAAUGAGGUAUUUUCCCCACUGUUUUAAUCACUUAGCUUUUAUUGGCUCAUUAAAUAUAUAGACAAGCAUUCUACCACUGAGCCCCAGCUCCAGCCCUAUUGGCUCAUUCUUGUGUUACUUUUUAGUUACUUUUUAGUUGUAUCUGAGAGAUUUCAGUUACGUGCCACUUUCUGCACUUUGGGUAAGACUCAGUGUGGCCUGGCUCCAUUCGUCCCCUUUGCACUCUGGUCAUACAUUUUUACUUCUGUAUAUGUAAAGAGAUUUAGCACAACAUCAUUUCUGUUCUAUGUCGAGAGUCUAUUGGUGCAUUUGCCUUUUCUAGUGUUCUUAGGUCUUUCCUGUGGUUCUUUGUUCCAUUUGAGAGCAUUUUUUUUCAGCCUGAAGACUUUCUGAAAGUAUUCUCACAGUGCAGGUCUAUCAACAGCACAGUCUCUCAAAUUUUGUCUAAAAUUUAGGUUGCCUUCAUUUGUGAAGAAAUGUUUUGACUGAGUACUGAGUAUAGCAUUCCAGGUUGACAGGUGUUUUCUUCCAGCAUAUUGAACAAGUCAGUAUUUUCAGAGCCUUCUGGCCUUCACAGUGCCUAUUGAAGAGUUAGCCUUUGAUUUUGUUUUAAAAUAUAGUUUUAGUUGUAGAUAGAAACAAUGCCUUUAUUUAGUUUAUUUAGUUUUUUAUAUGGUGCUGGAGAUUGAACACAGUGCCUCACAUGUGCCAGGCAAGCCCUCUACCAUUGAACCACAACCCCAGAAUUAGCCUUCGAUUGUACUGUUACUCUUCUAAUAAACACACUGUUUUCUCUACUCAGUUUUAAGGUUUUUCUGUCUUCAUGUGUGCACACAUGCAUGUGUGUAUGCUGUAUGUCUGUCCGAAGUGGGACACACAGAGGCUUUGGUCAGGUCUGGAAACUCAUCAACCACCAUUCAUUUAAAUAUUGCUCUUGCCGACUCCUGUCCUGACUAUCCUGGCUACACAUGUUGACUGUGCUCCAUGAAUCUCUAAUGCCGUGUACUCUCAAUUAUGUGGUCUUCAUACUUAACAUUUUUUUUCUCUCUGAACUUCAGUUUGGGUAUUUCAGUUGGACCUGUUUGAGUUUCUCUAAUUGCAUCUUUAGUUCUGAACGCUUUAUGUUAAAGAAAUCAAAAAAGUCCAUAAUGCAGUUAUAUUUUUUCAGUUCUAGAACUUUUUCUAGGUCUAUUUCUAGUUUACCAGUGGGUGUUGGUGUUGUUAAAUGUUUUCUGCACUCAUUCAUUUAUUCAUUGAUUGUUUCCCUGCUUUAUUCUGGUAAUGUGGUAAGUCACAUAGAAUGAUGAUGAGUGUUAAGCCAACCUUGGAUGCUUGAGGCAAACCUCAUUUUGUUGGGAGGCUUUAUCCUUUUAAAUAUUUCUGGAUCUGAUAUGAUGAUGUUUUAUGGACUUCAGUGUCAACCUCCAAGAGGAAUACUGACCAACCCAUAGCUUAUUUUCUUGUAAUACCUUUAUUAGUCUUUGGUAUCAGGAUAAUAUCGGCCUGAUAAAAUCAGUUCAGGGGUGUCCUUUCUCUUCUUUUAUUUUUUUCAUUCUAAUUUGUUAUCUAUGACAGCAGAAUUCAUUGCAAAUUAUAUUACACAUAUAGAGCACAAUUUUUCAUAUUUCUGGUUGUAUUCAGUAUAUAUUCACAGCAAUCGUGUCUUCAUACAUGAACUUAGGAUAAUGUCUGUCUCAUUCCACUGGCUUUCCUACCCCAUGCUCCUUUCCUUCCCCUCCCACUCUGCCCUAUCCAGAGUUCGUCUAAUCCUCCCAUGCUCCCCCUCCCAACUCCACUAUGAAUCAGCCUCCUUAUGUCAGAGAAAACAUUCAACAUUUGUUUUUUUGGGAUUGGCUAAAUUCACUUAGCACUAUAUUCUCCAACUCUGUUGGGGUUUUUAGCUUCCUCUAUCCACUCUGACCCACAGAGAGGCUUAGGAGAGCAUGCCCCAACCUGGACGGAUCAAGAAAGGUCAGGGUUGGCUGGCCGCCCACCCAGCCCUCCCUACCGGAGAACAAUCAGAUGCGCCAAGGAGACCAGUCAAAGCAGGAUCUCAUUUAUUGAGGAAACACACACAACUUAUAUAAGGAGUAAAAGCCAAUCAUUUUAAAACACGGAAAAGUGGGAACCAAUCAACAUAAAGGUCAAAUCAGCAGGAGGAAUUCACAUGUAUACCCAUACCAUAGUUUCUAAUGAAGAGCACGAGCUGUGCACGGGCACAGAAGAGAAGUAAGCCAAUCAGGAGGUUUCAAAACAACUUCAGUGUCCUCCUACUGGCAUUUAGCCAGGCGCCUUCUUAGUUUUUGGCCCCACACAACUCCAUCCACUAACCUACAAAUGCCAUGAUUUUAUUCUCUUUUAUUGCUGAGUAAUAUCCCAUUUUUUUAACCACAUUUUUGUUUUUUUUUAAUCUAGGUUGGUUCCACAGUUUAGCUAUUGUGAAUUGUGCUGCAAUAAACAUUGAUGUGGCUGUGUCCCUGUAGUAUGAUGUUUUUAAGUCCUUUGGGUAUAGACUGAGGAGUGGGAUAGCUGGGGCAAAAGGUGGUUCCAUUCCCAGUUUUCCAAGGAAUCUCUAUACUGCUUUCCAUAUUGGCUGCACCAUUUUGCAGUCCCACCAGCAAUGUAUGAGUGUGUCUUUCCCCCCACAUCCUCACCAACACUUAUUGUUGUUUGUAUUCUUAACAGCCGCCAUUUUGACUGGAGUGAUUUUGGUUUGCAUUUCUCUAAUUGCUAGAGAUGUUGAACAUUUUUCAUAUAUUUGUUGAUUGAUCGUAUAUCACCUUCUGAGAAGUGUCUGUUCAGUUCCUUGGCCCAUUUAUUGAUUGGAUUAUUUAUUUCUUGGUGUUUAACUUUUUGAGUUCUUUAUAUAUCCUAGACAUUAGUGCUCUGAUGUACAAGUGGUAAAAAUUUGCUUCCAAGCUGUAGGCUCUCUAUUCACUUCACUGAUUGUAUCUUUUGCUGAUAAGCUUUUUAGUUUGAAUCCAUCCCAUUUAUUAAUUCUUGAUUUUAAUUCUUGCGCUAUAGGAGUCUUAUUAAGAAAGUAGGGGCCUAAUCUGAUAUGAUGGAGAUUUGGGUCUACCUUUUCUUCUGUUAGAUGCAGGGUUUCUGGUUUAAUUCCUAGGUCCUUGAUCCACUUUGAGUUGAAUUUUGUGCAUGGUGAGAGAUAGGGGUUUAAUUUCAUUUUUUUUGCAUAUGGAUUUCCAGUUUUCACAGCACCAUUUGUUGAAGAGGCUAUCUUUUCUCCAAUGUAUGUUUUUGGGGCCUUUGUCUAAUAUAAAAUAACUGUAAUUUUAUGGGUUAGUCUCUGUGUCCUCUUUCUGUACUACAGGUCUACCAGUCUAUUUUGGUGCCAAUACUAUGUGUUUUUUUUUGUUGUUGUUGUUACUGUUGCUCUGUAGUAUAGUUUAAAGUCUGGUACAGUGAUGCCACCUGCUUCACUCUUCUUGCUAAGGAAUGCUUAGCUAUUUGGGUCUAUUAUUUUUCCAGAUGAAUUUCAUAACUGCUUUUUCUAUUUCUAUGAGGAGUGUCAUUGGGAUUUUGAUUGGAAUUGCAUUAAAUCUGUAUAAUGCUUUUGGUAGUGUGGUCAUUUUGACAAUAUUAAUUCUGCCUAUCCAGGAACAAGGGAGAUCUUUCCAUCUUCUAAGGUUUUCUUUAGCAUUCUGUAGUUUUCAUUGUAGAAGUCUUUCACCUCUUUUGUUAGGUUGAUUCCCAAGUAUUUUAUUUUUUUUUUGAGGCUAUUGUGAAUGGGAUAGUUUUGUUCGUUUCCCUUUCAGAGAAUUUGUCACAAGAAUUAAUAAAUGGGAUGGAUUCAAACUAAAAAUCAGAAAUGCCUUUGAUUUAUGGGUGUUGAUUUUGUAUCCUGCUACUUUGCUAAAUUCAUUUACUAGUUCUAGAAGUUUUUUGGUGGAAUUUUUUGGGUCUUCUAGGUAUAGAAUCAUAUGGUUGGCAAAUAGUGCUAUCUUAAGUUGUUUUCCUAUCUGUAUCCCUUUAAUUUCUUCCAUCUGUCUAAUUGCUCCUGCCAGUGUUUCAAGAACUAUGUUAAAUAGAAGUGGUGAAAGAGGGCAUCCCUGUCUUGUUCCAGUUUUUAGAGGGAAUGCUUUCAAUUUUUUUCCAUUUAGAAUGAUGAUGGCUUGGGGCUUAGCAUAGAUAGCUUUUACAAGGUUGAGAUAUGUUCCUGUUAUCCCUAGUUUUUGUAGUGUUUUGAACAUGAAGGGGGCACUGUAUUUUGUUGAAUGCCUUUUCUGCAUCUAUUGAGAUGAUCAUAUGGUUCUUAUCUUUAAGUUUAUUAAUGUGAUGAAUUAUAUUUAUUGAUUUCUGUAUGUUGAACCAACCUUGCAUCCCUGGGAUGAACUCUUUGAUAUGUUUUCGUAUUCAAUUUGCCAGAAUUUUAUUGAGAAUUUUUGCAUCUAUGUCCAUUAGAGUUUUUGGUCUGAAGUUUUCUUUCUUUGAUGUGUCUUUGCCUGGUUUUGGAAUCAGGGUGAUAUUGGCCUCAUAGAAUGAGUUUAGAAAUGCUCCGUCUUUUUCUAUUUCCUGAAAUAAAUUGAUGAGUAUUGAUACUAGUUCUUCUUCAAAGGUCUUAUAGAACUCAGCUGUGUCCAAUCCAGUCCUGGGCUUUUCUUGGUUGGCAGGCUUCUGAUGGUGUCUUCUAUUUCAUCGCUUGAAAUUGAUCUGUUUAAGUUGUGUAUAUUGUCCUGAUUCAAUUCGGGCAGAUCAUAUAACCCUAGAAAUUUGUCAGUGCCUUUGGUAUUUUCUAUUUUAUUGGAGUACAAGUUUUCAAAAUAAUUUCUAAUUAUCUUCUGUAUUUCUCUAGUGUCUGUAGUGAUAUUUCCUUUUUCAUCACAUAUGUUAGUAAUUUGAGUUUUCUCUCUCCUUCUCUUCCAUAUUGGCUGCAGUCCCACCAGCAAUGUAUGAGUGUGCCUUUUCCCCCACAUCCUCACCAACACUUACAUAUUGUUGUUUGUAUUCUUAAUCUGGCAUUCUGACUGGAGUGAAAUGAAAUCUUAAAGUACUUUGGUUUGCAUUUCUCUAAUCGCUAGAGAUGUUAGCAUGGAUAAGGGCUUGUCAAUUUUUUAUAUUUUUCAAAGAACCAACUUUUUGUUUUGUCAAAUUUUUCAGUUGUUUGUUUCAAUUUUAUUGAUUUCAGCUGUGAUUUUAAUUAUUUCCUGUCUUCUACUACUUUUGGUGUUGACUUGUUCUUCUUUUCUAGGGCUUUGAGAUGUAAUGUUAAAUUUAUUUGUUGACCUUUUCUUCUUUUAAGGAAGGAACUCCAUGCAAUGAACUCCCCUUUUCCUUUCCACAGCCUUCACAGUGUCCCAGAGAUUUCGAUCCAUUGUAUCUGUGUUCUCAUUCACCUCUAAGAAUCUUUUAAUCUCCUCCUUGAUGUCUUUUGAAACCCAUUCAGUAGCAUAUUAUUUAGUCUCCAGGUAUUGGAGUAGCUUUAUUUUUUAUUUUUUCAUUGAUUUCUCAUUUCAUUCCAUUAUGAUACAACAAAAUGUAUCUCUACUUUAUUAUAUUUGCUAAUAGUUGCUUUGUGGCAUAAUAUAUAGUCAAUUUUAGAGAAGGAUCCAUGUGCUGCUGAGAAGACAGUAUAUUCGUUCAUUGAAGGAUGAAAUAUUCUAUGUAUGUCAGUUAAGUCUAAGUUAUUGAUUAUAUUAUUGAGUUCUGUAGUUUCUUUGUUCAGUUUUUGUUUGGAUGAUCUAUCCAGUGGUGAAAGAGGUAUGUUAAAGUCACCCAGAAUUAUUGUGUUGUGGUCUAUUUGACUCUUGAACCUGAGAAGAAUUUGUUUGAUGAAUGUAGACACUCCAUUGUUUGGGGCAUAUAAAUUUAUUAUUGUUAUAUUUUGUUGAUAAAUGAUUCCCUUAAGCAGUAUAAAAUAUCCUUCUUUAUCCCUUUUGAUUAACUUUGGCUUGAAGUCUACUUUAUUUGAUAUGAGGAUGGAAAAAAAUCUCUGCUUGCUUCCACAUUCCAUGUGAGUGAUAUGAUUUUCCCCAACCUUUCACCUCAGUUUGUGGAUGUCUUUUCUUAUGAGUCUCUUGGAGGCAACAUAUUGUUGGGUCCUUUUUUUUUUUUAAUCCAAUCUUCCAUUCUAUGUCUUUUGAUUGGUGAGUUUAGGCCAUUAACUUUUAGGAUUAUUAUUGAGACAUGCUUUGUAUUCCCAGCCAUUUUUUUUUUUUUUUUGGUAUUUAAUUUGACUUACUUUCUCCUUUGAUUCAUUUCUCCUUUCGUGUAAUACCUUCUUUGCUGAUUUUCAUUGUUGUUUUUCAGUUCCUCUUCAUGGAAUCUUUUGCCGAGGAUGUUCUGUAGUUCAGGCUUUCGAGUUGUAAAUUCUUUUAACUUUUGUUUAUCAUGGAAGGCUUUUAUUUCAUCAUAAAGAUAAAAAGAAAUCUAAAGCUUAAUUUUGUUGUAUAUAAGAUUCUUGGUUGGCAUCCAUUUUCUUUCAGAGCUUGAUAUAUGUUGUUCCAGGAUCUUUUAGCUUUCAGGGUCUGGGUUGAAAAAUCUGCACAUAAUCUAAUUGGUUUUCCCCUAUAUGUAAUCUGAUUCCUUUCUCUCGUUGCUUUUAAUAUUUUCUCCUUAUUCUGUAUGUUGGGCAUUUUCAUUAUAUGUGCCUUGGUGUGGAUCUGUAGUGAUUUUUGUACAUUUGGCAUCCUGUAAACCUCCUGAAUUUGUUUUUCCAAUCCAUUCUUCAUGUUUGGAAAAUUUUCUGCUCCUUUUGGUUUGGAACUCUAUGCCUUCCUCUAUCCUGAUAACUCUUAAGUUUGAUCUUUUCAUGCUAUCCCAUAUUUCUUGAAUGUUCUGCUCUUGGUUUCUUACCAUUUUCACUGUGUGGUCUAUGUUCUUUUCAAGAUGAUAUAUUUUAUCUUCAUUUUCUGUCAUCCUGUGUUCCAAGUGGUCUAAUCUGUUGGUGAUACAUUUGAUUGAACUUUAAUUUGGCUUAUUGUUUCUUUCAUUUCAAGGAUUUCUUUUUUUUUUUUUAGAACCUUUAUCUCCCUAUGAAGUAAUCUUUUGCUUCCUAAAUUUGUUUGUGUAGCUUAUUGUCAAAAUGAUCUUUUGCUGCCUGUAUUUGCUCUCUUAUAUCAUUCUUUAAUUCACAGAACAUUUUAAUUAUGUACAUCCUGAAUCCCUUUUCUGUAAUUUCUUCUGCUGUGCUGGCCAUGGAUUCUAAUAAUGUGGUAUCUUGAUUUGUUUGGGGCACUUUCUUCCUUUGUCUUUUUAUAUUACGUGUGUGUCUUCCCUUCUAGCGCUGUGCAUCCAAGGCAUUACCUUUUUUACCCUAUAGGCUUAUAGUGCCCCUGUAGGGAUCCAAUACCUCUCCUUUGAGGUGAUGGACAAUGUUAACAGAUCCCAAUAUAAAUAAUAUGCACCCUAAAAACAAAUGUUUGUUAUUAAGAUGUUUACAGUUUGGUCACAAUGUACAGAAAUGGUGAAUUCAAUUAUUAUCUACAAUAUAUUCAGUAGGUUUGUAAAAGGGUUUACAGUUUCUGAUGGUGGACAAAGAACGAGGGGUGAGGAGUAGGAUGAUAUGCUGAGGAGGUAGGAGGUGAGAAUAUAGAGUUGUUAUAUCUUAGGAAGUGUGAAAGAGAAAUCUAAGGAAAAUUAGUAGCAGAAGGGAGAGGAAAUAAUUUUGAGUAGACAAGUAAGUGGGAAGACAGAGUACAUAAAACAAACACACACAUAUAUAUUAAGAAAAAUAAAAAAUGUUAAAACAGUAGAAAUUGGUGAGAAAAAAAAGGAAAAAAAAGAAUAUACAACACAACUGUAAUAUACUAUGCAGAUGUCCCAGUCCUCAAAAAUCCUAAUUCAUGCAAAGAACUUGGUUUCACAUAUGUUGGGGAGGGGAGGGCAGGAGAAUAGAGGGAGAGGGAAAAAAAAAUCUUGAAGGAAGAAACAGGAAUUGUUUUGGUUGGAGAUCAGUAUCUUUCCUGCUUCCCUUCUCAUCCAAUAUGUGGAGUUGUCUGUUGUUAGCUGGUAUCUCUGCCCUCAGGAUGGUGAAGGUAACCAGGGUGUCACUAUGCUGGGCUAGUGGCUGCUGGGGAGAGUGGGGAGUUAGAAACUGGGUACCUGGCCAGCCGGAGUUCCGAACUGGGAUUAACCCCACUGAAGAUGGUGAUGAAGGUGGCUCAAGAUGGAGGCUUCUGCUUUCAGCGGUAGGGUGUCGGGUCUGGUGGGGGGAGCCGAGUGAUGGUGUUGGACCAUGAGUUCAGAGACGAGCUCUGUGGCAUGCAGUGUGUGGCUGUCAACUGACUUUCAGAGCCUGCUUGAAGUUCUCGGGUGCACGCAGGCUAUUGCGCGUAAGGGGCUAUCUCCACUGUUGCAGGGUCCCAAGAUGUUGGCAACCGGGGAGCCCACGUUGGUAGGUGGCGGUCCACAUGAGGGUGGCGGCGCGGAGUUCCUAUGCUUGGGAAGCUGCCAGGUAUCCUGCAUAGGAGCGGUGUCCGUGACUUCUGCUCGGGUGGGUGGCCGAAAGUUCUUUGUGGGUGCUGCCGCCGCCCGGUGGUCUUGCUCAGAUACCCGGUAGUCCUGCGUGGGUGAAUAGUUGGGAGGCCUACUCUGUUGCUGAGGCCUGGAGUCCUGGAUGGACACAGUGCUUUCUGUGUGGGGGCAGUAAUAUAGCUCACAGAGAAGCAGUAUUCUCACUACUUGGAUCCCAGUUCACGGAGAGACACAGAAUGCUGCCUCCCUCUGGCCUGCCAACUUGGAUCCUCUGCCCGCUCUCUUCUGUUUACUGUAACACUUUGUGUAGCGUCUGUGUUAUUUAUUUCUUUAGUGUUUGGCAGAGUUCACCAGUAUGGGCUUUUGCGCUUAGAGCUUUAGACUAGGAAUUUGACUUAUGUAAUAGAUACGGUCUGCUUGGGUUAUCUGUAUAUUUGAAUGAGCUAGGGUAGUUUCUGUGUUUGAAGAAAUCGAGCCAGUUUUAAGUUGCUGAGCAUGCUGAUGCUGUUCAGGGUAUCUGCUCAUUGCCUUUUGUUAUCUGUGGGCUCUGUAGAGAUGAUUCCUCUUUGGUUCUUGAUAAUGAUAUGUGUUAUACCUUCUUUAAAAAAAUCUUGAUCCUUCUAGUUAUGAGUUUAUAGAUUUUGUUGAUUUUUUUUCAAAGAACUAGCUUUUAGUUUGAUUAAUUUUUUGUUUUAAAUUGUGUUGACUUCUGUUUUUUCUUUCUUUCUUUUUUCCUUUCUUUCAGUACUAGAAAUGGGGCUCUACCACUGAGCUACACCCCCAGGUCUUUCAAUUUAUAUAUUUUUUUGAGACACGGGUCUCACUAAGUUACUUAGGACAGCCUUGAACUUGUGAUCCUCAUGCUUUACCUCCUGAGUUGCUGGGAUUACAGGUGUAGCCACUAGAUUUGGUUAUUCUUUUCUUUUCCUUUAAUUUUUGUUGGGUUUACUUUGCUGUUCCUUUUCUAGCUUUUUGAGGUGAACCUAAGAACAUUAUUUAGAAAGUCCUAGUUUGCUGCUGAUCUUGAGAGUGACCUGGGUGUUUGAGACCCAUGCAGGUUGUCUCCUUAAUUCUUGUUCAUCCAGUUAAAGAUUUUGAGAUGACCCCUUUAAUCUCCUGCCAUACAUAGAUGUAUUCAAAUUCUGGCAAAGGAAUUAAUUGAGGGGGAAGACAAACUUGUGUACUUGUUGUAGGUCCCUGUCCUUUAGUUUGACACUGACUCCUAGACACCAGGAGAUGUGGGAGAACUGCCAUCCUGCCUUGCUGCCUCCUGCACAGUUCCAGAACCAUGGGGUGAACAGACCUGGAGCUGGGGACUCCUUCUGUGUCUAGUCUGUUGCAGUGGAAUGGUCCCAGGGGUGCACAAAAGCCCUGCUGGUUUUGCUUUCCUCUGUAGAAUCUUUCAACUUGCACCCACUCUUAUUCUUAGGCGAUGUUCAGAAUUGAGUGGCUUAUUUUCAGUUUUUCUAGCAGGCUCUUACUGUGUGGAAUUGUAGUUCUUAUAGCUUCAUUGCUAUGAUGAUUAUAGAAAUACAGUUUUUGGAAUUUACCAUUUUAAAGAAGUCUGCUUGCUCCAUUGGUGGGUUGGCCUCCUCUGAAUCACUGCAUUCUGAUUGAAGGCAGGACUCUCUGCCCCAUCUGUAUACUCUAUCAGCACACCUAUUUGGAGUGUGCAGAUUAAUGACUGCAUCACAGCCAAGGCUGGAAGACUUACCCGAGGCUCUGAUGCCCUUUCCAUCCAUGCCUCAUCUCACUUUCUCUUCUAGGAAAUCAUGACAUUCUUCUGUCAUGCAAAUAGAAUCUUGCAGUGUCUCUUGCUCCCUUCUUUCAGCAUUUAUGUUUUUAAGAUCAGUCCAUUUUGUGUGGGUGUGUUCUGUUCCUCUUUAUCACUGAGGAGUCUUCCAUUGUAGGGUGUGUUUGUUUACUUGCCUGUCAGUGGACUUGGAUCAUUUCUAGCUUUUGGCUGUUGUAAUACAGCCGCUAUGCACGUCAUGCCCUGACUUUGUGUGGGAAUGUGUGUAUUUUCCUUGAGUGAGGAUCUGGCAAUGGAAUGGCUGGGUGGUGUGGUAAGUUCUAUGGUAAGUGACUUUAUAACAAUAUGCCCAGCUGUUUCCAAACUUGUUGAAUGGCUUCUACUUGUACUGGCCCUGUACCACAGGCACAAUUUACUGGCACUUUCUUAUUAUGAUUUUAGUGUUUAUUUUCCUUAAGACUAAUGAUGGUGAGCAUCUUUUUCACAUGCUUAUUAACUAUGUCUAUGUCUUGUGUGAUGUGUCUGCUGAAAUGUUUUGCUAUGUUUUAUUGGGCUGCUGUUUCCUUAUUAUUGAGUUAUAAAAGAUCUUCAUAUUUUCUGAAUAUAAGUCUGUUUUCAGAUAUAUUUGAAAAGUAUUUUUUCAUUCUAUCAUUUACCUUUUCAUUUUGUAAAUGGUAUCUUUCAGAGAACAAAAUUUUAAAAUUUUGAUGAAAUAUGAAUUAUAACUUUCCCCCUUUUUUGGUGUAUUGCUUUUCUUUUUUUCUAAGAAAUUCUGGUCUACCUCAAGGUCAGAAAGUUUUUCCUCUAAAAGUUCCAUGGAUUUAUCUUUCAUAUGUGUGUUAAUUUUUGAAUAUGGUGUUAGGUAGGGAUCAAGGUUUUCCUUUUUUUUUUUUUUUAAUAGAAUGCCAGUUCUUCUGACAUAGUUUGUUGGAAAUACUUUCUUUUUCCAUAAAAAUGCCUCAACACCUUGGUUGAAAGGUCAGUCAUACAAGCUUGGGUCUGUUUUAGACCCCCCCCCCCCUUUUUUUUUUCUGUACAUAUGUUCCUUAUUCUAGUAGGACACUGCACUGAUUACUGGAUAUUUGAAACAAGGUAAACUAACUCCUCCAACUAUGUUCUUUUUCUGAAUAGUUGUGGUUAUUAUAAGUCUUUUAUGUAUAAAAAUAAAAAAAUUUAGAGUCAGUCAACUUCUGCCAGAAAGCCUACUAGGGUUUUGAUUGACAUAAUUUUUAAUCUGUGGAUAAAUUCAAGGAGAAUCAACAUCUUACCAAUAUUGAGUCUUCCCAUCAAAGUACAUCAUAAUUUCUCCAUUUAGUAACUCUUUAAUUUCAUUCACUGCUCUUUAAUUUUUUUUUAGUUAUAGAUGGACAUAGUAUCUUUUUUCUUUAAUUUAUUAGUUAUUCGUGGUCCUUUAUUCAUUUAUUUGUUUAUUUGUGGUGCUGAGAGUUGAACACAGUGCCUCACACAUGCUAGGCAAGCACGCUACCACUGAGCCACAACCCCAACCCUGGACAAAGUAUCUUUAUUUUAUUUUUAUGUGGUGCUGAGGAUCGAACCCAGUGUCUCAUACAUGCUAGGUGAGCGCUCUACCACUGAGACACAAUCCCAGCCCUAUCUUUCACUGCUCUUUGAACUUUUCAGUAUGCAGAAUUCUAACAUAUUUUGUUAAAUUUGUUCCUUAGACUUUUUUAAUGCUAUUAUAAGGGUUGCUUAAAAAUAUUUCAUAUCUAAUCAUUGGCAGAUAAUACAGAAAUAGUUUGUUUUAUAUAUUGAAUUUUUACUCUAAGAUUAGCUAAAGUUAAUUAUUAGAUUUAAUAAACUUUUCUGCAGAAUCUUGUCAUUUGUGAAUAAAUGUAGUUUUACUUAUUUCUAGCCACUAUGAAUUUCUUUGAAGUGUUUUCCCACCUUAACGUCUGGGACCUCUAGUACAAAGUCAAAUAGCAGUGGUGAGAUUGGAUUUUCUCGAUUUGUUCAUUCAUUUGCUCUGAAGUUUUGUGUUAACUGCAGGGUUUUCAUAGAUGCCUUUGUUAGCUCAAGGAAUUUCCUUUAUUCUUGUCUCCUGAAUUUUGAAUUUAUUCUUUACCAGAAAUGUGUGUUGAAUGAUACCUUUUUUGCAUUAUUGAGAUAGUCAUGGGAAUUUUCCCUUUAUUCCAUUAGUGUCUUGAAUUGUGCUUAUCAACAUUCAGAGCUGUAAAAUUCUAAGUUGAGUGUUAAACCAACCUUGCAUUCCUAGGAUAAGCCCCACUUGGUCCUGACAGAUUAUGUCUAUGUCUGUGUAGUAUAUAUUUUCCAGCUUGAUUUGCCUGUACUUUUAAAAGGACUUUUAUGUCUGUGGUCCUGAGGGAGAUUAGUAGUUCUGUUAUUUUUUCCCAAGCAAUGCUGGGUUUUGUACAGGAUAAAGUGGCCUCGUUAAGUGAGUAGGGCAGUGCUCCCUUCUCUAUCUUCUGAAGGAAUUUGUAUUAGUUUUAUAUAUUUUUUUUCCUUAAAUUUUUGAUAGAAUUCAUCUAGGAAUUUCCUUGUAGGGAGUUUUUUCUUCAUGGGAGGAUUUAUUUUACAUUAAGAAUGUAGCUUCUUAAAGCUUUUUAGAAAUUUGUAUCCCUGGUCAGUUAUACUAAUGUGUGUUUUGUAAGAUAUUGAUUUUUUUCUAAGUUGUAAGUUCAGUGAUAUAAAUUUUCUCUUUAUUUGACAUUAUCCUAUUCAUUGUUGUAAGAUCUUUUUCAUUACUAAUAUAUGUAACUGGUGUUUGUCUCUUUUAUUGAUCAGUCUAACCAGAUACUUAUCAGUUUUAUUGACUUUUCCCAUUACAUAGAUUUGCUUUCAUUUUCAUUUUCUUUCUCUUUCUUUCACUGUUUUAUUUACUUUGUUCUUAACUUUAUUAUUUUCUUCCUUCCUACUUGUCUUGGAUAUACUUUGUUGUUCUUUUUUCUAGCCUUUUAAGGCAGAAGUUAAAGAUCAUUUAUUUUGUAUCUUUUUCUGAAGUCAGCAUUCAGAGCUAUAAAAUUCUAAAGACUGCUAUCUCAAAUAUUUUAGCAACUUUCUAUUUUGAAAUAAUUUACAGAGUCACAUAAUUGCAGAGAUAAUAUGAAGAGUCCUGUGUGCUCUCCACCUGGCUUCCUCAUGUUUUGGCAUCUUAUACAACUCUAAUGCAAUAUAGUAAUCAGGGCAUAGAUGUUGACACAUUGUUACCUGGAUCAUGAACAUUGUUUCUUGGUGCAUUGUGUGUGUGUGUGUGUCUGUCUGUCUGUCUGUUUCUAUGCAGUUUUAUUCCAUGUACAAAACUAUUACACCACCACAAAAUAACUCCUUGGUGUUACCUCUUGGUAUUCCUGCUGCUUUGCCUUCCAAGACUUGUCCCUGACUCUUGGGGACCACUAGUCUUCUCCAUCCCUGUAUUUCUUCACGUAUAAAUGGACUCACAUAAUCAUUCAACCUUUGGGCAAUAGCUUCUUUUCCCUAAGCAGAGCGCACUUGGGCUUCCUGUAGAUUGUUCCUUGCAUCAGUAGGUUAUUUCAUUUUGUUCCUGAGUAGUAUUUCAUUAUAUGGAUGUCCCAGUAUUUGCUUAACCAUUACUUGUUGAAUGGUAUUGGAAUUAGUUCCAGUAUUGCCACAUAGAAUAAAACUACUAUGAACAUUCAUGCACAGGAUUUUCUGUGAACAUACAUUACAUUAUUUGGAAUAAAUGCCCAGGAACACAAUUUGUGGUUUGUGAGGUUGUGCAAGUUAAGUUUAGUUUUUUUUUUUAAUGAAAUUAUAAAAAGUUUUAUAAAACUAUAAAUAUUAUAGGUAAUAUCUUGCUAUUAUCAAAUAUAGGAAAAGCAUUACUUUUAACAUAAACUACUAAACUAUAUUCGGGAUUAGUGAUAUCAUUUUACAUAUUUUUGCUAUCUUAUAUAUUAAUUUUCAGACAAUUUUUUUUUUAAAAUAUUUAUUUAUUUAUUUUAGUUUUUUGGCGGACACAACAUCUUUGUUUUGUAUGUGGUGCUGAGGAUCGAACCCGGGCCGCAGGCACACCAGGCGAGCACGCUACCGCUUGAGCCACAUCCCCAGCCCCUAAUUUUCAGACAAUUUAUUUUCCAAAAUUUCUUAUGAUUUCUUCUUUGUCCAUUGAUGUCUUCAAUUUUUUAAAUUUCUAAAUGUUCAAGGUUUUUAAUAGGUGUUGUUUUCUCAUUUAAUUUUAUGGUAGUGAGAAAGCAUUUUGUAUUAUUUUAUACUUUUUCAUAUAUUUUUUUGAAUUUAGUUUAUAUUUUUAGUUGUUGACUGGCAUGUUCUAAGUUUUCAAUUAGGACAAAUUGGUUGAUGGUGUUCAAGUCUUUAUUCUCUUACUGAUUUCAUGUCUACCUGCUUUAUCUAGUGCAUAGAGAAAAAUAUUUUCUUAUUUCUACUAUUAAUUCUCUCGGGUUUUAUUAUGUGUUUUUAUUUUUUUGUUGUUUUGCAGUGUUGGGGAUUGAAUCCAGGGCCUUGCUCCUGUUAGGCAAACACUGUGGCAUGUAUUUCAGCAAUAAAAAGAGAAUAAAAUCAUGGCAUUUGCAGGUAAAUGGAUGGAGUUGGAGAAAUAUAAUGCUAAGUGAAGUUAGCUAAUCCCUAAGAACUAAAUGCUGAAUGUUUUCCCUGAUAUAAGGAAGGUGAUUCAUAGUGGGGUUGGGAGGGGGAUCAUGGGAGGAUUAGAUGAACUCUAGAUAGGGUAAAGGGGUGGGAGGGAAGGGAGGGGAUAUGGGGGUAAAAAAGAUGGUGGAAUGAGAUGGAUAUCAUUACCCUAAGUACAUGUAUGAAGAGUCGAGUGGUGUGAGUAUACUUUUGUAUACAACCAGAGAUAUGAAAAAUUGUUCUAUAUAUGUGUAAUAUAAAUUGUAAUGCAUUCUGCUGUCAUAUAUAACAAAUUAGAAUAAAAAAUAAAGAAUUAAAAAAAAAAUAAAAUCUAUUGUUGUGUACCUACACAUGUAGGAUUGUUAUGUCUUCUUGACAAGUUCACAUUUUUAUCAUUAUCUAGUGUCCUUUCUCUCUGUUUAGUGUUUGAAUGACAUAUUUCUUCUGUCCUUUUACUUUUAAUCUUUUUGUAUUUAGUGUGGGUUUUACUAUAGAUAACAUACUAUUGGUCCAUCUUUUUUUUUUUUUGUCAUAGUUGGACACAAUACCCUCCUCAGCAUAUUCAGGGUGCUUUUCCUCCUGUAAAACUGGCAUUGAACUAUUGAGCAGCAGUUCCCAUAUUUUGUUCCCCACAGAAUAGAAGUUCUCCUUGAAGACCACACUUAUAUUUUCUGUCCUGUGUGCUCGACUAAUCCCUGUUGCUCACUUGUGGGAGGCACUGGGUUCAAUCCUCAGCACCACAUAAAAAUAAACUAAUAAAGAUAUUGGGUCCAUCUACAACAUAUAUAUAUAUAUGUACAUAUGUAAAGAAUGUAUAUCAUUUGGCCUUUGAUUUUAAUGUUAGGAUAUGGUUUGUGAUCUUUAAAUUAAAAAAAAAACUCAGAUGGUGAGAGUUGGAGGGGUAUAUAUUAUAUAGUUGGUGAGGAUUAACUUUGCUGACCCAGUGGUCAACACCCAGUCCUUGUCUUACUUCACCUGUCAUCAGCAGUGUCUGGAUCCAGAGCACUGCCUUCUCCUCCUUAACACACUGUCUUUAUGGGGCUCCCAGGAUGUAUCUCCAGUCUGGCUUUUCUUGUAGCCCUUUGAUUGCUACUGUUUUGAUUUUGCCCUCCUGAUUCCUAUCCAUACCCAGUCCUCACUAGGAAGCCCAGGGUUAGAUUCUUGGUAUUCUUUUCUUUCUGUGUCAUUCCCCUAUGAUUUCACCUGGUUUCCUGGCUUUAAAUACACCCAUGUGCUGAUGUAUCUCAAAUAUAUCCUUGCAGACUGGACCAAAUCCUCCUUCCGUCUAGGCUCGUACCUGUCUGCGUAAUCUCAUUACGAGGCAGUCACCAUUCUUUCCCUCUGGCCACUUCUUUCUCAGUUUUCUCUAGAUCUGCUGAUGCAGUUCCAUUCUUCCACUUGUCAGUCUAAAACCCUAGGGAUAAUUUUUUGCCUUUUUCUUUCUCUUACAUCCCAUGUCUAAUAAGCAUCAAAUUCUGCUUGAACAUUGCAUUCAGUACACUCAGGACCUGGCUACUUCUUACUGCCACUGCUGCCAUCACCUGGUCCUGGCUGCCAUCCUCUCUCACUUGGAUAGCUAUGAAGCCUCUGACCAUAUCUCCUUGCUUUAGGUUUUACCAGUUACGGGAGAUGAGUCCCACAGUAGUAAGAAUGGUCUUCCUAAAAAUUAGGUUGAUUUUCACUUCCAGGAAGCUGGAGUAGAUACACUUUUUCCUAUUAUUCCUAUUAAGUACAACUGAAGAACCUGAAUGUUCUGUUUAAAAUGAGCAUAGAUUCUGAGAGAUGGGAAGAAGAAGGUAGUCCAGCUAGGAACCUUGGGACCCAUGGAUGCCAUGGUAGAGAAUUCUUUGGAUUUUUUCCCUUUUAUAUAUUUCAGAUUUGGCAUAAGAAGCUGGCCACCCAUAAAUACCAAUCAGCACAGGAAAAAAAAAAAUGAAAUGAAAAAGCAUAUUCUUUCUUCAGCCAGGAAACCAGGAAAGGGUCUUUCUAGCCCUGUCAGAAAACUUUUACAUGAUAACUGUUCUACUCUAGAAAAACAGCAUGGAAAUUUUAACUAUUAUUUCUUUAAGUAUUUUUUUUUUUUUUUUUGCUCUGCUUUUUUCCCUCCUCUUCUGGAGCUGUAAUGACAGGGUGAGUAGCUCUUUUUCUGUAGUCUCCAGUCUGAGCCAUUGUUCAUUUGUCUUCAGUCAUUUUAUUUUUGUUGUUCAGAUUGGAUAAUUUCUGUUGUUCUGCCUUUCAUUUUACUGAUUUUUUCUUUGGAUAAUUUCUGUUGUUCUGCCUUUCAUUUUACUGAUUUUUUCUUUGGACCUCUCCAUCGUGUUUUGUAAUUUUGUUUUCCAGAGAACAAAGGAGGAGUGAAAACUUCUUAAUUAAUUUUAUGAAGUUAAUAAUACCCUGAUAGUAAAGCCAGAAGAAGACAUUACAAAAAAUUUAAAAAAUUAAAAUACAGACCCAUAUCCUCCAGGAAGAUAGAUGCAAAAAUCUUUGGCAAAGCAUUAGCAAUCAGCAAUAUAUACAAUAUAUACAAAUUUUAUAUAUAUAGAGAGAGAGAGAGAGAGAGAGAGAGAGAGAGAGAGAGACAGACACACACACACACACACACACAAAGAAUCAUGCACCAUGAUCAAAUGGGUGUAUUCCAGAAUUGCAAGCUGGUUCAGUAUUUGAAAAUCAAUUAAAGUAACACUCCAUAUUAAUAGACUGAAGAAGAAAAAUCAAGAGAUCGGAUCACUGAUGCAGUGGAGACCUAUCCAUGAUGAAAGCCCUCAGGAAGUAAGCAAUAGGGGAUGCUGUCCAUUGUCUGAAUGUCUCCCAAGCUCAUGGUUGAAAAUCCCCAUCAUGGUUUCAAGAGGUAGGGCCUUUAGGAAAUGAUUGGGUCAUCAAGGCUCUGUCCUCUGAAUGGAUUAGUACCUUUUAAAAUGGUUGAAUUAGCUAGCGUAGGAUCUUUUACUCUUGGGUCUUCUGCCAUAUGAGGACAGUGUUCGCCCCUUCUGUCAGGUGGGGAUGUGAUAAGAAGGCUUUUACCAGUUCCUGAAUGUUGGUGCCUUGAUAGUGGACUUCCAACCUCCAGACUGUGAAAAAUAAUUUUCUACUGUACAGAUUACCCAUAUUGUUUAUUUUGUUAUUAUAAUAAAAAAGUUACCCAACUUGAUAAAAACUACAACUAACAUUUAAUAAUGAAAGGCUGAUUUCCCCCUAAGAUCAGGGACAAGACAAGAUUGUUCACUCACAUUCCACAUAGUGCUGGAAAUUGUAGCCUGUAUAAUAAGGGGAAAAAAAUGUUAAAAGAUUUAUGGAUCAGAAAGGUUGAAAUAAAAUUGUUCUUAUUUGCAGAUAAUUAAAUUAUCUAUGUGGAAAAUUCUAAGGAAUCUACAGAACCCUCCUAGAAUCAGUGAGUUCAACAAGAUUGCACAAUAAAAGAUAGACACAUAGAAAUCAGUGUACUCUUGUGUACUAUCAAUAAACACAUGAACCCACAAAAUUUAAAAUAUAAUAGAACACCUGAAAAAUAAGCACACUCUUAGUUAUAAAUAUAAUAAAACAUGUGUAGGACUUUUAUACUGAAAACUACAGAAAGAUGAUGAAAGAAAUAAAAAUAAAUCAAAAAAUAAAUGGAGACACAUACCAUGUCCAUGGACUGGAAAAUCCAACUUGGUAAAAAUGUCAGUUCUCCCCAAAUUAUUAUAGAGGUAGUGCAAUUUCUAUUACAAUUUAAUAGUAACUCUUGUUAAUAUGGACAGGCUACUUCUAAAAUAAAUAAGAAAAAGCAAAGUAACUGGAAUAGAUGAAGCAAUUUUGAAAAGGAAGAUUAAAGUGGGAGGAAUUAGUCUACCCAACUACAAGACCUGUUUCAUAGCCAUGUAGUCAAGAUCAUGUGAUACUCUCUGAAGACUGGACACAGAGGUCAUUGGAACAGAAUAGGAAUUUCAGUAGAGAACUACAGAAAUGUACUCAAAUACUUUUUGAGAAAUUAGGCUCUGGAAUGGUUUUUGAGGAUUGCAAAAGCAAGUUGGGGCUGGGAUUGUGGCUCAGUGGUAGAGUGCUUGUCUUGCGUAUGUGGGGCACUGGGUUCAGUCCUUAGCACCAUAUAAAUAAACAAAAUAAAUAAGAGAAAGGGAUUGUGUCCAUGUACAGCUGAAAAAAAGAGAAAAGGUCAGGGGGAUGGGAUGACCUUUCUAACAAAUGGUGCUAAUGCAGUUCCCCACAGGCAGAAAACAUGAGCCGCCAUCUGAGUCUCACACCACAUACAAAAAUUAACUCAAAGUUGAUGGCAGACCCGGAUCUAAAAUGCAAAAUUAUAUAACUUAGGGCAGAAAUGGAAGAAAUCUUUGUGCUUGAGGGCUGUACCUGAUAUGAAACAUCAUCCAUAAAAGGAAAAUUGAUAAAUUGGACUUUAUUAAAAUUAAAACCUGUUUCUGUGCAAAGAGCUCUGUUAAAAGGAUGAAAAGAGAAGCCACAAACUAGGAGAAAUAUUUGAAAAUCAUAUACCUUAGAAAAGAGUGGUAUUGCAAUAUAUGAAGAACUCUCAAAAAUCAACAGCAGAGUGAGAAGCUACAUAAAAGACAUGAAGAGACAUUUUACCCAAGAGAAUAUACAGAUGGCAGGUAGCAUGUGAAAAGAUGUUCAAUAUUAUUAGCUAGUCAGAAAAUGCAAGUUAAAAUCAUGAUGAGCCAUCACCACACACUAUUAGAAUGAGACCUAAAAUGGUGAUAAUAGUAAGCAAUUGUGAGGACGUGGAGGAACUGAUCGUCUUAUGCACUGCUGGGUAGGAGAUAUGCUGUAGCCUCUUUGGGAAACAGCUUAGCAGGUGCUCAUGAAGCAUUGAGCGACUGUCACACAGCCCAGCAACAUCAACUUCUGCACAUUGAUCCCAGAGAGAUGAAAACCAGGUUCAUAAAAACCUAUAAAAUGUUUGCAGUAGAUUCAUCGAAAUAGCCAGAAACUGGGAACAAUCCAGAUGUUCUUCUCUGGAUAAAUGGGACAACGCACUGAGUACACUCUGCAGUGAGGACUGAACUCAGGGUAGAGUACCUGGGUGACUCUCCAGGUACAUGAGCUGAGUGAAGAAGCCAAUCCCAUAGGACUGCAUGCUGUAUUAUCUCAUGCCUAUCCCAUUGUUGAAAUGGAAGGUUACAGAUGUGGAGAGCAUAUCAGUGGUUGCCAGGCUGAGGGCAGGGUAUUGGGAGGGAUGUGGUGGUCAUGGCUCUAUAAGAGAAAAGGGGAUCCUUGUGAUGGAAAUGUUCUCUUUCUCAACUGUGCCAGUGUUACCAUCUUGGCUAGGACGUUUCACAAUAAUGAUGCAAGAAGUAAGCAUUGUGGUUAAGGGUACACAAGUAUCUCUGUGUUGUAUCUGCAACUGCAGGUCAAUCUACAAUUAUUUCAGAAUCAAAAGUUUGGUUAUAAAAUGUAAGUCACUAUCAUGCCAUCCCUCUUUGCAAAACUGUGUGUCCCUUUUAGUGUAGUGUCGGGAAUGUGCUCUCCUGCCACCUGUCCCUGCUGGUUUUGUUAACCCCUUAAACACCAACACACAGCCACAAAUUAACUGUUUCAAUUACCUUUUUACUUUGGUUUCCAUGGGGCUCAGUUCUUGAAUUCAAAUUUAUGGAACACUAGUUCCCCAGUGCCAGGGCUGUUCUAGGUGCUUGGAUGAUCUCAGUGAACAGAACAGAAAUCCUGCCCCCAGUGAACAUUAUAGACCAAGGAAUGUGAUGAAGAAGUCCCUUUCUACAUGUUGUCACAGAGGCAGUGCAAAGCUGGGGAGGAGGGUGGCUCACCUUCUCACAGGGGUGCACAGGGCUGCUCUCCUUGAGAAGGUGCCAACUGAGGAAAGGCCUGGUGCAAGUGAGCGACCUGGGCAGGUGGAUACUUGGGGAAGGGAUGGCAGGAGCAAUGCUCCUCACAGGAAGGAGAGAAUGGAGUGGCUGGAGUUGGGAGGGGGAUGGCUGGGAAUGGAGAGCAGUCCUACAGGACCUUGAAGGCCAGUGGAAGAAUCUGACUUUUCCUCUGCAGGAAAUAGAGAGCCAUGUGGGCUGUGAGAAGAGCAGUGCCAUGAAUGGAUUUAGGCUCUUACAGGAUGGCUCUGUUGUUCCAGGGAACAGGGGCAGGAGAAGGAGCCUGUUCAGCAGUCACUCUCCAGGAGAGCAGCAGUAGAGGUGUGAGGAGGGUGGGCUCAAGGUGUGGCUUGAAGCAGAGCUCUGUCCAGAGUGACUUUUGGCCCAAUAACCUGGAAAGGCAGCCUGGAUGUUUUCCUACAUAGGGAAGCCCUUGGGGCUAGACUGGAAGAUGGGGAGGCUGAGGGUACAGUUGCUGAUUACUUUGGAGGCUGUGGCACUGUUGGUCAGUUUUGGGAGAGAAUACUGGACAUGGGGUAAUUUGGGACUGAAUGGCAUUUAGAUGGAUGGAUGGGGAAUACAGAGAGAUUUGAGGAUCCAGGACUGAAGGUGAGCCCUCUGAUGUUAAGAGAUCAAAGGGAAGACUGGGAGGGACAACUGAGCAGCUGGAGGAAAGCCGGAGCACUGGCUGCAGCUGAGUAGGUGGUGGUGAGGUUGUGUUCGAUGGUGGAGGCGGCUCCAGGGGACAGUGGCACCAGCCAUGGGCAGUGUGCAGUUGCUGGUGGCUAGGAGAAGGGCAGGCUUGGUCCAAGGUACAGCAGAGCCAGACUGGAGCCAGGGCAGCUGAUGACAGCAGUGAUAGUUACAAAAAAGCAUAGGAAAUGUGGUGGCAGUUGGUGGGGAAAAUGGGACCUAGUGGGAAUUUUUAAAAUGCAAGACACACCAGCUUAUGUUUGCUGUGGUCAGUGAGUUGGCUGCAGACGAGAGGCUGCCUGGGCCCCUCCUAUGCCCGACCACUGCCCUCCCUCUGACACAGGCGCCCCGAGGGGCUCCUGGGGAGUGUCAUGUGCCGCCAAGGAGGUAAUGGGAUAUGGGAAGGAGGCAGACAUGGAGACAUAAAACACUGUCUAAGUGAAGGGCAAUCGUAUUUGAAGUAAUUUGAAGAUUGACAGGAAAUUCAUAAAGGGAAUAUAGAGUUCCAUUUACAACGGCAAGAGAUUGCCUUGUCCAUAGCUUCCUGACCUCUGGAGGAACAGCAGUUGCUGCUGGCAGAGUUCCAAAACAGGAAAAUGUAAAAUGGAAUUGAAUAAUCUCUCCUAAAUCAAUUUUGUGAGCCAGACGACCUGCAGAGUGGUGUGAUAUGGUGCAGGUGUAGGACGCAGCACUGCUGGCUGCUCGCACAUCAUGGCACGGAUUCUGAAGAUAGCCCAGGGCCCACUUCCCUUCAGCUCUUGGAGCUUGGUCUCUGUAGCUAACCUCCCUGGUCUUCAGGAUGCAGUCUCUUUUUCUGGCUUGAGACUGUUGAUCUGAGUUUGUUGUGAGGGUCACUUUGCUGGCUGCCAGGUGCUCUGUCAGUCUAGCAGUGAGGCCACUACUGGUCCCUCCUUCUUGGGCCUGGGGCAUGGCUGUGAGUCCCAGGCUGCUUCCUCGGAGUGUGGCUUGUCCCACAUGUUAUUUCCUGUGACCAGGCAGGCUCUGUGGCAGGCCGUGGAGAUAGCUGCUGGGGCCAGGCAAUGGGUGCUGCUGCUCCUACCUGUCUUGGAACACUUUAAACUCAAGUUUCCACCUUACAGGCAGGGGCCUCUAUGUGAGGACACAGCAGGACCCAGAUUGGACACUUAGGCAUUGUGGGUUAGUGUCAACCCGGGUGGGGCAUAGUCUGGUCCUUCACCAACUGUGUGGCUUCACAGAUGCCCUUCAUGAGCCUCACUGGACUAGACCAUCCCUUGUGGACAUGGACAUAGGUGCCUCUAGAUGCUCCACACGGGGCUUGGCACUGAGUGGGUGCAUUUUUUCUCGAUAUUCUUAGGGUGACUGAUCCUGCUUCCACCUGGCUUCACCUUUCAGAGCAUUUCAGGCCCUUUGGGCUGGGAGUUGUCAGGUGAAGUGCUCACCAAGGUGAGUCCCAGCUUAGCACGUCUAUGUACGUAUGGCUGCCAGGAGCCAGGGAUUUGUAGAUGUUUUUAUGGUGGGCCAUGUGUUCUCUUGAUGUUGUUUUCCCUGUGAACUUUGUAAAUCAUAAAAGCCAUUUUUAAUUCACAGGCUGUACAAAACUAGCCUGUGUGCCUUGCUUUAUUGCCCCUCCCUUUCCCUUGCCAUAAGCCUGGGAGGCAAAAAAAAAAAAAAUGUUGGCUUGGCUGCAGGGCAGAUUGACCUGGAGAGGACCCUUGCUGCCCGACAGACUCCAUGUUCAGGUGCCCAUGCCCAUGUGGUGCUGUGGGAGUGGCCGGUGCCAUGCCUUUGAGUAAGUCUUUUCUCGUGGACCAGUGCUUCUCUUCUCAGACUGCACAUUAGUGUUAUGUCAAGACACCCAGCACCUUCUACACAACAGUGGUGCCCAGGUCCCCCUAGAAGAAAAGUCUGAAUCUCUGGGGCCCCAUCUCCACCUCUUUUUUCAGAGCUCCUUGGGUAGUCCCAGAGCUUGACCCUUCUGGCCAAGGCUUGAGCCACUAGGAGCAGUUUGCUGGCUCUCUGCCAUAACCCAGGCAGGCUGGGUCACAGUGUCUCUGGCAUGCCCACUGCGCUGUGGUGCAGCUUUCCGUUUCCUCUUUCCCUCCCCUCUUCUUUCCUCACCCCCUCUCUAUGUAUCCCUCUGUUUCUCUCUUUCCCUCUUUCUGCUCCCUAGCCCAUAUCCUGACAUGCAGUCGGGUGAGCGAGGUUCUGUCUUGUCGGCAAGUGCUGGUCCAGUUAGCAGGAAUACCGAAUGGCAUGGGGAGGCCACUUAGCAGGCAGGCCAAGCUCCAGCCAGGCUGAGGGCAGUGUUGAUGUGGAGCGUCCAUGUGUCCCUCCGUGGAGGUGAGCUACUGCAUCUUUUGGAUGGAUUCCUGUUUCUUCAGUUCUGUAUGUCCCAGUUCCAAGGGGAUGUACAUCUGAGAACUACUGUUUUGUUUACCAAAAAAAAAAAAAAAUAUCCAUCUUUACCUCUGCAACUUUGAUCAAACAGUUUAAGACAGUGCCUAGAGGGAUGUAAGUAAGAGAUGACAGGAGUCUCAUGACUGCGAAGCCCUUGGCAUGCUUGUUUUGUUCUUUUCUUCAGCUUUUGUCCUGGGCCCUGAGGCCCCACCUGCUCUUACUCCAUGUCAGCUGAAUGUCAUGCAUGCUGCUAAAAUGAGAGCCUCCCACCUGAAAUACUCCCUGAUAGAAGCCUUGGAAUUGCAUGCUUGUUUGUUUUCAUGUGUCUAGACCAGAGCUUCUCAAACUCUAAUAUGCUCACAAUUCUCCUGGAUUUUUAAAAUCCAGAUUUUGAUCCAAUAAGUGUUAGGGGUGAGAGUCUUCAUUUCCCAUGAUCUCCUCUGUCCACAUGCUGAGAAGCUUUGGGCCAGUGCACAUGAUCCUCCACUGAGGCGCAUUCAGAGUGACUAUAGACGGUACCUGCCAAGUACAGGUUGUGUUAUUAGCAGCUAAGUGAGGGAAUUGAGGGAGCUGAGUCCAGCUUAGAGAGCGCCGAGAGAGCCCACUACCUGCUCAUCAGCUCCCUCCUGGGGCUUGUGCCUACAGCCUGGUGGAGGCUAGCAUUUGCUGGGCUGUGUAAUGGAGCAUGUUCAGGACCAGGGUGCUGUGUGUGCUGGGGGUGCAUCACAGUGGCGCGCCUCACCAAGGGCAUGGGUGGUGCUCUCUCUGGCUGCCUGAAGGUAUCUGCAGAGGUGGGGUCUUGUGGGGGAGGCUGUGUAGGAGGGGCAACAGAGGGAGUCUGCAGUAGAGUUAAAUGACUCUAAAAAUCCUGGCCAGUUCUAAGAUUCAGUACUCCAAAGACAUGUUUGAGAUCCUGUGUUGAUCAAGAAGCCAGGGAGGACAACAUCGCUGUUUUGCCGACUGAGGUUUGGGAACCAUAAAACGUCUGGAAACUGACCAUUUUGGAUCUUCCCACUGUUCAGGAAACAAAGUGAAAGGACCACUUGUAAAAUAGCUCUCUACAUAAGUAAGUCUAACAAAGGUGGAAGAAUAAAGUCAAUGUCUCAUUUAAAUAGAGCAAGAAAAGCUACAACUGUAGCUCAGGGAGGGGAGUUUGGUGCAGAGUUGAUCCCUUCAAGGUUCUGAAGCACUUCGGGAAUUACUGUCCAAGAGCUAAUGCAUAUUGAUGGGCGUGACUCAUGGGGCUCCGUGAAGCUUUUAGGACCUGGCUCAGGUUCAAGGCACAGACUCAAGAUGCCUCCUGGUUUUUCUCCUGUAGAAUUCUGUGUUCCCCCUGGGAGCCUCUGCACUAGUCACAAAAACAUCCAUUGUCCAGAGAGCUCUGCACAUGGCUGGGUGGGCCCUCAUUGCAGUCGGUGUGUGCACAUGCCUGGCUGUGUGUGCAGAGGCAAAGGGACCUGGAGGAAAAGCCAACCCCAGCUCCAGCUAGGGAGACAUGAUUUCUAAGGUUGGCCCCUUUGCUUGCUACCUAUGAAACUUUUGGACAAACGAUUUAGCCCUUUGGGAUUGCGGUUUCUAAAUCUCUAAAGAGAAAUCAGUAGUCCCUAUCUGGUGGGAUUGGUGUGAGGAAAGCAGCAGUGUAUGGGAAUUGCCACUUACAGCAGGCUCUCAGCCAGAGGGGCUGCUAUUAGGUCAUGACUAGCAAGUGCAACAAAAAUUUCUUGUAACUAGAAGUGAUAGCCUGCUUUCUAGAAUAUUUAGUGUCCCAAGAUGAAUAUUCAAAGUCAGAGUUAAUGAAUAUUUUUGUGGCAAAGCUAACACUUUGUUUUUAAUCUGUUAUGACCCAAAAUCCCAUAAAUGUGUCAGGAGGGAAACACUUCAUCCUAAAUAUACUAUAGGUAGCAGGAUGCUGGCACAGUCCUGAGUACUGCCUGUGGCUUGGACCUUCUAUGUUCUCCUAAAUAUGCAUUUUCCCUGACUUCAAUAAUAUCAAUAUCAGAAGGUGGUGAUGAUUUUUCAGAAUUUGACAGUACUGUGAGACAGCUCUUUUCCCACCAGGAACAGACUAAUGGUAACCUAAGUCUUUUUCUUUAAUGCUUUUUAAAAAAAAUAAAUGUUUCAUUUUAGAACUGUUUUAGAUUAAAGAUUUAAGAUUCUGAAGAUUGCUUAGACAAUUGCUGUAUGCCCCAUACCAUUUAACAUCUUACAUUAGUAAGCUACAUUUGUCAUGGUUAAGGGCCAGUGCUAAGACACUGCUGUAGCUAAUGUCUAUCCUUUACACUCCUCAGUGUUCCCCGAUGUCCUUUUCUGUUCCAGGAUCCUACCAGCAACCUCAUUGCAGGUGACCAUAAUGUCUAGGUAGGCUCUUCUUAGAGGCGGUGCCACUUUCCCACACUUCCCUUGUUUUCGAUGACGUGGAAGGUUUUGAGGAAGGCUGGUCAGGCAUUUUGUAGACUGCGGCUCCCCUGGGAGCUGCCGGCGUCCAGUGUUUUCUUGUGGUUGGACUGGGUUUAUGAACUUUGAAGGAAGACCGCAGAGUUGAGCUCAUCCACCAAGGGCAUGGUGUCCACCUGGUUUCUCACUGCUGAACUGGAUACCUGGGGGAGGGGCUCUGGGGUUUCUCACAGGUCUGUUUCUUUCUGCUCUUCCCCCCCCUGCAGACUCCACUCCACUCCACUCCACUGCACUCCAUUCCACUCCAGAACUCCCUUGGAGGAAGUCACUGUGUGCAGUGCACACUUAAGGAACAAAGGGUUGUGCUUUACCUCAAUGAGGGUGGAAUAUCUCUGGGAACAAUUUGGAUCAUCAUUGGAGAUUUGUCUCUAUUCUCCCAUCUAUUUAUGUAUCAAUAUGAACUCAUGCAUAUUUAUUUUAUACCUUGGUUUAUAUAGUUCUAUGCUACUUUUUUUUCUCAACUUCUUCCAGCUUUGACCCUCUGGGAGCUCUUCCAGUUGGCUCCAGUGUCUCUUUGCCUGGCUUCCAUCAUUGUGUGUGUGCUGCUUUGCUAAGCACUUCUUUACUAGGCACUGUAUAGUGGUCUAGGCUUACUUUAUGAAUUUCCUGUCCCCAUCCUAGGAUUAGCUGUUUCUCCAAGGAUUCCUGGUUCCUUUGAUCAGCAGAUAGUACAAGAAACAAUCUGUUUGGUUGCAGAAUAUAUAUGUAGCUACUGGGUUUUGUUGCUUUAGGUCCUUCUAACUGACAAAGCAAAGGGCUACUUGAAUGUACUAACCUGUACAAUGUACGUAUCUAAAUACGUACCUGUAGACAUCUGUGUCUAGGUUAAGCUAAAUAUCAUUUCAUACUGACAUUUCUAGUUCAUUGCCACAUGGAUCACUCUAGCCUCUCUGUUCUUGUGUGUAACCCCCACUCCCCAAACAAGACAGUUGGUUCCCAUCAUCCACCAUCCUUUUCCUUAAUUCUUUGAUGGUUGGGUUCUGGUGGACACACACAGUGGAGUUGGGAUUGUCAAGUCAUUCUCCCUGGAGAUAGCUUCACCAACUGAAGUGUGGUGCUUGUGUGGGCUUUCUGCUGCCUUGCCACUCCACUCCAGAGCUCCCUAUUUCCCACCGUUGAGUGAGACAUUUCAUAUGUCUUUAGUGCAGUUAGGCUGUGUCAUCACAUUCCACAUACUGUCUUGGGAUUCUUCCAUUCUCCUAAAUGAUUUUUGUAAAAAUUGUGUACAUUAAGGUUUAUAUUUUAUGCUGUAAAAUUCUAUGGAUUUUGAUAACUGCUUUAUGUCUUAUAGCUGGAACCACAGUAUUACCAAUAUAGAGUACUUUUACCACCAGAAAAUCCCCCAUGCUCUACUCAUUCACCCUGCCCUGAGCCUGAUGAUCACAGAUCUGUUACCAUCACUAUUAUUUUACCUUUUCCAGAAUGACCAAUAGGUUGGAAUAGGUUCUCUACACUGGCUUCUUUUACUUAGUGACAUACACUUACAAUUAUUUUGUGUCUUCAUAGCUUGACAGCUCAUUUCUUUUCAUCACUGAUGGUACUCAGUCCUAUGAAUGUGCCAGCUUGCCUAUCUAUUCACCUAUUGAAAAAUAUUUUGGUUGCUUCUAGCUUUUGGCAGUAGCUUUUGGCAGUCUGAAUAAAGCUGCUAUAAUCAUUUGUGUGCAGGCCUUUGUGUGAAUGUAAGUUUUCAACCUGUGUGGGUGAGACCAGGGAGUGCAGCUGAAGGUGGUCUGGUGAGAGCACAGUUAGAUGACAGAGAACCAGCAAGCUGCCUUGCCAAGUGCCUUGCUGUUCUGCAUCCCUAUGUGUGAUGAAGGAGUGUUCCUGCAUCCUUGCCAGCACUUGUUAGAUUCAGUUUUUUGGAUUUAGCAGUUCUAACAGGUAUGAGGUUGUGUUUCCUUGCUCUAGUCUAUACUUCACUAACUUUGCCAGGUUUUUAUAUAUAUAUAUAUGUUUAGUUGUCAAUGGACUUUAUUUUGUUUAUUUAUAUGCAGUGCUAAGAAUUGAAAUCAGUGCCUCACACAUGCUAGGCAAGCGCUCUACCACUGAGCCACAAUCCCAGCCCUGCCAGGUUUUUAUUUGAGCUAUUUUUGAAAACUGACCCUCUUCUGUCUUUUUUGUUACUGUACGACUUAUCCACAUAUCUCCCACUGACAAUGGAAAUGUUGGUUUGUGGUCAGCAUCUUGUUAGCUUGAGCUGUUUUUGAGGUCUACAUUCUUCUACCCAUUAUGAUUACACAUUUCUUUGGAGGCUGCUUCUUUUGUAUAAUUUAUAGUAGGCUCUUGCUGCCCUUGCAGUGAACCAUGCAGGUCCUCAGCUGCUAGGACCACAUGGGAAUUUUGGGAUGAGUGUAUUAUCAAGACUUUAGGAAAUUACUUCCACUAGGAAUAUAGUUUUAGAUUUCGGCAUGCCACCAUAGCUCAGAAUCUGCCCUUGGCCUCCUUUGAUCAUUCUGAGAAACACCCUACCAACCAGCCCCAUGGCCUCACCUUCCAGGUCUCUGUCCUCCAACUUGAUGAUCACUUCUCCUUUUGGUUUGGACAGAGUGGGCUGAGUCUCUGACCUUGCUCUUGCUUCCCCUCUGCCAGGCCUGCGUGUCUGCAGAUUCCAUGCCCAGUCUGCCCACAUGGCUUGCCCAAACAGGCUUGUCCUCUACUCAGUUCUCCUGCUCUCCCCAGGAGGUGGCAGUGUUGGCUCUUGCACCAGUGAUCACCUUCUGAGGGCAGAGGGAAGGCCCUACCCUACCUGGCACUAAGGCCAUUGGCACGCCUGUCCCUUCUUUCUUUAUACACACCAUGAGUGCACCCUGAAGAUGUGCCUACAUCUCCAUCUCUGACCCUGCUGGCAGCCUUUUAGAGGGCUUCACCUGCAUGGCCCCGAGUUGGAAGUGUACCUCAGGCAGAAGGACUCUGAGCCCUCUCCUUUUGGGCCAUUCACACAGGUCCCUGGGAUGAGAGUCUGCCUAAUUCCCACCAUGCUGCUGAGGGUGACAGGGAAGAUGUAUAGCCAUGUGACAUGUGGCCAGUCCACUCCACACAGGUUCUCUGUGUGCAUAGGCUUAAGCUACCCUUGUGUCAUAGGUAGACCCCUGUCCUGUGAAUCCUGUUCUUGCCUGCUUCUGUGGAAGUCUCAUGAGGAGAUCCAGAUCUAAAGGGCACUCACCAUGAGUGGAGCUGGCAGGACUGGAAGUGGCUGUGGGUGAGUUGGUGUGUGGUGGGACCUUGCUGUAGACUCCUGUAGCCUUUGUAAAACUGUCCAUUUAGGCCACACUAACUUUACAGCAAAAGAUUUUUUUUUCCAUUUGAUAUUAAGCUUUUUUUUUUUCCGUUGUGACUUUUUUACUUUAUAAACUUUAAUUUUUAAAACUUUUUAAUACUUUUGGAAUAACACUUUAAACAGAAGCAUAUUGUGUUUAUUGCAAAAAGUAUUUUAUAUUCUUAUUCUGUAAAUGUUUUUCUAUUUCUAAAUUAAAUUUUAAGAAAAAAUUUUAAGUAUUUGUUAAAAACUAAGAGAAGCAGUCAUGUUAGUGUAGGCCUGUGCAGGGUCACAAUCGUCAGUGUCACAGUCUUCUACCUCCACUUCUUGUCCUGCUGGAAGGUCUUCAGGGCAGUGGCAUGUGUGGAGCCAUCAUCCUCUGUGAUAACAGGGCCUUCUGGAAUCCGGGAGCUGGCUGAGGUGGCCGCACAGCAAGCUGUGCUUUUUCCAAGCAGAAAGAAUGCGCUCUAAGACAGUGACUGAAGUGUAGCGUGGUAAACAAUAAACAGGCAUUGUCAUUGCCAGAGUGAACUGUGUGCUUUAGAUAGUGGUGAGCUCUGUACUGGGAUGCAGUGGGCAGCAGCAGGUUUGUUUAGACCAGCACCACCAUGUGAGCAUGGCAUUAUGCUGUGGCAUCGCCACGGCUGUCACACUGCCAACCAGGGACGGUUUAGCUCAAUUAUCAUCUGUUGUUGUUUGUCUUGCUGUGUUUCUCAGGCUGGUCUCCAACUCUCAGGCUCAAGCCUUCUGUGCCUCAGUCUCCUGAGCAGCUGUGACUACAGGGGUAUGCCACCAUGCUCAGCGCAGCUGCAAUACAGUUUGAUGGGGCUUCCUGAUUAUGUGUGGUCUGUCCUUGACCAAGACACCAUAGGUGGUAUACGACUAGCUAAUAGCCAAACCUCAGAGUACAUAGAGAAUUUAUCUAUGUGUAAUAACUAAAGUUUAGAAUGUAGAAGAAAAAUGGCUGACUUACAAUUGAAUUAGUAAUCAAAAAACUUAACUCAUUGCAAUCAAGUGAGGUAUUUUGAUGUUCCUUUUUUAGUAAUCAAUAAGUCAAGUGCACACACAAAAAUAAAAGUAUUCAUGAUUUUAGUGGUAAAUACAUCGAGCUUUAUGUCUUCACCAUAUAAAAAUGUGGCCAACUAUAGUGCACAUAUUCUCUUGAGGCACAAAAAACGGUCCCCAAAUCUGUCUGUGUAUUUGGUCACAAAGCAAGUUGCACAUUCUCUCAGACCAUGUUCUUUGAUCAAAGUAGUUAAGUCAGAACUCAAUAAUAAAAGCUACUGAGAAAGAAGACUUUUAUAUAAGACAUUUUAAAACACUGAAAAGCAUUCUAUUUAAGGAGGAAGUUCCAAUGGAAAUAUCUAAAAUUGAACAACUCUAACAAUAUAAAUAAAAGCCUUGUAGUUGAUCCAUCAUUUAAGUGUCUAAGAACUUAGCAAAAAGUAGAAGAAGGUUAAGAACGGAAGUCAACAAAAUGGAAAAAAGCAUUUUUAUCUUUUAUUCCUUUAAUAUGACAUAUCACAUUGAUUGACUUUUGAAAGUUAAACCAACUUUUUUUUUUUUUUGGUAAAUUGUAUUUGGUGAUGGUGUGUGAUUCUUUUUUAUCAUGUAUUUAUGGAUUUGGUAUUUUGUUGUGAAGUUGUGCAUCUGUUCACGAGAGAUAUUCGUCUGUAAUUGUCCUCUGAGAUCUCUUCUGGUUUUGAUGUCUGGGAACCAUGGGCCUCAUGAAGUGAGGUGGGAUUUAUCCUUUCCUCCUUUGCAUUUUGGGACAGUUAGUGAGGGAUUGAUGUCAAUUCUUCUUUAAGCAUUUGGCAUAAUUCACCAGUGAAGCGACCUGAUCCUGGACCUGGUUUCUUAUGGAAAGUUUUUUGAUUACUCAUUCAAUCUCUUGGGGUUUAUUCAGCUUUCUAUUUUUUCUUGAGUCAGUGUUUAUAAUCUGUACGUAUUUCUAGGAAUGUGUUCACUUCAUCUAGUUUAUCUAAUUUGUUGAUGUAAAUUGCCCAUAGUGUCUCCUUGUAAUACUUCCUCUGUAAAUUUGAAAGUUACAUCUGCUUUCAUUCCUAGUUGAGUCUUCUCUUUCUCUUUUUUUAGUCUGGGAAAAGGUUUCUCAGUGUUGCUCUUUUCAAGGAGCCAGCUUUUGGUCUUGUUUUUCUACUGUUUAUUUUUGCUUGAGCAUUUGCUAUUUCCUUUAAUCUGCUUGAUAUGGGAUUGGUUCUCUCUGUUUUCUCUUGUUCCUUAAGGUAGGAACUUGGCUUACUGAUCCUCCUUCUCUUUCAAAUGCAGGUGCUCGGAGCUGGAGCUGUGGAGGAAGGCCCUGCUCGCCUUCCCUGCUGUGGCUGCUGCUCCUGACUGCAGAGCUCUCCUGGAACUGGGGAAGGGGAUGGGCGCAGGGUAAGUGACAGUGCCACAAAGCUUGCCACUUUUGCCAAGAUUCAGUUUGUUUGUUUGUCUUUUUUUCCUUGAACAGAUGACCCUUGGAUUGCUGCAACCUCUUGAUUAAUUUUCAGAGUUCUUAAAAGUUAAUUAUGACCAUUUUUUCCCAGUGUUCUCUUUGAUUUUAUGGAGGGGAGAGCUGUUGGUGGUCAUUACCCUGCCAUUCCCAAUGAUGUCGGUUACCUACUAUGUUUUAUACAUAAUUUUUUUUAACUGAAUGUGGUUGCUACAGGAUAUUUUAUGGAGAUUGAUUAACUGCUUUUAAAUGUCACAAGGAAAUAAUUUGUAUAAAAGUAGCUAUCAAAUUUUAGAAAAGAACAGUAGUGCAGGGCUGCUGAUUGUGAUGUCAAAACAUUCUAGAAAGCUGAGGAAGGGAGAACAAUGUGGGGCUAAUGAGAGGCAAGUAGUCUGGAGCCUGGCUCCUGGAAGUUCUGUCUUGUGUCAAACACACAGGUGGAAUGCAGGGAGUGAGUAUGUGCCUUUGUGUCUCAGCCAUGACCAGAUAGGCAAGCCUGUGGUGCCCUAGCACGUAGCUGUGUGACUAAGGCUGUGGAGAGGGUCGGCUCCACAUGGGCAUGGGCAAAUGGGGACUACCGAGGGGAGGGUGCAAGCCAGGCCAUCGCUGGGAGAGCUGACAAUGAGGAAUGGGCAGGGGCAUGGGUAGAGAGAGGUCACUCUAGAAGCAGAAGAGGGAAACGUUUUUAGUGUAACUACAGUCUCGAUAAUACAUCUGGAGCUGAGCGAUCACCAGACCCCAGAACCUCCACAGGCAGAGUCACCACACACUGCGUCCCGAGGUUGGCAAGAGAAAGUGCAUUGUGCAACAACCAUGUAACUAUGGACCUGGCAUCUCCAGAUGGACAUGAAAAGGCAGCCAGCAGUGGGAAACAGCAAGUGUUUGUAUAGGAAGAACAUUGCUUCUGUUUGUACUUUACUCUGGGAUCAAUAUGUUAAAUACACAUACUAAUCAGUUUUUUUUAAUAUUUAUUUUUUAGUUUUCGGUAGACACAACAUCUUUAUUUUUUUAAAUUUUUAUGUGGUGCUGAGGAUCAAACACAGCACCCCGUGCAUGCCAGGCAAGCACGCUACCGCUUGAGCCACAUCCCCAGCCCCACUAAUCAGUUUUUAAAAACCAGUUUUAGUAGUGUUAGCGACUUAUUCUUAUUAGUGACUUAUUAAACACAUACGCAGUAAAAACGUGCAAAAAUGCAGUGUUCACAGAAUUUAUUACUGCAUCUAGACCUCUGAAAGAUAUCUGCACAACAGUUUUAGUUCCCCAUCACCUCUUUGGUUCCCUUUGUAGGGUUGCAGUGGUUAUACCGAUGCCUCUCUUGCCUUGCCUCUGUAGGUAACUGAAACAGGUUAGCAGUAGCAUCUCAGACCAAUAGGAAGCAGGCUGCACAUGUCAGACCAGUGAGUUGAUGAGAUCGGAGACUUGGUUGCACAUUCUGAGAUGAUUUGGACUUUGAGUUCAGCUUGAGCUCCUGUUUUAGACUUGGAACUAGAAUGAUCAUUUAUUCUUUUGAGUGCAGAGAUGGCUGCAGUGUGGCUGGAGACCCAUCUGGGCUGCCUCCAGAUGUUUUGUUUUAUGGUCAGACACCAUGUUUCAGGCCCUGUGAUUUUUUUUUUCCUCCCUCAAGUUAUGGAAGCAGUUAUUUGGCAAAUCACCCCACCCCUGCAAAGAGAAGGAUGAGAGUCUAAACUCUUGGCUCCAGAGUGUCCAUGAGUAUUCGUGGAGUCUAACUUUGGUGAGAGAACUAGAGACAAAUCUUUAUACACUGAGAUCACAGUGAGUUCUACCCUGGUCCAAUUUUAUUCUAUUAUACUUUGGUCCAUCUAAAAAUUAUUCUAAUAUAAAAAUGCCAGAAUUUUUUCUCUUCAGUGUACCUAAAUUUGUUGAAAUUUUGACUAGAAAUUAAUGAUGCCUCUUUCUUUCUGCACACCUCUUGUCUCUCACUGAUUCCACCCAGUUAUAUCACUGUCAGGUGCUGAGCAUGCAUUUCACUAACCAACAUGGAAGGGUGCUGAGCCUCUGUUCACAGAUGAGGACAGUGCACGUGUGUCAUCAUAGACUGUCUUACUGGCUUGGGUCUUUAAAGGUUUACAGUGUAGGAUUGUGGUCACAAAUCAGAGACCAAGGGUGCCAUCUCAUGUGUCUGAGAGGUUGACUGUCAGAGGCAUUUGGAGGACUGUUUGUCCAUGUGUAUCAAAAAUUUCAAAAAUAUUUAUCGACUUUGGCUGAAAAUUCUAAUGAAUUUGCAUUCAGAAGAAAGUCAGAUAAGUGUUAUAUUUACACAUGGAAAAUGUUUAUUAUAGCAUUACUUAAAUAAUUCACAAUUGGAAACAGUCCAAAUGCCCAACAAUAGAGGACUUAAUGAUAACUAUACUCUACAGCACAAUAGAACAUUAGGCAUCAACUUGUGUCGUAGAAAAGAUUCAUGACAUGAAAAAGCUGGCAGUAUAUGUGAAAAUAGUAUGGCAUGAAAUGCAGGUGAGUGUGUGUGUGCCUGGUUUGUGGCACAUUACAUGUGCAUUUAAGGGCUUUGGGAAGUUCAGCCUUAGCAUUUGUCUCUGAGAGCUGGAAUUGCUGCUGAUCUCUGUUGCACAAAUUUCUGAAUUUUCUAAAUUUUCCUCAAUGAAUACAUACCACUUACAUAUUCAUAGGAAAAUGAAUAUAUGCUAUUAUUACUCGAUGUAAAUAUUAAUCUGAUCUUUGAGCUGCGGAAGCAUUUUCUAAGCAUAAAAGUAAUCCAGGUAAUCUUGAAUACUAGAUGUUUGAUUUUCAUAGAUUUCUUUGGAUGUCAAUACACAAUGUUAAAAGGCUAAAAAAACUCAUGAUAAAUUUCUCCAGAUGUUACAGAUAUAGAUAUACUACUUUGUUCUGAAAGAACAUAUAAUUGAUGUCAUUUGUUUUAAAAAUAGGUAGAUGUGCUUAGGAGAAAAUACUGCUGUUUGUGUAAAAUGCUUGGAGGUGCUUUUAGACAUGUUUCUUGCACUUUUCUAUACUUUUCAUGCUUUCCACACAGAGGGCAGGUGUGUGUUCUGCAGCUGGCCAUUGUGUUGGAUAGUAGGGCCGGGGCUACCUCUGCAGGGAACCUGCCAUCCUGGGAAGUUCUGAGGCUGAGCUGUGCAGGACAGAUUCUUUGUCACUGAUCGAUUACCAUCUGGAAAGUCCAGCAGAUGUAUUUAGGCAACUUCAGUACUUCCUUUUUCUGGUCCUGGUGAUGAGAGUUGACCCACUCAGAGAACUAGGACAGUAUCAAUAAUGCAGUUUAAAUUUAAACUUAGUAGGUCCAUGUACUGAAAUUAGAGUAAAAACCCUUUUAUAUAUUAUUGCAAGUUGAUCAUGAAUAAAGCCCAUAAAUAUAAUUUAGAAAGACUGAAACAUGUGUCUGUGCUCGCACUCACCUGAAAUAUGUGGGUGGAAGCGAGCAGGUAGGUGAGAAGACACUGAACCCACGUGCAGAGGAACUCAGUGUCCCCAGUGUCUGCAUGGAGGAAAGAAUAUGUGGGUGACCAGACCCUGGAAAGGUUGGGUAUGCAUGGUCUGCGUCCUCCAGCCUUGUCACUUGCAUCACAGCCAAGCAGUGGCCUCAGGAUGCUGCUUUUUGAGGUGGAGUAAGAGCUCAGCCCUGACUGAGUCCUUCUUUGAGACUGUCUCCAAGAGGGCUCAUUACUUAGAAAUGAUGAUUACCUGGUGAUUCUGUGGAGGGAAUUGGGAUGGGUCAUCCUUGCUUGUCCUUACCCCAUGGAGGCCUCUUUCCCCUUGUUUCCCUACCUUCUGCUUCUUGUUGGCACUGUAGGACUCUGUCUACUUUCCUACAGGGGGCAAGCUGAUGAGAUACUUUGUCCCCUAGACCUGGAGAAAUUCAACCAAGCUACCCUAAAGUCAGAUCCUUGCUGUGGUCUGCUUAGUAUUUGGAUAAAAAUAGUAGUAUUUGCUCUUCUUCCUCCAGUGAGAUCUGUCAAAGUCUAAGCCCUUGCAACACAUUUAGCAAAAAUGGGACCUAUGAGCAGAUUUCUAGGAGUCACAUUACCAGGUGUGCCCAGCUUAAAACCACCAACAUAAUAGUGUCAUUGUGAGACUGAGAAUGACAGGGGGCAUCAGAUGUAUGGGUGUAGGGGGUGGUAUGGUGAAGGAGGUAAGAGCCAGGGAAAACCAGCUUUGGGAUGGAGGCCUCAGUGGAUCUAGAAGGAGCCCUCCUCCCAUAGCUGGAGCAGUGCUGCUGGCUCUGUUUCAGGCUGGUGGAAUGCAGAGGCUGUGUCUGUCAGAACCAUUCCUCCAGAAGUAAGGAGCAUGUCUACACUAGGUGCAUGCUCUGGUUAUACGCUGCAGUAUUCUAUGAAACUCUGUGUACCUAAAAGUAGGAAAAUUACACAUAAGAGCUCAAGGCAUCCAGCAUGAUCGGAGGCAUAGCAGGAGACUUAUCACUCUUAUCACUUGUCUAUUGAUCUCUGAUGAACAUGUUCUGUUGUGGAUGUGUGGUUUCAUGUACAAUGCUGGGGAGUAUCUGUCUGCAAACCCGUGCCAAUGCAGGAGCCUGGGCUAUGGGUUCCUGUGGGCCCAGGACCCAUCAGCAGUAGCUCUGCUGAGUGCCUACCCAUGCAAAGCACGUGAAUCCUGAGCAGAUGAUUUCUGAUCAGAGGUUCUUGUGAAUUGCAAGCAUUUCAUGUUAGGUACAAUGCCUUCCCCUUCAAAAGGUCUGUUUCAUCAUGUGAUUUUAAAAAGUGGCAGUUUUUGCUUCACAUAUUUGGCAGGGGCUUGCCCCCUUCUAUCCUGAAUGGUGCUCUUGCCCUGGGCCCUAACUGUUCUGGAGCGUUAGUGGAGUCUAACCCCCUGUUCACAUCGCUCAGGUGGCCUUCUCUCCUAUCCAAGGGUUACAAAUAUUUGAUACAAUCUGGUCUGUCUGUCCCUGUCUAAUGGACAUUUUUGUCCUUCUCUUGUAGGUUAUCCGUGUUUAGAUUUCUUUGUCUGUGUUAAGAAUCUGAAGGAAGACAUCUUCACAUGACCUGUGUGCUUUAUUGCUGUAGAUAGUUCUAGAUGGUCUGGACAAUAUUUAUUUGUCUUUCUCUGUGGGACCAUCACUUUUGUGUGCUUAUUUGCCAUCCAUAUAUUUUCUUUGGUGAUGUGUCUGAUCACAUAUUUUGCCUACUUUUAAAAUUGUGUUGUCUAGUUUUUGUCUGUAAUAAUUUCUAUUUAUCAUUCUUGAUGUUGUUAAUUUGUAUCUUUUUCCCUUUUUUCCCUGGUUAUUCUGGAUCAAUGUUGAUCAAUAUUAUUGAUCUUAAUCAAAGACCAACUUUUAAUUUCAUUAAUUUUCUGUAUUUUUCUACUCUUUUUUCUUUCUGCUUACUUUGUCCUUUAGUCUUAGGUAGCAUAGGUAAUUGAUUUGAGACCUCUUUCUGUUUAUAUAUAUAUAUAUAUAUAUAUAUAUAUAUAUAUAUAUAUAUAUAUAUAUAUAAAAUUUUGUGCUGUAAAUUUCCCUUUUGCUGCAUCCCACAAAAUAUUGUGUUUUCAUGCUUAUUUGGGUUAAAGUUCUUUUGAAUAUUUGUCACAAUUUCUUCUUUGACCUGUAUUAUUUAAAUGUAUGCUCUUUAUUUUCCAAGUAUUUGGAGGACUUUUCAGAUGUUAGUGGUUUUUAAUUUAAUUGAUUUCUAAUUUAAUUUGAUUGUGUUCAGGAAACAUUAUUUUUCUUAUUUCAUUCUUUUAAAGUUUUAUUGAAACAUUUUAAAAAAAUAUUUAUUUUUUAGUUUUUUUAGGUGGACACAAUAUCUUUUAUUUUUAUUUUUAUGUGGUGCUGAGAAUGGAACCCAGUGCCUCAUAUAUGCUAGGCGAGCAUGCUACCACUUGAGUCACAACCCUAGCCCUAUUGAAACAUUUUUAAUGGCUCAGAGUAUGGUCUUCAGAAAUAUUCCAUGACCAUUUGAAAAGAAUGUGCAUUCUAUUGUUUUUGUGUGCGAAGUGUUCUGUAAAUGUCAAUUGGAGGAUAAUGUUGCUUCUGUAUCCCUUACUGAUAUUAUGGGUAGUUUUAAAAAAAAUAAAUCAUUGAGAGAAAAAUGAGGAAAGCCCCCACUAUAAUUGUGAAUUUGUCAUUUCUUUUGGUCCUAUCAGUUUUUGCUUCAUAUAUUGUAAGCUCUUUAUUAUGUAAAAAAGCAUUUAGGAGUAUUACUUUCUUUUGAUAAAUUGACCCCUUUAUUAUAUAAUGUCCUUAUUUACUUCUGGUAAUAUACUUUUUCUCUAAAACCUACGUUUUUGAUGUUUUUAUAAGUGAUUCUGAUUUUCUUAUGAUUAAUGUUAGCUUGGUAUAUAAUUUCCCAUCCCUUUUCUUUUAAACUGAAUGUUUAUAUUUAAAGGGGUUUCUUAUAGAUAGCAUUUACUGUGGUUCUGCUUUUUUACUGAGUUGUAAAAUCUCUUGUGUUUUAAUUGGACUGUUUAGACCAUUCAUAUUUAAUAUGAAUUUUUAUAUAGUUGAGUAUAAAUUUCUCAUUUGACUAUUAGUUUUAUAUUUUUUCCCAUUUUUAUUAGGUCCUUAUUCUUUUUUUUUGCUUUAUUUUGGAUUGAGUACUUUUUGUGAUCAGUAUCCUCACCUUUACCAGCUUAUUAGCUAUAUCUCUUUGUUUUUCGGGAUCACUUGGGACUCAUCGCAUAUAUCUGUAGCCUGUCACAGUCCCACGUAUAGUAAAGACCUACAACAGUAUUUCUGUCACUUUUCCAUGCCUUUAUGUUACUUUUCAUUUAUAUUUUUUCAUUUUAUUGUCAUGCCAUUUUACUUCUAUAUUGUUAUAAGUCCCAUAGUACAUUGCUAUUAUUUUUGCUUUAAAUGGCACAUUACCUUUGAAAACACUGUUAAAAAUUAAGGGAAAGGGCCUGGGGUUGUGGCUCAGCAGUAGAGUCUUUGCCUAGCACAUGCAACAUUGGGUUCGAUCCUCAGCAUCACAUAAAAAUAAAUAAAUAAAAUAAAGGUAUUGUGUCCAACUAUAACUAAAAAAACAUUUUAAAAAAUUAAGGGAAAAGAUUUGUGUGCUCAUGUGGUUUCUGUUUCUAGUGCUUUCCUUUUCUUUUUGUCAAUCUAGAUUUCUUCUUGGUAUUUUCCUUGGACUUCUUCGGGUUUUUCUGUAGUUUGGCCAUGUGGGACGGUGAGUGACUUCCAUGUUCAUUGGGAGAAGCCCCCAUUUUAUGCUUGUGUUUGAAAGUCAUGUUUGCUGUGUCUGGUGUUCUCUUCUGGUGGUGGCUAGUUGUCCCUCCUUGCUCUAACUGCAUCCCCAGCAGUCCUCCGCCCACCACAUGGUGCUUGUGCCUUUGUGCUUGUUUCCUCUAUUUUAAAAAUAAAUUUUAUUGUGCAUGCUGAAGGCACACACGUGAUAUUAUGGACGUGUCCAGCCAGGAGGUUACCUCAUGGAGAUCACAUACCACUCUUCCUUCUCUGGUUGUCUUGUGACAAGAGCAGUUAAUGAGUAGACUAAUGAUUUUGUUUUUUUAUGGCUGAUUUUUAAUUUUCUCUCUCUCUUUUUUUUUUUUGCCAUGCCUUAAUUUCCUUCAUGCUGUCUUAUGGUUGUUGACCUUCUCGAUCUAUGUGUUGUCCAUAAUCUUUACCAGUUUUUGAAACUUGGUCAUGUAUAUUUUUCAGUCUGUGCUGUCUGAUCUGCUGUCCCUUGGCUCUUCACUAUGGUGAGUCUCUAUUGCGGUGGGGAGGUGUGUCAGUCUGCUGUUUUGCUUCGUUUUGGGUCAUUUCUGUCGACACAGAUUGUCCAUCCACAUGGACUCCUCUCUUCUUUUGUGGUGUCUGAUGUGAAGCUAGUCCCAUGCAGUAUAAGUUUCACCUCAGAUGUCCUUUUCAUCUCUAGACAUUUCAUUUGGAUCUUUCUCAAAUGCAUUUCUUUUUUUAAAAAAAAUAUUUAUUUUUUUAGUUGUAGUUGGACACAAUACCUUUGUUUUAUUUAUUUAUUUUUAUGUGGUGCUGAGGAUCGAACCCAGGGCCUUGCACAUGCUAGGUGAGCGCUCUACCACUGAGCCACAACCCCAGCCCUCAAAUGCUUUUCUUGUCUCUCCUUGUUGUUAAGUUGUUAAGCAGAGCCUGACUUAGUGGUGCUGACAUGACCCAAUCACAGAGGUCACACUCCUUCAGGUAAUGCCACUGUCCCCAUGCUACCCAGGAUCUUCAGUCCAGGUGGGGAGUGCGCACUCCUCCUGGACCCUGAGCACCACGCUGUUUGAGUUUCUCCUUUUCUGGUUCCUCCCCUGGCUUCAGGGGAUUCACUCACUCACAGGUACAAUCAGAGUCCAGGUGAGAGCCCAGGGUAUCUGCCUUGGUUCUUGGGAGAGUUUCUUCAAGCAGCUCUUCUCUUUCUGGUUCUCUGCCCUCUGAUUUGAGUGCUUUUGCCACCCUGCAUUCUUGACACCUGUCUCCCUGUUGGGGCUCCUCUGCCUCUGCCUGUGCUGUGGAAACUCCCCAGGUUGCAGGCCGGGGCAACCACAGGAUAUACUCUAUUUGCUUCCCUUUUCUCAGGGUCAUUGUCCUAUGCUGCCUGUGGUUCCACAUCUGAAAACCCCUGGUUCCUGUAUUUGGUUAACCAUCUAGAGUGGGAGUCAGUGCAGCCAAUCUGCCUCUGUCCUUGCUGGAAGUGGACAUUCUGUUCCUGCAGUCUUUAGGCAUCACUGGACAUCUGACUGUGGGCAGUCAUCCCUGCAUGUGGUUUACCUGCUUGUUUGCCCUGUGUGGGGUGGACGCUUCAUUCUGUCCUGUAGGUGAAAUGCUCUGCAGAGUGGGGCCGAGACCCUGUGGGCAUCUUGGGGUGUCCCAUCAGGCCUAACCUUUUCUUCCCCAGGCUACUCCCCAUGAGUUUAGAGGAAUUUGAGGAUCCAUUCUGCCCCAGAUUUCAGGCAGGUAUAGGACUAUGGGUCAGUUUGGGAUAGCUGAGACACUAAGAUUUUAUCAAUCUAAGUUCAGACCCAAUUUAAAUCUAAUCAUGUGUUAGGGAAUUCUUUCCCAGGGAACCUGCCUUUGACCUUCAAAUAGCUGGCUUAUGAAUAUAUUAUUUUAAUAAAUUACUUUAGGUUGAUUAAAUUUUAUCAACUAGAUAUAAAUUUUAUCAAUUUAUAUCUAGGUUGACUUUUGUCUUUGGAUUUGUUUCUACCUAUGAUUUCCAAUUUUAAUUAUGUUUUCUUAGGCUAUGGGACUAUCAAUGGAGGGAGAGCUUCACACGUCCCUAUAAAUAGUGCUUCUCACCGUGCUGUCGUAGAGAUCACGCCUUUAGGCUGAACAAUGCUUUUUAUAUCAGCUGAUUUUUGAAGUCUUGCUUGGCCUUGUGCCUGGUUUCACAUCAGAGCAUGGGAGGGACCUGUGGCAGGCUGGGGGCAAUGGCAGUGUGAGCUGCACAUGCUUUCCUCCCCUGAUCCUCCUUUCUAUUAACCUUUCUUCUCCAAUGCUCAGCUGAUGUGGUCCAGGAGGGGCUUGAGGGCUGGUUGUGAAUGGCUUCGAGUGGACAUGGCUUCAUGCCUGUGUUGCAGCAGUGCCACUGGCCCAGCAGUGACGAGUAGUGCAGUGUGUGCCUCUAGCCACAUGGCAGGUGGGUGGCGUCUCAGAUGCUCAAUGGGGCCCUGGCUCUAGAUUUGCAAAACUACCUUUAGAUAUUUCUUUCAGGUUUAUCAUUAAGAGGGUUUUCUUUUUCUAAGGCUUAUAGAUAUUGUUUUCAAAGUUUUCAGCAGAAUACUUGUUUGUAAGCAGUCUUGUGUGGAAAGCAAGGUAACCGUAGUAGCUGCUAAUGUUUAUGAGGUCCCUGAUUUGCGCCAGCUCUCUUGACCUGACUGUUUCACAAGUAGUCACAUGCUUAGAUCUUAAAGUGUCCCUCGAGGCGAGUAUCACUCUCUACCCACUUUCCUGAGGCUUGGAGAGUGAAGUAACUCACUCAAGGCACCUUGGUUGCAAGUGGCAAGGGAGGAGAGAGAGCUGCCCUCUCAUGUGACUUCCCAGUGAUGGCUGCUGAGGACCUCCCAGUGACAGCCUCUCCUGUGGGCUUGGGGGCAGCCCAUUGCUGCCUUGCUGUCCUGGACUUAGCAGACCUCCAUCAGAAGGCACGUCAGGCACAGCCCAGUGACCUUCCAGAGCUGUCUGCUGCGGCAGGACCACCACUCACUCAGAAAAGACAGUCCUCCAGGUGAGAUGGUGGUGAGGGUCAGGAUCUAUGAGGUAGUACUGGCAUCCUGACUUUUCCACAGAGGAAAGUUCUUAUUAGCAAAUUGCUGAAACAGCAAUUGCUGGAAGUGGACAUUCAUUUAGUAGAUGUGCAAGGGGUGCCUGGCAUGUGCUGGGCACUCCUCAAGAAUCCUGACAUCCUUGUGGAGGGAUACAAAACAUGGAUGCCUUCAGCAAAUACCUCCCGUAGCAUGUCAGGCGGUGAGGACUGCUAUGGAAGAAACAAAGAAGUGGGGGCAGGUCCUGGUGCCACGUGGGCAUGGCAGUCAGGAUGGGUCAUGGGAGGGUGGGCAUCUGAGCAGGUCCUUGCAGAAGGUGCAGGAGUGAGUCCAGGGGUGCUUGUGGAUUAAUGGUUCCAGGACAAGGGGAGCUAGAAUAGAGGCUGUGGAAGACCUGCUUGGUGUGUUCAUGGAGCCACCAGGAGCCUAUGUGGCCAGAGCAGUGUGUGGAGGGGAGAAGCAGGAGCCAAGGUUAGGGUGGCAGUGGGGUGUGUCAGGGUCUUAUAGCCAUGAUGAGGCAUGUGGUCAAUUGUUGUAGAGCUGGGCUGAGGAUAGAGCAUGGCAGUAUGACUGAGUGGGGAGCUAUCUCGUCUUCUCACUCACUGUGCUAGGUUGCUUCUGUUUUGUUUUUGUUUUUUCAUCCUAGAGCUGUUAUGAUACCUGCUUCUUAGAGGAUAUCCAAAUCCUUAUUGCCUUGGGACCAGCUUUAUAAUUGUGCAACUCUGGAUCUAAUUUUAUAAUUGUGCAACUCUGGAUCUAAUUUUCACAGAAAUCUCAAGGGAAGGGCCUCUGGAACACAGACAUACAAACCAUGCUGUUUAUGUGCUAUGCCUCUUUUCCCUCAGACUUUGGUGUUGUCUAAAUUCUUCCUCCUGGCAGAAGGGGGACUUGAGUUCUGAUCUGGCCUCCAGUUUUGGAAAUAAACCAGUGUGCUGAGCUGGGGCCCAGCUGUUGGUGCUGCACAGCUCAGCAGGUUCCAAGCUAGUGAUGGCCCAGAGCAGCCAGAUUGAGAAGCAGAGAUGUGCAGUGUGGUUUGAACCAUCAAGGCUAUAUGCAAGUAGGUUCCAAAGGGCUGCAGCAGGCAGAUUCUCUCCCGAGGCCUUAGUUAAGUAAAGGGAGGGAGCUUUUUAUGGGGCACUUGUGGCCUCUUGUGUAGGUGGAGAGGGAGCUGUUAGGAGCACUGAGGUGCUUGGAAUGGAAUGGCUCUGUUUCCAUGGACGAUGCUGAUUGGGUCCUGCAGUUGUUCCCCCUGGGACUCCUGGGUGGUGCCAGGAAGCAGAACAGAGCUCAUCUGCAGUGGGUGCUUCCCAGGAGACAUGGUGGCUUACCUUUCCCCACUUCUUUAGAGCAAGGUGAGUGCAGUCCUCCACAGAGAAGCACAGGUGGCCUUUCCUGGUUCAUGAGUGCAGUUUCACUCCCUGCAGCUGGUUAAUGAUGCAGCCACUCUUGUCCCCAUCUUCCCUACACUAAGAUCUGGGAACUAAGAAAUAAUGAUAACAAACUUUGAUGAAAGUUUUUAUUUACUUCAAGGACUUUUAUUCUUUGCAAUAAUGCAUUGGUUAUUUGCUGUUUACAUUUUUGUUUUAUUACUCUAAGAACUUUAGAACUGGAACAUUUGGAAAAUAUGAAUAAGAACUUUAACACUUGUCUCUAAUGAGUACAGACAGGAGGUUUGAGCAGAGGAACUGACUGAGCUAGCCCCAAGCGAAUGUUGCUCCAACAAGGGCCUCAGAGUGAUUGUCCCUGCCCUUUCCAGUCCUUGAUAGUGUUGUGACCUGCCCCAUCUUUGCAAACCUGUGGUUACUCCACACACACUCUUUGCUUUGCUAUGUGUGUCAAGGGCCCACUUGGCAGAGGAACACGGUGUUUCUGGGGAGACCUGUGAAGGUGUGUGUGACGUGAUGGUGCACAUGUGUGUGGCACGUGUGAGUGUGUGUUUAGUGUGUUGUGUGUAUGCGUUAGGGCAUUAUAUUGCCUCCUCAGGUCUUGGAAAUGGCAUUACCAUGUACCUCUGAGAAUGGGAGAGGCAAUAAGGGUGGGCCCCUUUCUCCCUGGGACCCAGGAGUCUUGAGCACUGCAGGGGACUGUCCCAGACUGAAAGCAUGGCUGUGUUCCAGAUUUUGAAAACCUGGGGAUGGAUGGAAGAGGGAGGAAAGGGCUGCAGGUGAAAUGAGGAGCACCACGGGAGCUGGCUCACAGGAGUGGCCCAAGAGGAGGUCAGAGGGAGUUCCUGGUGUGUGAGGGUCAGAGGGCAGUUGACCUCAGCUGAGAUGGGAGAGAAAUUACUAAGUGUGGGAAUACCACACAAGCCCACAGUGUGAGCGCAAGCUCUGUGUACAGGAAGGGCCUGGCUCUGGGUGGGAGGAGCAGUCACAGAGCCAUCCUUGAGAGGGUAAGGAGGCGUGGAUGGGUACAGGAAGUCACCUCUCAUCUGUCAUAGCAGGAAGUAAACCGUCGGACAUAAAUAACAUUGUAAAGUCAAAGAUAGCAAUACAGAUGUGGUAACAAGGAAUCUAGAGCAAGGUUGAUACCACAGGAGAAUGAAAAGUGGUCUAUGACACAGAAACAAGGUGGCAGUAAGGGGAAACACUAUCUUUCAUGGUAAACUUUGUAGAAUUAUUUAAUUUUUAAAAGGGUACACAUUUAUAAUUUUAUGAAAAAUGAAAAUAUUGUUUUCAUUUCAAUUUUUUUUUUUAGAAAAAUAAUUAAUAAACUUGGGCCCUUCAGGUUCCUUCCCCUUGCUUCUGUUCCUGCCAGGGCAGAACUCAGCCGCAGUUGCCAUCUGCUCCUCCCCAGCAAGUCCUCUUCCCAACCCUGUACCCACGCCUGCAGAAUCCCAGGAGCACACUUCUCUGCAGCCAGGCCUGCCCCCGCUUUGUGCAGGGUGCUCUUCCCAGAGCUCUCACUCCACACUCUGGGCUUCCCCACUGUUGGUGGGCAUCCCUCCCCGUGUCCCAUGCCUGCUCUGCCACGAGCUCCACUUGUUAGGGCAGCUCUUGCCCAGUGCUCAGGCUUUUGAGGAUCUCUUGCCAGGCCGAGUGCCUCAGGGAUGAAAACUGUUACAAUUGUUUGUAUCAUGCUUUUCUGCUGCUUAGCCGUCUGCAGAACGUUCCACUUGGCCAGGAAGAUUUCUUUGGAAGGUGGCAUAGUCCCCUAGCCUUGGGUGUAAGCAGGCAUAGUUUUAUUGGAUUCUUCUCCUUUUGUUUACUUCUCUCUGUGGAAGUGAGGUGCAUGUGUGCUCGGGAACUUGCCUCCCCUUCAGCCAUGGUCCUGCCUGUGGUCUUCUUGGAGCAAGGGGGAGAGACAGCUGAAGGAAGCACAGUGUAUAAUAACCACAUUGGUCUAGGGUGGCUAGUUCAGCUCCCCUAGAAACAUGGGGCAUUGUGCCAUCUGCACCUGGAAGUGGAGCAAUGGACGGCACCCCUGUGCAGGUGCAGCUCCCCAGCACCAGAGCACUCUUGCCUGACCGUUGGCACUCUCGCCUUGCUGAGACAUCUGCUUUUACCUGAGUGGCUGGUACUUUCGCCAAGUGCAUCAUUUGCCUUGUCAUCUGCUCUGAGUCAUGGGCAGUUCCAACAGCACUUUCCUUUGUGGUGCCAUUUUGUAUUGAGUUUACUUGUAGAGAACCCUUGCCCACCCUGAAGUGUGGGCAGUUCCUUUCUUUUGUUUCUGUUUUUCUUUAGCUCCUGGGAUUACUUGGGUGUGUGUUGUUGUAUGACAGUGUAAGUCACUCAUAGCUGUGGAAACACUGCUCUUAAAGCACUCAUUUCUCGGUGAUGGUGCUGCUGCUGCUGUCCUGCCUGUGUGUCACACUCCCUCACUAUUCCGUCCUUGGUCCUGCUGCUACCCCACUUUAAUUGUUUUGACUUUAUGGCAUAUUACCAAUGCAAAUGUUCUGAUAAAGAACCCCACUAUUUUAAGAAAACAUUUUACCUCUUUGGCUCCUUGCUUUCUAGAUGAACUUUAGAAUGAUUUUCAAGUUAAAAAAAGUUUAUAGUGCUAAAAUGUAGUUCCAAAUGAUCAAAUCUGUGAUUUAAAUCAUGAACAGCUGACACUUUGGUGGUAUUCAGUUCUGAUUCAGGAAGCUCUCCUGUCUUCGAGUAUUCUGUUAGCCUGUCUUGCUGUAGGUUUUUACUUUAGAACUGUUUCCCAAUAUAUUUGUGUCAUUUGGUUAUCAUAAUUGGAAUUUCCCUAUUGCACUUAACCAGACACCUACUAGUGGGUAGGAAAACUCUGUUUUUUAUGUAAUUGUGUGUGAUUGUGCGUUGAAUGUUUUUGGCCACGAGACAGUUUUUGGUUGACCAUAGACUUAUUCCUGACUUGAUCCAUAUGCUUUCACUGAAAAGUGUGCUUGCUGUAGCUGCCUGCUAAACAUUCUUCACUAAGUUGUACAGUUUCCUCCUAUUGUUGUUAUUAUUUUAAAUUGAAAAUGAAAAUUUCAUUAGUUAGUUGCAGCUGUUAAGAUGGUCAUAUGGUUUUCUCCUUUCAUCUCUUAAAGUCAUGAGGUCCACUGAUGAAAUUAUGGAGUAAGUGAUAUUAGGUCUUUUUGAUGCUUUUUAAUAGUCUUCCAAUUGCAGUGCACUCCAAAUGUUUUGCUGGGACUAGAAUAAGGGUUGGGGCUAUAGUUAAGGUCAGUGCCAGGGCUGGGAUUAGGGUCAUGUUAGAACUAGUGUGAAGUUCAGGGUUAGGGUUGGGAUUCUAGCUAGUGUGAUGUUGCUCUGUAAGUUUCUUUUCUAAUUUUUUUUGGUAUGGUUUUGGAAUCAUGUAAGUGAUAGUUUGCUUCUAUAACAUGAUUCAAGAAACUUUAUUUUUCUCUUUUACUUAAACAACAAAUUUUCCUUUUCUUAGAAAACAAGCAUUGUUGGUCUCCUGUUUGAUAGCAUUCUGCUAUUCUCAUUUCUUAAAUGUUGAUUCUGGUGUUUUCACUCAUUUUCUAGUUAAGGCAUUUUGGCUCUUCAUUUCCUCCCAAGACACUUCAAACUUUAUCUCAUUGGCUUUGUUGUGUACUAACCAGCUAUUGUUAUUCUUUAAUCCAAAAUUAUGCAUCCUCUGGGUGGUUUUCUCCCCUGUGGAGGACGUUUCUUUUGUUGUGAGUUGCUCCUUUUGCAGCAUUGCAGCCAAGAAGGUGGCUUGUGUGGGCCCUAUGGGAGCAUGGGUGUGGAACUUUGGGAUUGUGCUGGUUCUGCAGGGAGUGUGGUCAGGGAGCCGUCCACACACCUUCUGGAGCAGUAGGUGCCACACAAGCCCACCAAGUGACCCUCCCGGUAGAUGGAACAGUGACAUGAAAAGAGGGGGAGUCUGGAGGGUUUUUAUUUAACCCCCUAAAUAAUGUCUGUUUAAAAAAAUGUUAUUGAUGAAUUAUAAUUGUACCUAAUAGUGGGAUUCAUUGUGACAUAUUCAUACACACACGUAACAUAAUUUGGUCAGUCUCAUUACCCACUACCUCCCUUUUUCUCUCCCUCCCUCUCUCCCUCCCUCCCUCCCUCCCCCAGUCUUCUGCUCUACUGGUCUCCCUUGUAUUUUCAUGAUCUUUUCCCCCUGUUUUUCCCCUUUUUCCUCCCUAGAUUCUACAUAGGAGAGAAAACACAUGACCUUUAACUUUCUGAGUUUGGUUUAUUUCACUUUACAUAAUGCUCCCAAGUUCCAUUUAUUUUUCUUGCAACUGACAUAAUUCUGUUCUUCUUUAUGGAUGAAUAAAACUCCAUUGUGACUAUAUACCACAUUUUCUUUAUCCACUCAUCUUUUAAUAAGCACCUAGGCUGGUUCCAUAACUUGCCUUGUGAAUUUUGCUGCUUUAAACAAGGUUAUGCCUGUAUCACUGUAGUGGGAUACUUUAAUUCUUUAGGAUAAGUAUCAAUGAGUGGUACAGCUGGAUCAUAGGGUGGUUCCAUGCCUAGUCUUUUGAGAAACCUCCGUACUAAUUUCAUUAGUGGUGUACUAUUACAAGCAGUAAUACAACUGCCUGUUGUACACCAAUAAGCAGUGUGAAAGUGUUUCUUUUCCCUUAUGUCCUUGUCAGUAUUUAUUACUUGUAUUCUUGAUGAUUGCCAUUCUAACAGGAGAGAGAGAAAAUUUCAGUGUAAUUUUGAUUUGCAUUUCCCUGAUUGCUAAAUAUGUUGAACAUUUUUUCUCAUAUUUGUUGGCUAUUUGCAUUUCUUUUGAGAGUCUGGAAUCUGUAGGGAGCAGGUUCACUUCUCUGAUAGACCCAAGUACCAGGGGGCUUUUGGAACCUGGCUCUGAGCUGCAGGGAGGCUGGGGGUGGUGUGGAGCUCAUGGGGAAUACAGAAGAGAAGGUUAAGCUGCUGAAGCAGAGAGCUCCUCAAACCUGCUAGCUUCAAUAAGGUCAGGUUUGUUUCUGUGACAUAACUGUUCCAGGGAUGGGGCUGCUGGCUCUAAAAGACCCUGCUGCCUCUGAGCUCCCUGCCCUGGCUCUGGGUGGCCCGCCAUUCUUAGCCUGUAGUUUCUAUCUGGCUCUGUUAUCAUAGCCUCAGAGCCAAGAGAAACACAGGUGUUGAUUGUGGGAAGGAGGAGGGUGUGCGGAAGGGAUCUGGAGUCAAAGCGGUGCUGACUUGUAUCACUAUCUAGGACCAGCUGCAUACCAGUCAUGUGAUCUAGACCAGCUGUGUACUGUGUGUGCCAUGGUGACCCUCUGCAAGGGUGGUCAGGCUGCUGUGGGCUGCCCAGAGCUCGUCAUAACCCUGUUGUUGUGGAGGAGGGCAGCAGGGGCCUAGGGAAGCCUCUGUGCCUGCCACAGGCGAGUGAGGAGUGCAGCGAGGAGGAGGGGCUGAAGGGAGGCCUGGGGCAGGAGGGCCAGCAAGAAGACCUCGCAGUGUUAGGAAGGCAGUGUCAUAUGUUUCCUCUUGCACUUGAAAGCAAGAGAGAAGAAAGGAAAAAGGGGUCCCCUGAAGACAGAAGGGAGACCAUUAGGCUAUAGCAGGGGACAAGGGGAAGGGACCAGGAGAGGGUAGUGAAGGUACCAGGCAGCGAGAUUGAUCAAAUUAUGUGCAUGUACAGAUGUGCCACAAUGAAACCCACUGUUCUGUGUAAUUAAUAUGCGCCAAUUAAAAUUAAAAAGAAAAAGGGCCAGGUGUGGUGUCAAUAUGGCAUCCCUGACACCCGAGGCAGUAGACAGACACGUUCCGGAAUGCUACUUGCCCCUACAGAGGGGAACAUUGGGCCAUGUGAUGGGGUGCUGGGCCUACAUGCCUCCAGGAAUCUUGCCCUCAGUGUCUCAGCAUUCUUGGAUGCCACUGUGUGACACAGUGGGUGCUGCUCACCUGCCAGCCAAGAUACCAGGGCCUGCAGGGAUGGGGAUGGACACUGCUUCCUUGCAGAAACCUGGGCCUCAGCCCNCACAGAAUGUCCACCUGCCUCUCCUGGGGAUGUGAAGUUGCUUCCCCAGUCAAGAAUUCUUUCUUUCUCUGUGGUUUCCACCUUUGCCCUGUGAGUAAUGUGGGAAGACCACUAGCCCCACUGUGCCCUGCUCCUCAUCCAAGCCCUGGGUUAGUAUCUGAAUGGUCUUGGCCUAGAUGAGACUUUUAUCAUGAUGGUUGCACGGGUGGCUUGUCCUGCUCCAGUGCUCUGUCCUCUCAAGUCUUGGCCAGCUUUGUGAGCAGGAGCCCUCCCUUUUUGCCCCUCUGUUUUUCUGUUUAGUAUCAGUUUUGUUUAAUGGAUUCCUGUCCCAAUAUAUCAUUCAACAUGAUCCUCUGAUUUUGGAGCUCAACUGUCCAGAUAUGGUCAGUGGGAUUCCCUCCAGGAUGGCUCCAGGUCCUGGUGGGAGGUCUGCUUCCUCUCUCCCUCCCUCCCUCCUUUUCAAGCCUUCCUCCCUUUGGCCCCCUUCUCAUUUUUUUGAACACUCCCUUAUUUUUCUGCAUAGUGUUUCAAGCUCAUCUGAACCUACCCCAGCCCUAAAAUAAGCCAUUUUUUUUUAAGGUCCCUGGUUCUUCAUAAUGAGGAAAUGUUAUCAAAGAUGGAGGUCUGGGUUCUAGGUGUGUUUUCUUCUAUCACAUAUCUUUGCUUCCCCUCAGUGGUCAGAGCUGGGAAAUGCUACAAUAUGCACAUGUGUAUGUACACAUUUUAGCAUUGAGCGUGUAAAUGUAUGUGUGUGUGUGUGUGUGUGUGUGAAAUUGAUCCUGCAGUGUCCUUUUUCUUCCUACCAUCUCCACUCUUCAGGUGGCAGUGAUGUUCUAAGGGUGUCUCACCAGCUCCUGAGGCCCUUUGCGUCUCUUCCCUGCUCUGUUCAGUGACGACAUUUGGUAGUUUGCCCAUGGCCAGAAGGAACCUGGCCAACACUGCAGACAGGGCUCCUUCUCUGCUCCAAGGGCUCUUUUUAAAACAUUACAUGUUUACCAGCAUACCAGUGUAGGCAAGCUCGUUUUAAAAAUUUGUUAAUUAUCCUCCUGUAUUACUUUUUAUAAAAAUAAGCAAACAUGUAUGUGUUGAACUUUCUCACAUUAAAUCUAUAUAACAUAUUUUGCUACAUAUGCUCUGUCUUUUUUUUUUUUUUUUUUACUCUUUUAUUGUAAACUAUACAUAGCAGGAGUUGUUGUAGUGUAGAAUGGAGUGGCAUUAAUUACACUCACAGUGCCACGUGGCCACUCACCUCUGCACUUCUGACACUGUACACUGGUGGCCACCCCGUGCUGCUCAUCAUGGUCAUCCUCAUCCUUUUUCUCCCUGCUGUCUGGUGCUGCUUCAAUGCUUUCACGUUGUGACACAGGGUGUUGCAAGCAGCUUGCAGUGUUUUGCAGUUAUGGACAGGGAUGUGCUGAAUGACCUUGUGCAUUUGUGUUUUCAUGUUAGGUCAUGGGGUCGAAUAUGUGUGUAGUUUUGCCAGAUACUUCUUCUAGACCCCCUUCCCAGGGUGGAUGCCGUGUCUCACCUCCCUCAGCAGUAUCCACCAGCAGUCUCCAGUGGCCUUUUCCACUGUGGCUCUCCUAUAGAGUCUGUGCUUAAUUCUGGAGUUUUUGCCAAAGUGGCUGGUGAGCCUGGCAACUGAGAGUAGUUUUAUUUGCAUUUGUCUUCCUAUGAGUGAAGUGGAACAUCUUAUUAUGUUUAAGAACACGUUUUAGCAUGUCUUUUGAAAAUUUUUCUGUGGAGUCUUUUUUGUUUUUUCCCUCAAUUUAGACCAGUUUUAUUCAUUGAUUUAUAGGUAUAUUAGGGAUAUUAUUUCUUUUUUUGCUGUGAUGUAUGUUAUAAAUAUUUUCUUCCAUUUAUUAUUUGUCUGUCAUAUUUUAUCAUGGCAUAUUUUGCUAUGACAAAGAUUUUUAAAUUUUUAAUUCGAAUUUAUCUACUCCUUUUUUAUUGCAUCUGGAUUUUAGUUCAUAAUUAGAAAGCCUUUUCCUAUGUCCAAAUUAAAGAGGAAGUUACUGUUAGUCUAGUACUUGUAUAGUUUAUUUUUUUGCUUUAUUUGUUUAUAGUUUUCGACAUUUUUUUUUCCUGUGGCGUGUUUUAUCUUUUCUAUUUCAUUGACUCUGUUUUUAUUUUCCUUACCUUUGCUUUUUGGGUUCAUUUUGCUAUUCUUUUUCAAAUUUAUAUUGAAUGUUUGCUCAUUGAUAUUCAGCUUUUUAACAUGUAACUUGGCAUCUAGAUUAUGUAGUUUCUACUUAGGUACAGCUGUUUCAGUGUAUUGAUUUAGAUAGAUAGUACUUUUAAAAAAAUUUUUAUUAUUGGUUGUUCAAAACAUUACAUAGUUCUUGACAUAUCAUAUUUCACACAUUUGAUUCAAGUGGGUUAUGAACUCCCAUUUUUACCCCGUAUACAGAUUGCAGAAUCACAUCGGUUACACAUCCACUGUUUUACAUAUUGCCAUACCUAGUGUAUGUUGUAUUCUGCUGCCUUUCCUAUCCUCUACUAUCCCCUCCCCUCCCAUCUUCUCUCUCUACCCCAUCUACUAUAAUUCAUUUCUCCCCCUUGUUUUUUUUUUUCCCCUUUCCCCUCACUUCCUCUUGUAUGUAAUUUUGUAUAACAAUGAGGGUCUCCUUCCAUUUCCAUGCAGUUAUAGAUAGUACUUUUAUCAUCCUUAAAUUUUAAGUGUUUUGUUUGUACUAUGAUUUAUUUUUAGCAUAUGAGUUACUUAAAAGUCUUUCUUAAUUCUAAAUAUAUGGGGUUUAACAUAUUAUAAAAUAUAUUUAUAUAAACAAUAUUUGACAUAUUUUAGUUUUUAAGUGCACUGUUUUAGACAGGUAUGUUCCGGAUGGUACACCUGGGUCAAGUCUCACUAAUGUUCUGUUUGGAAGGGGUACCCUUUGUAGUUUUGGAACAUAAGCCUUCUGUGUACAGUCUCUUGGUGAAGCUUGGUACAUCCUAUUUCUUUCUUGUCCUGAUGGAUAGUUCCUCUAGCGGGUAUAUCAAUCAUUGUGAGAGUUGUGCUCGAACCUAAGAAUUUGAUUGUAGAUUUCUAUAGCUCUGCUGUGUAUGUAAUGUUAAAACUAUUUGUAGGUAUAUUAGGUUUAGAAUUGUUGUAGUAGCAUACUGACAAAUUGAACCUUUUUAUCUUUAUGUAGUCUACCUCUAGUAAUGCUUUUUGAUUUAAUGUAAGUUCUGACAUAGUUGCACAGUCAGAACUUUCAGAAUCUAUGUAUCUAAAUACUUUAUGUGUAUCUUUAAAAUGUUGUCUAAUGGAAUUUUGUCUCAUCCUCCCUGAAAAAUAUUUGUCAUUUAGAGACUGAACAUUUAGUUUACUUUCAUUUUAGUCAUAAUUUGGACUCCACCCUACAGUCUUAUUUUGAGCUAUUUAGUUCAGCUUUCUCAUGGUAUUUUUUCCUCUUCCUAUCUUUUGAUUGACUCAUCAUUUCUUUACUCAUUAAGUUUUCUCCUUUACUGUAUAAUUUUGAUUUCUCUUAUUUUUGUGUUUUUCUUGCAUGUGUACUUCAUUUAUCAGUGUGAAGUUAAUCAGUGUCUUUAUCCAUUUCCCAAAGAAUGUGAGCAUCCUGCAGUACUCAGUCUCUGUCCCUUCGUGCUUUAGUGCGGUCUCACGGUCUGCUGGGCUUCUGGGUCCUGCACUGCCGCAGUCUGGCUGGGCACAAUCAGGAGCCACUUGUCAAAAGAAACUAACUUUAUUUUUAGAACCACACACGCCAAACAAAAUAGCCUCUCAGGAAAAACCCUCAGAGCCUCAACUGCCACCACUGGCUUUCCACAAGCCUCUCUCUCCCACACAAGCUUCUCUCCACCUCCCACAAUCCUCCUGCUCUUGAGGCCGAUUGGCUGGGUCACGUGGGCGGAGCCACAAAAGUCCCCCAAUGAGCAGCUCCGUGGUCUGAAAGGGCAGGGAAACAGCCCAAUGAGCAUCACCGCAGAGGAGCCAAUCAGCUAGAUGUUGCUGGGGCCGAGGAGCCAAUCAGCUAGAUGUUGCUGGGGCCGAGGAGCCAAUCAGCUAGAUGUUGCUGGGGCCGCUGUGAGCCAAUCAUCAGCCGGCAGCUGGAAGUUUGCUGGCAGCUGGAAGUUUGCUGGGGCCCCUUCGGCUGUGGCUCUCAACANNNNNNNNNNNNNNNNNNNNNNNNNNNNNNNNNNNNNNNNNNNNNNNNNNNNNNNNNNNNNNNNNNNNNNNNNNNNNNNNNNNNNNNNNNNNNNNNNNNNNNNNNNNNNNNNNNNNNNNNNNNNNNNNNNNNNNNNNNNNNNNNNNNNNNNNNNNNNNNNNNNNNNNNNNNNNNNNNNNNNNNNNNNNNNNNNNNNNNNNNNNNNNNNNNNNNNNNNNNNNNNNNNNNNNNNNNNNNNNNNNNNNNNNNNNNNNNNNNNNNNNNNNNNNNNNNNNNNNNNNNNNNNNNNNNNNNNNNNNNNNNNNNNNNNNNNNNNNNNNNNNNNNNNNNNNNNNNNNNNNNNNNNNNNNNNNNNNNNNNNNNNNNNNNNNNNNNNNNNNNNNNNNNNNNNNNNNNNNNNNNNNNNNNNNNNNNNNNNNNNNNNNNNNNNNNNNNNNNNNNNNNNNNNNNNNNNNNNNNNNNNNNNNNNNNNNNNNNNNNNNNNNNNNNNNNNNNNNNNNNNNNNNNNNNNNNNNNNNNNNNNNNNNNNNNNNNNNNNNNNNNNNNNNNNNNNNNNNNNNNNNNNNNNNNNNNNNNNNNNNNNNNNNNNNNNNNNNNNNNNNNNNNNNNNNNNNNNNNNNNNNNNNNNNNNNNNNNNNNNNNNNNNNNNNNNNNNNNNNNNNNNNNNNNNNNNNNNNNNNNNNNNNNNNNNNNNNNNNNNNNNNNNNNNNNNNNNNNNNNNNNNNNNNNNNNNNNNNNNNNNNNNNNNNNNNNNNNNNNNNNNNNNNNNNNNNNNNNNNNNNNNNNNNNNNNNNNNNNNNNNNNNNNNNNNNNNNNNNNNNNNNNNNNNNNNNNNNNNNNNNNNNNNNNNNNNNNNNNNNNNNNNNNNNNNNNNNNNNNNNNNNNNNNNNNNNNNNNNNNNNNNNNNNNNNNNNNNNNNNNNNNNNNNNNNNNNNNNNNNNNNNNNNNNNNNNNNNNNNNNNNNNNNNNNNNNNNNNNNNNNNNNNNNNNNNNNNNNNNNNNNNNNNNNNNNNNNNNNNNNNNNNNNNNNNNNNNNNNNNNNNNNNNNNNNNNNNNNNNNNNNNNNNNNNNNNNNNNNNNNNNNNNNNNNNNNNNNNNNNNNNNNNNNNNNNNNNNNNNNNNNNNNNNNNNNNNNNNNNNNNNNNNNNNNNNNNNNNNNNNNNNNNNNNNNNNNNNNNNNNNNNNNNNNNNNNNNNNNNNNNNNNNNNNNNNNNNNNNNNNNNNNNNNNNNNNNNNNNNNNNNNNNNNNNNNNNNNNNNNNNNNNNNNNNNNNNNNNNNNNNNNNNNNNNNNNNNNNNNNNNNNNNNNNNNNNNNNNNNNNNNNNNNNNNNNNNNNNNNNNNNNNNNNNNNNNNNNNNNNNNNNNNNNNNNNNNNNNNNNNNNNNNNNNNNNNNNNNNNNNNNNNNNNNNNNNNNNNNNNNNNNNNNNNNNNNNNNNNNNNNNNNNNNNNNNNNNNNNNNNNNNNNNNNNNNNNNNNNNNNNNNNNNNNNNNNNNNNNNNNNNNNNNNNNNNNNNNNNNNNNNNNNNNNNNNNNNNNNNNNNNNNNNNNNNNNNNNNNNNNNNNNNNNNNNNNNNNNNNNNNNNNNNNNNNNNNNNNNNNNNNNNNNNNNNNNNNNNNNNNNNNNNNNNNNNNNNNNNNNNNNNNNNNNNNNNNNNNNNNNNNNNNNNNNNNNNNNNNNNNNNNNNNNNNNNNNNNNNNNNNNNNNNNNNNNNNNNNNNNNNNNNNNNNNNNNNNNNNNNNNNNNNNNNNNNNNNNNNNNNNNNNNNNNNNNNNNNNNNNNNNNNNNNNNNNNNNNNNNNNNNNNNNNNNNNNNNNNNNNNNNNNNNNNNNNNNNNNNNNNNNNNNNNNNNNNNNNNNNNNNNNNNNNNNNNNNNNNNNNNNNNNNNNNNNNNNNNNNNNNNNNNNNNNNNNNNNNNNNNNNNNNNNNNNNNNNNNNNNNNNNNNNNNNNNNNNNNNNNNNNNNNNNNNNNNNNNNNNNNNNNNNNNNNNNNNNNNNNNNNNNNNNNNNNNNNNNNNNNNNNNNNNNNNNNNNNNNNNNNNNNNNNNNNNNNNNNNNNNNNNNNNNNNNNNNNNNNNNNNNNNNNNNNNNNNNNNNNNNNNNNNNNNNNNNNNNNNNNNNNNNNNNNNNNNNNNNNNNNNNNNNNNNNNNNNNNNNNNNNNNNNNNNNNNNNNNNNNNNNNNNNNNNNNNNNNNNNNNNNNNNNNNNNNNNNNNNNNNNNNNNNNNNNNNNNNNNNNNNNNNNNNNNNNNNNNNNNNNNNNNNNNNNNNNNNNNNNNNNNNNNNNNNNNNNNNNNNNNNNNNNNNNNNNNNNNNNNNNNNNNNNNNNNNNNNNNNNNNNNNNNNNNNNNNNNNNNNNNNNNNNNNNNNNNNNNNNNNNNNNNNNNNNNNNNNNNNNNNNNNNNNNNNNNNNNNNNNNNNNNNNNNNNNNNNNNNNNNNNNNNNNNNNNNNNNNNNNNNNNNNNNNNNNNNNNNNNNNNNNNNNNNNNNNNNNNNNNNNNNNNNNNNNNNNNNNNNNNNNNNNNNNNNNNNNNNNNNNNNNNNNNNNNNNNNNNNNNNNNNNNNNNNNNNNNNNNNNNNNNNNNNNNNNNNNNNNNNNNNNNNNNNNNNNNNNNNNNNNNNNNNNNNNNNNNNNNNNNNNNNNNNNNNNNNNNNNNNNNNNNNNNNNNNNNNNNNNNNNNNNNNNNNNNNNNNNNNNNNNNNNNNNNNNNNNNNNNNNNNNNNNNNNNNNNNNNNNNNNNNNNNNNNNNNNNNNNNNNNNNNNNNNNNNNNNNNNNNNNNNNNNNNNNNNNNNNNNNNNNNNNNNNNNNNNNNNNNNNNNNNNNNNNNNNNNNNNNNNNNNNNNNNNNNNNNNNNNNNNNNNNNNNNNNNNNNNNNNNNNNNNNNNNNNNNNNNNNNNNNNNNNNNNNNNNNNNNNNNNNNNNNNNNNNNNNNNNNNNNNNNNNNNNNNNNNNNNNNNNNNNNNNNNNNNNNNNNNNNNNNNNNNNNNNNNNNNNNNNNNNNNNNNNNNNNNNNNNNNNNNNNNNNNNNNNNNNNNNNNNNNNNNNNNNNNNNNNNNNNNNNNNNNNNNNNNNNNNNNNNNNNNNNNNNNNNNNNNNNNNNNNNNNNNNNNNNNNNNNNNNNNNNNNNNNNNNNNNNNNNNNNNNNNNNNNNNNNNNNNNNNNNNNNNNNNNNNNNNNNNNNNNNNNNNNNNNNNNNNNNNNNNNNNNNNNNNNNNNNNNNNNNNNNNNNNNNNNNNNNNNNNNNNNNNNNNNNNNNNNNNNNNNNNNNNNNNNNNNNNNNNNNNNNNAUUUGCCCUUGUUCAUUAAUGUCUCUGGUAUCUAAAGCCUGUUUUACUGCAGCUGCCACAAUUUGCCCUUGUUCAUUAAUGUCUCUGGCAUCUAAAGCCUGUUUUACUGCAGCUGCCACGACUUGCUCUUGUUCAUUAAUGUCUCUACAUAAUUUAAUAUAUGUGUUUAAAUCUUCAUGUUUCCAUGGUCUAAUGAUAUCUCUGCACCAACGAUUCGCUUGCUCAUAAGCCAGGUGUUUUAGUAAUGGCAUUGCUUGUUCUGUAUUCCCAAAAACUCUGGUAGCUGUUUGAAUAAGCCUAUCUACAAAUUCAGCAUAAGGUUCAUUAGCUCCUUGUAUUACCUUAGAUAAUUGACCUUGUAAACCUCCAUGUCCUUGUAAAGUCUUCCAUGCCCUAACCGCCUCUGCAGCAAUUUGUGCGUAUAUGCCAGGAUCAUAUGCAAUUUGUUGCUGCUGAUCCUCAUAAGGUCCCUUUCCUAACAACAUAUCUAGAUUUCUCUGAGGAUAACCAGCUGCUGCAUUUCGCCUAGCCGUCUCCUUGCAAAAUUCCUCAUUGGCAACCUUCCAUAACAGGUAUUGUCCUCCAUUUAGCACAGCUUUACACAUAUUAGCCCAAUCUGCUGGCGUCAUGUUCAAGUUGUUAAUGGAUUCGACCAUGCUUACAGUGAAGGGUGCUUGAGGACCAUAGGUUGUUACAGCCUCUUUUAGCUGCUUCACUGUUUUGAAAUUUAAAACUUGGUAAAAUCGCUGCCCUCCUGCCUCAAAUACAGGGCAUGUUAAUAUUUGAGAUCUUGUCUCAGGAUCCCAACUAUCAACUGCGGGGGUUGGGGACCUCCCAGCAUAUGGAGGUGGCCUUGUUAGUUGGACACUUACAUCCUCUGGUGAUAGAUAGGUGUUAGUAGCAGUCUCCUGUAGAGGUGUUGCUGUUGGUUGGACACUUACACCCUCUGGGGAUAGAAAGGUGUUAGUAGCAGUCUCCUGUAGAGGUGGUGCUGUUGGUUGGACACUUACACCCUCUGGUGAUAGAAAGGUGUUAGUAGCAGUCUCCUGUUGUAACUUUCCCCCUGAUGGCUUUUUCUGUUUUACACUUUCUUUCUCUGUCUGACUAGCUUGAGAGGCCUUCUCUUUUACUUGAAUCUUUUCCUCUGUCUGACUAACUUGAGAGACCUUCUCUUUUACUUGAAUCAUUAUGUCUUCUCCUUCCUCUACCAUUGUCUGAACUGAAGGCUUUGGACUAAGCAAACAAGAUAUGAACGUCCACAAUGGCAAUGUGCCAACUGGCAGAGUCCCUGGGCUUUUCUUUUCUAUUCUUUUUAAAUCUUCACCAUGAUGGUUCCAUUGUGAUAUAUUUAACAACUCCUCCUUAAAAAGCCAUGGGCUACAUUUUUGUAUUGUAUCAACGUAUGCCCUGACUGCUCUUGAUUUUACUGGGAUGCCUCCUUCCUCUAACAAUUUACUUAACACUCUUUCAGUUUGUUUUUUACUAAUUUCUGAUCCCGUAUUUCUACUAUAAUACAACCCAACAAGAUGACGCCAAACAAAACCGAGACAGAAUGAGAUAAAAAGGGAACAACAAAAAGUCAUUAUGGCCUUUCUAUCCUCCUGACAUGUGCAUCCGUCCUUUCUCCCUAUCUGUUCCUCAGACGUAAAUAGUUUUUCCUCAGAUGUGAGCGGUUUUUCUUCCGUCUCACUCAUCUCCAGGGACAGGCAACUUAAAACAAAAGUGAAGCAAAAUAAAAGCGGAAUCUUAAAAUGGCUACCCAUCCUCUCGCCCUGCCCUCAGGGGCGAGCAGUUUCACUUACCCUCAGUCGCUCCCCGUACGGGCCACCAAAUGCCGCAGUCUGGCUGGGCACAAUCAGGAGCCACUUGUCAAAAGAAACUAACUUUAUUUUUAGAACCACACACGCCAAACAAAAUAGCCUCUCAGGAAAAACCCUCAGAGCCUCAACUGCCACCACUGGCUUUCCACAAGCCUCUCUCUCCCACACAAGCUUCUCUCCACCUCCCACAAUCCUCCUGCUCUUGAGGCCGAUUGGCUGGGUCACGUGGGCGGAGCCACAAAAGUCCCCCAAUGAGCAGCUCCGUGGUCUGAAAGGGCAGGGAAACAGCCCAAUGAGCAUCACCGCAGAGGAGCCAAUCAGCUAGAUGUUGCUGGGGCCGCUGUGAGCCAAUCAUCAGCCGGCAGCACUGCACCCUCUUGGCUUCGUGCCCUUGUACCUGUGUGUGCCUAUCACUUGUACCCCCUAGGCUCCUUGCUCUUCUUUCCACCUUGGUCUGGGUGCUGCUGUUUCUGAAGUGCACCCAUGGUUAGGUGCUAUUAGGAAACUCUUUUUACCUGAAACCUUCUUCAUUUUUCUUUUAUUGUAUAUUUUCAUGUUCAAAACAUAUUUUACAAAGUCAUUCUGAAACUCUUCUACCUAUGAUUACUUUCUAAAAUUAAGACAAAUUUUAAUGGAGAAAAAUUGGCACGUGGCAUACUCUUCUUUAGAAAAGCUGUGCUACUAAGCUCAGGGAUUAUGAUGUGUCUUUGUUAAAGGUAUGUACAGUACCAUCUUAGUGAGUAUGGCUAUCAACAGGCAAUUCAAAUACCCAGGAAGGUGUCCUAUCAGCCAAGGCCCAGUACACUUGCAGGGGUUGUGGACCAGCCUAGGGGAGGAGUCAGCAGCUGCUGGAGCCUGCCAUGGUUGGAGACAAUUCUGCCAGGGUCCCUGGGAUGGACAGAACCCUCCAUGGGGUCCAGGGCCUUCUGCUCUGUCUUGAAAACCAGCAGUUUUCCAGGAUUGAUGAAAGCACUGAUCUAAUUUUAGAAACCAGACAUGUACCAGUUAGGUCAAGUAGAAAGAAAUGUGUUUCUUGACAUCGUGGUAAAGCUCUGGGACACAAAAGACAAGCCAAAGCCUUAGCAGAGAGGAAAGACAUUGCCUUCAGGAAACUGCAUUCAAGCGGGAGGGACUCUGCUGUGGAGUCGGGAGGUGGGAGAGAGGAAGGAGGUCGUGCACCAACACUCUGUCCUUGAUGGGCCUGUCUUUUAGGAAUGAGGGGAACAAACAGUUUUCUACAGACAUAGAGAAAGCAAGUUGUCCCAUAAGGAAGAUCUGAAAUUAGGAAGGGAUUGUAAGUAGAGCUGUAUGUCAGUGAGUCACAACAUGGACUAAGUGUCAUAGUCACAGGGUGAGUGUCUGUGCCAAGAACAAAUGGCAGAACGUCUCUGAAUGCCCAUAGGUCAGUCAAUGGGAAGAGAACUGAGUCACUGGAGUUUUAAGGUCCUGGAGUUGUUUGGAUGUUGUACAAAAAUAUUGCACUUUGAUACAUUAGGGAUUCACGGUCAAUAUUAGGGUUAAAAAAUAGAAGAGGGAAAAAUCUAAAAGAAAGGAAAAAAGGAGACCUAAAAAUUAUAGGAAGAUACAUAGGAAACAACAUAAAAUGGUGAAUAAAUCCAGAUAUAUUGGGCAUUUCUUUUAAUUUCAAGGACUAGAUGCCUUAAUAAGUUCCAGGAGAGACGAUCACUCAGAACUCUGUCAUUUUUGCAGUCAGUGCAGCCAGGCUGAACUUGUGUUUUCUCUUCCUAGGUCUCCUCAGUUCAGUCAGGACCUUGCUCGGGGUCCUUUCCUCCGGAGGCUUCUCUCACCAGCUUGUUGGGGGUCUUGCCUUUGUAUUUGUUCUCUUUCUUUCCAUCAUGUCCAUUCUCUCUGGAACCCAAGGCCUUUUCUGUUUCUUUCCUGUCUCUUUUCCUUCUUGUGCCUUCUGGAGAGUUCUUUGGUUUCGUCUUCUAAUCUUCCAACUCACUACCAAACUGCUCCAUUCUUUCCAUAGGUUCCACAUGCUAGGUCUUCCCUUUGACAGUGUUUUCCCUCCCCAGGUGUCCAUGUGAUCCUCUGGUGUGGACUUUCAGGCCCAGACCUGGGACAGGUAACUUAGUCUUGUCGUUUGCUUUCUGUUUUCUCCAGUGCCCACUCCUACUUGGUUUGGGGUUGCUCAGCACACUUCUUUUCCUCAGACUUUGUCUCUUCAGUAGCUGGUGAGGUUUGCAUUUUGAGAGUGCUUCUUAUCCUCCUGUUGCCUGUCUCUGGGGCCAAGGUGCAAAGUUGCAGCUGAUGUGGUCUGCUGUGCUGGUCUGUCCAGUGGGAUGUGCUCUGUCCUUUGCCUCAAGGUGCGCAUUGCCUGUCCCCCUCCUCCCUGUGAGCUUUAACCUGGUGCAGACCCACUGCCCAGUCAGGCAAGGUACUGGAGGCCCAGCUAAGUAACCCCACACAGUCCCCCUGGCUCUUCCCGACUGCAUUUCUCUGUGCUCACCUGCAGGUUUUGUCUGGUCUCUCUCUUUUUGACUUUUCCAUGGAACCUGAUCUUAUUCCUGAUACAGGCUUGUACUUUGUAUUUUCUUUUCAAUUGUCUGUGUAGAUUUCACUCCAUCUGCUUCCUUUCUAGACAGUCACAAAUCACUUGAUGAUCAGGACACAUUCAGAGAAAUGAGUCAUUAGGUGAUUUUGUUGUGCAAACCUCAUACAGUGCAUUUACAUAAACAUGCCUGGUGUAGGUCAGUCACCUGAAGUGGUCUCUUGCUGUUGUCAGGAGACCCAGAAACUCAAGGUGCAAUAGGCUGGUGCUGGCAUAAGACAGUUUGCUGUCUGUGGAAGACUUCUUCUUCUUCUUCUUUUUUUUUUUUAAAUAAGUGGAGGGAGUAUGUUCUAAAAUAAUGAUAAAAAGCUUAGAAUAGUAAGUAUGUAAGCUAGUACAAUUGUUUAUUAUCAUCAAGUGCUGUAUUUUUAUCUGACUAGAUGAUAGGGAUUUGUCAACUCCAUUGUAAUCUUCUGGGCCCACCAUGGUGUAUACAGUCAGUUGGUAACUGAAAUGUUACUGUGUGGUGCUUAACUGUAUUUAUUUUCUAUUGUUCUUUAACAAAUUAACCCCAAACUGAGUAAUUUACUAUGACAAAUUUAAAAUGGCACAGGUUGACAGGGCCUGGGCCAUCUGAAGAUGUGGCUGUGGUUGGAGGGUCUAUAUCUGAGCUGGCUUCCUUUCAUGCUUUAGGCUGGAGGUCUCAGUCCCUUGCUCUGUGCCUGCUCCUCUGGGUUACUGAGUGUCUUCAUGGCAUGAUGGCUCCCUUCCCCUGAAGUGGGUGGUUCCAGAGCACACUAGGAUCUCAGUGUCCCCUUGUGGAAAGGGCCACAAGGUCCAUCUCCACAUUUGCCUUGUAGAUAGGACCAGCUACAAACCUUCAAAGGGCCACAUGAACCUUGGCUUUUCUGUUGCAUAAGUUUUUGGGUUAUUUUCAUUGACUUUUCCUUCAUGAUUGGCUUUUUUUCUAGGUGAUGUAAAAACACAGCAUGUGUCUAACUUCUUUAGCACUUGUGUGCUCAUUCUUGACAUGACCCACACUUGGAAAUUCCCACACCAGGUGGCCCUUGGCCCACAGGGCUGUAGCCACUCUCUAGGGUGCCCUCUGACUUCCUGUGUAUGAGCAGCAUCCAUCCAUUAUGUAGGGCAGGCCUGCUGUGCUGGGCUUUUGCACUUCCUCUACCUGGUGCUCUGACUGUCCCUUUUUGUGGUCUGCAUGAUACGUAGGAGGGUAUUUGUGUGCAGCAUUUGCCUGGUGCUCUGUGCUCUGACCACAGCCCAGGCACUGGGAGCACAGGGUCUGGCGGGAGAGCAGGCCUUUCAGCCACCCUGCUGCAAGUGCUGCAGUGCUGUGGCACGUGUGAGAGCACCUUGCUAGCUGGGCCGUCUGUGGGUGGGUUCGUCAUUCUUCCCUAUCACCUCCCUCUUUCUUUCUCUAAACUCUCCCUGCGUAGAGGAUAUUGGAAAGACAAAUGGCAGAAUGAGAAUUAAACAUGAAGAAUUUGUUCUUUGAAUGCUUGAGAGAGGGGCAGGACGGGGCAUUCCCAACUGAGGUGUUGUGGUCAAAGGCGAGGGGAGCCAAGAAGGGGCACUCUCCACCUAGCACCUCUGCUGGGCACAGUGGGCUUGGCUGUGACCCUGUUGAGUGUCUCUGCCAUGUGUGGACUGCCAGGCAGCCAGCACUGCACACACAGGGUAGAUCUGCCCAGCACAGCUGCCUCUUCUUUCGGCUUCUUCAGGACCCUACCUUCUCCCUUGCUGUCCUGGGCAUCAGAAGGGUCUGUCUGAUCACUGUUUUACCUUGGUCUGGUCCUGUCUUGCUCAGGAUCUGUUACUAAUAGUUUGACUUGAUUUUGUCUACAUUAAACAGUUAAUUUAGUUUCUAAUAUAUAAUGCAUUUAAUGCAAGAUGACUUUUUUUAUUGAAAUACCUGAAGAAAAAAUUAGCUUUAUUGUUGCGAGUGUGAAACUCUGGCUCUUAAGUGCCCUCUUUUCCCUGUUGAGAUCAUUGCUUUUGGAUGAAUUUUGAAGUUGUGCCAACUCAUAAAAAGCUGGCUGUCUCCUCAGCACCUACCAUGUGAGGGUGCUGGCUGCUCUGACACUAUCUUCUUUCAGUUGACCUUGCUGCCCUGCAAGUAGCCCUCAGAAACCCAGCUGGGGGAGGCAGGCUGCCUGCAGAGGGCCUUAUGAUGCCAUCUUCUGGGAGGGGCUGGCUGAUGUGGUAGGAGUGCUUGGGGGCCCAGAGCCAGCCAACUCAUGGGUGUUUUCAUGCAUUUAAUUUAAACAAAAGCAUAGAAUGUAAAAAAAAAAAAAAGGCUUAAAAAUGUUAGUUUUCUUUUUGCCACAUUCUGGCAAAGAGAAGGGGUGGUAUCAUUGUUCUGUGUUUGCUAAGUGAUAAUUACAAGUGUGGAGACAGAUGUGGUUUCUUGGGAGCCAGCGGGGCUGUGCCAGAAAUGCUUUUUGCUCCUUGAGGGAGGAGGCAUGGGGAGCUCAGCCCAUUGCCUGGGACAGAAGCCCCCAAGGACUUGGAGCAAGGCUGGAAGGGUCAGUGGUCCAGCCCCAGAGUGGGCUGUGGGGCCAGAACCAUAGAAUGGACAUGCACUGAGUCCACACACAGGGGAUGGGUGUGUGUGCAGACACACAGUCCUGGGUCAGAAGCGGUGGAGAUUAGCUUGCAUGAUGAUGUGGCCUAGCUAUGGAUUGAAGACGAUGCCCUGUAGGGGAAGAUAGUCCAGGUGGGUGAAGAGAUAUUAGCCGAAGCCUUGUGUGUCCUGGGGUGACUUCAGGUGGCUAGGAUGGCCCUAGUGAGAAGAAGACUCAGAAAAACCCACCCAGAAUCAUCACUUGCUCCCCCAGGUUGGGGUGAGCCUUUGGAAGUUUGGGAAGGUGAGGAAUCCAAACUUAUGUUUUAUAGACUAAAGUGAAGUUGAUGGAAAAAGCAACUUUAAAGUAGGAGGAUAGCACAAAUACCUAGAGAAGUACUCAGAUCAAACCGUGUCAGCCACGCCCUGGAAGACAGUGAGUGUGCCUUCCGGUAGGUGGGCCUGUCCGCCCUGCAGUGUUCCAGGGCUGGUAUUAGGGCUCCUAGGGCCCUUGCCUACUGGGCUCAGGGAGGGUUUAUGAUACAGCUUCUUGGGUGUCUGCUGUCCCAGGGCUGCCAAAAGGCUAUCUCUUGGUCUCUUUCCUGGUCAGGUCUCUGGGGACUCACCAUUCCUGUCCCAGCUUUGCCUUGGGUGGUGUGACUUCCAUGGGGACUAGGCCUCCAUCGAAGAAAUGGGAUAUUGCUAAGUAGAGAAAACAAAAGAAAUGAGUAAUUCCCCCAAAGGUUGUGAUCCUCUUCCUGUUACUGGAUGUAAGGGCUCAGGCUGUGCUUGUCUGAGGACUUUGUGUUCAGGUGGGUGUUCUCAUAAAAUGCCUGGGAACCUCUGAGGAAGAGUUGUGGUGAUGCUGGGGUGAAGAAGGUGGUUGUAGGUCAUUGUGCAUUUUGGGUCAGAAGUCUUGUGCCUCCUUUAAAAUGUUGACCCCACAUUCUCCCCGUGGCUGACCUGGGAAUCCACAUCGCAGCACCAUCUCUAGCUUCAGGCCUGACAACAGCAGCAGUGGUGAGCUGUCCUGUGAGACACCUGCCAAGGGGUCUGCAGACUGUGCAUUUGUUAACGAAGACUUUGAGUUAUUCCUAGGACUCUUAAUAAAACUGAUUUCCUCCUCAGUACCUAGUGCCAUGCACUGAAUUUUGCUUCCCAAAUUCCUGUGUUGGACCUCAAGUCCCACUGUGACCGCACUUGGAGGCAUGGCCUCAUUAAAGUUGAGUGGGGCCAGGGGUGGGGCCCUGCUCCAACAGGACUGUGGCUUUGUUUCUAAGAAGAGGAUGAGAUAACAAGUGCUCUCUCUCUCUACCAUUGAGGACCCAGCAAAGAGGAGCCAUCUGCAAACCAGGAGUCAGACCUCACCAGAGCCCAGCUGUGCUGGCUCCCUGAUCCCAGCCUCCAGUCUCCAGAGCGUCAGAAAUGAACGUCUGUUGUUUAAGUUGUCCAGUCGAGCAUUUUGUUAUGGCAGCUGGGAGACGGAACACCCUCAUGAAUGUUCUGGCAAGUCUUUGGGAGAGCAGCCUGCACUUGCCUGGGGUGCAGGCCCCUGCAGAGAUACAGAGAUGUUGUCCAGUCACUUAUGGACCGUUGACAAGCUGGAUGGAAGGCCAGUUUCUUUAACAUGAAGGUAUGUGGUUGUCAGCGUUCUGCCCAAGAAUGUCCUCUUGCCCACUCUGGGCCCUAUGGUUAGUUAACUCAUGAAUUAUUUAGAGCUGGUUCUUUUUUCACUUGUUAAACCAAAUGGGAAGGCCAACUCACACUUAACACAAGAGCAAAGGCAAGAAGAGCAUAAUUACUGCAUCAGGAGCUAAUUAGGAAAACGCAUGUACUUAAAUACCUCUUUCUCUCUCUCUCUCUCUCUCUCUCUCUCUCUCUCUCUCUCUCUCUCUCUCUCAUGCUUUUGAUCCUAAUAGCAGCUGUGUGAGGUAGUACUUUUACCCCUCCUUUAUAUUGAGGCAUAAUUCCCAUAACGUAAAAUUCACCAUUUUCAAGUGAAUACUUCUGUGGCAUUGAGUACAUUCACAGUGUUGUGCAGCUUUCACAUCUGUCUGAUUCCAAAACAUUCCAUUCUCCAAGGCAAACCCCAUCCCUGUGAAGCAGGGGCGCCCCUUCAUCCCUCCACCUGGCACUUGGAAGUCAUCCAUGUACUUUCUGUCUCUGCAGCUUUGCCUGUUCAGGACACUUCAUACAAAUGGAGUCACACCACGUGUGGUCUUUGUGAGUGACUUCUUUCCCUGAGCAUGUUUUCAGGGUCAUCCCCAUUGUGGCAUGUCUUAGAACUCCAUUGUGCUAUUCUGUCGUAGCAAUGCACCACAUUUUAAAACCAUUUUUCUGUUGAUGAACAUUUUUUUUCCCCCUACCUUUGGCUGUUUGGAAUAGUGCUGCUGUGAAAUUUCUUAUGAGUUUUUGUUUGGGCAAUUACCAUAUGAAAUUCCUGGGUCAUAUGGUAAUUCCGUUUAACUUACUGAAGAACUGCCAAAUUAUUCUCCACAGCAAGUACACCAUGUUAUCUUACCAAGGUGAAGAUUUCUUACUCUUGAUUUAGUGAGUGAGGGUCUGGGGUAUGGGGAGACAGAGGGACUUGCUGUGGAUGGGAGUCAUUUGGUGACAGAGGCAGCUCUGUGUGGUCAGUUGGCAGGCCUGGCAGGCCCCUGCCCCUGCCCUGGUGUGCACAUCAGUACCAGGUACCUAUAGGCUGGUGCUAUGAGGACAUUAAUAGGUGGCUCUGAGAAUAGGGCCAUUUGUAGGAACAGGCAGAGGGAAGGAUGGUUUGAAGGAGUGAGCAGUGCCAACUGGGGCUCAGUUUUGGGUUCUGCAUCUUUUUUUUUUAUGAGCUUCUUUUUUAUUAUUAAUUAAUUAAUGUAUUUUAAUUAGGUAUAUAUGACAGCAGAAUGCAUUUUGAUUCAUUGUACACAAUUGUAGCACAACUUUUUAUUUCUCUGGUUGUACCUGAUGUAACAUCACACCAUAUGUGCAGUCAUACGUGUACCUAGGAUAAUGAUGUCCAACUCAUUCCACCAUCUUUUCUGCCCCCCAUACCCUAUCCCCCCAUACCCUAUCUUCCCUCCCUUUUGCCCAAUCAGUUUCUCCAUUUUUCCCAUACCCCCCCCCGCUCCCCAUUAUGGAUCAGCAUCCACUUAUCAGAGAGAACAUUUGGCCUUUGGUUUUUUGGGAUUGGCUUACUUACUUUGCUUAGCAUGAUAUUCUCCAACUCCAUCCAUUUACCUGCAAAUGCCAUAACUUUUUCUCUUUUAAUGCUGAGUAAUAGUCCAUUGUGUAUAUAUACCACAGUUUAUUUAUACAUUCAUCCAUGGAAGGGCAUCUAGGUUGUUUCUACAGUUAACUAUUGUGAAUUGAGCUGCUGUGAACAUUGAUGUGGCUGCAUUACUAUAGUAUGCUGAUUUUAAGUUCUUUGGGUAUAGACCCUAGGAGUGGGAUAAUUGGGUCAAAUGGUGGUUCCAUUCCAAGUCUCCAUACUGCUUUCCAGAUUGGUUACAGCAAUUUGCAGUCCCACCAGCAAUGUAUGGGUGUGCCUUUGCCCUCACAUUCUCACCAACACUUAUUGUUGUGUGUAUUCUUGAUGACUGUCAUUCUGAUUGGUGUGAGAUGAAAUCUUAGAGUAGUUUUGAUUUGCAUUUCUCUAAUUACUAGAUAUGUUGAACAUUUUUUCAUAUAUUUGUUCAUUAAAUGUAUAUCUUCUUCUGAGAAGUGUCUGUUCAGCUCCUUAGCCCAUUUAUUGAUUAGUUUGUUUGUUUUUUUGGUGCUAAGUUUUUUGAGUUCUUUAUGUAUCCUGGAGAUUAGUGCUCUGUCUGACAUGUGUGUGUCAAAAAUUUGCUCUCAAAAUGUAGGUUCUGUCUUCACCUCAUUGUUUCUUUUCCUGAGAAGAUCUUUGAUACAGGUACCUGUGAUUUUAGGAUUGGAACUGUGACCCUGGUUGGCCAACAGCCACAGCAUCUAUGUCCUUCCUGCCAGGAUGUGCCAUCUUCUGUCUUGUGCUGCUCUCACCCUCCACCUCACAUUGAUAGUCACAGAGGAUUUGCCUUCCCACUCUUUGUUUGGGGGUGAUCCCCCCUCAUGCCACCCUCUGUGUGCAUAGCUCUUGUGGCACCUGGCAGAGGCUAGCUUGUAGUCAGUAAUGUGUGACCAGCCAUUGCCAAUGCCCUGUGUGGCGAUGGCAAAUCACACUCAUGUUGUGAGCAAAACACUUGCCUGAGAUGAAGGUCCUGCCCUGUAGCCUCCCGCUUCUGGAAUAUCUUGUUGCCCAUGACACUGCCUGUGCUCAUAGUAAGCUGCCAUGGCACUUCAGUUACCUCAGCUCUUGCUGCUGCGCACCAGACUUCAGGAUGCCAUCCUGGUUCUUGCGGGUGGCAGAGCAGAGAUGGCAGAGGGGACUUAACUCAGAUGUUCGUUGUCACAUUCUUGGAUGAUGAUGAUGGUUUCCUGGCAAUUCAGAUCAGUGUGAAGCAGCAGCACCACUUUUACAAGCCGAGGAGGUUUGUACUUGCUGAGUGAAGGAAAGGUUGCAGACUGCUCCCAGCUCUCCUCUUUGGUGUAACCACUAGGGAGAGGCUGGUGGUUCUACUCCUGCUGAUUCCUUCCACCCACUGGCAUGUCAGCCCUGCUGCUUGUUCAGCAGUUGGCCUGCAGGUAGAGGAGCUGGAGGGAGGCUUGCUGCCUUCCUUGUGGGCUCUGUGUGAUGUUGGCAUAGCCUCCCACUCAUAGCCUGUGAUAAUGUGGGCAAUCUCUGUCCCUCCUUGAUUUGUUUCCUCGUUCACUGAGAGUUGGUGGAGCUUGCUAAGUUCUAGGGCCCCAGGAAGUGCCGUUAGGCUAGUUCUCCCACAGUGCUCUCCUGUGUUUAUUCUGGGACUGGAGUUGAGAGUACAUGUCUUUUCAGUGGAGGAGGUGUCACGUCCUGUUCCUCGGUAAAAACUGGCCCUCUCACCUGUACCUGGAGUUCAGAUGAAUGUGUGUGCUGGCCACCAGAACUAGGUGUUUCUGUGGGGUCUGCCUCUAGCCUGUGGUGGGACCUUGGGUACACUGCUCCUUGUGCCUGCAGCUGGGCACCUGGUCUGUGAAGUGAAAGGGACAGUUAUGUGAUUUUUAUCAUGUGGGUGCCUUCUUGUGAUGCUUUGUUCAGUUUAGAGCUUAGGACCCUUGUCUUGGCAGGUAACAGAGGAGGGAACCUGUGUUUGGAUGCAUGGGCACCUUCUCUCAUUGUAGGUGGGAGUCCUGGCUACCUGCUCUGCCCCACUCAUGGUGUAAGGCUCUUGGGUCCUCUGGUCCUAUCUUUCUUCUUUGCUGGUUCAUCUCUGGCCAGCAGUGUCUGGACACAGCUUCCGUGCAAUAUGUGGUGAAGUUCAAGGAGAGCCAGUGGGCCACUCAGGGAACGGGUGACGCCAUUGCAGUAUUACAGGACUGCUUGGCAUAUAGGUGGCACACGUGUGGCUUUGUGUACCUCAGGGAAAGCGUAUCACAACGCGAGAGCUCUGAAACCCAACCCAGUGAAAGCAGUGUCUCUCUUGUAGAACAUGUUUUGUUCCGAGUCUAUAGGAAGCACACAAAGAACUUUCCCAGAUCGUGGCACCUCAUGUAGGGAGCCUGCAAGGCCCUGAGGUGGCCUCGGGGCCCUGGCCACUCACUCAGAAGGGUCUCUGAGCUCAAAGUGGGUGCCUGUAUACUGUGCACUGGGUGACAUGCCAUAAGCCAAAGCCAUGCCGAUGGGCUCCUGCCCUACAACCAUCAGAUCAAAUAAGCAAGCAAAGAUCAGGAAGAUGGAAAGCAAGCGACAAAACCAAGCUGCCGAUUUGGACAACUGCUUCCUCUCAUGGCUGGGCGUUUCCUGCAUCUCUUCUAGGACUUCGAAAACUGGAUUAAAUCUCAUUAUAACUUUGUUUCUUGGUGUUCAUACUCCUUCUCUUUGGACUGCCAAUUUGAGGUUUUUAGCCUGUUUUGUUGAGGUUUUGUUUUCUGGUCUCUGAAAGCACCUCACAGGCUGUUGUCCAGAAUGGACUCACUUCCUUUGUACACACUUCUCAGCAUGUGCUCUCCUGCCUCCUGCUGAUGUUUUGUGCUUUUCUUUAUGUGGCAGGGUGACUUCAUGGCUUUCUGUGUUUAUGUCUGUUUCUCCCUGAAAGAAAAGUCAGUCCUCAUCUAGCCUUUAUCUCAACACGUGUGGACAUUCUCAGCUAGGGCCUCAUUUUUUUUUUUUUUUGCCUGGAUCUUCUUUCACAUUUUUGUGACUUUAAGCUGGAUGGCUGUUCAGUUGAGCCAGUCCCCAUAUCAGACCAGGGACAGCAACCAGACAGGGGUAUUGAGAGGAGACUGAGUAACUCUGGUUUUGAUUUUCACCUUGUUUGGUGGGGACCAGUGACCUCUGCCAUGGUGCCCCCAUCUCCUUUGCCAUGUGUCACAGUACAUGGCUCUCGGGGAGCCUUGGAGAGGGCCUCAGGGCUCUGCCACCCAUGUCUCACAUUAGAGCUUAUAGAGCCUAAGUGGUUUGAUUUCUUUGCUUAAUUUAGCAAAAAUGUAGGUAGAAGGAGAGUAAAAUGCAUGUGCUCAAUUCAGUAGCUUCCUUGUGCUGGGAUGCUGUCAGUUACAGCCUUAAUGGAGGGACUGCCCUUGUACAUGCUCAGCCAUGGCUCUCCAUGCCGUUGUCACAUUGUUGGCUACCUUACAGUCCAGCUGCUCUUGUUGCCCUGAUCAAGAUUUGAAUUUGUAACAUUGAGCUUUUCUGUUGUUUGUGUCUAGUAGAUUAUGUAUCUUGAGGUCAAGACAAUGGUAACUAACAUUCCACACAGGAUUUCAUGUUCAUUAAUUCACUAAAAUUUUAUGGGAAGCACAUGAUGGGUAUUCACUGAAGACUUAGAGGUUUUUGUUAAUUUAAUAUUAAUUAGCAGUUUAGUGUGGUGGGUAGUUUAGAAGUAAGUGUAAGCUUAGAGCACUUUCGGAGCAUCCUGUUGUCCCAGAUAAGGGGCCAAUGUCAUGAGGAGUUUGGCUGUAAUAACAGCCAUUAUUAGUGGAGAGUCUACCAGCUGUCUCCAGGCUCAGAGGAGAGUGGGAAGAACUGGGAGAGGCCAACUCCCAGUAGGUCCUUGAAACAUCCCUGUCCAGCUGUCAACAGUCAGCAUGUGACUCAGACAGAAAAGGCUGGGUGGCCAGAACAAAGUGGGUAGGACUGACCAUAGGGCCAGCUGGGCUGCCUCACAAGCAUUUCUCUGGGACUACAUACAGCAUAACUUGAAGCUGUGGUAGAGAGUCAGGACCCAGAGUAGGCUCAGGAUGAGGAAGCACUGUGGGAAUUUUAGCAGCUGACCUUGAGAAGUGGGAGGCCUGAACUUUGUCAGUGGAGAAAUGUGGGGGCCAUGCAGAGUAAUAGGGGAUAGUCAGUGGGUUGAACCAGGGACUUUCAAGGUCCUCCAUUCAAUCGUUUCCCCCUCCAAACAUCGAAUUGUAUACUUUGUUUAUUUUUAUGUGGUGCUGAGAAUCAAACCCAAUGCCUCACAUGUUCUAGGCAAGAGCUCUACCACUGAGCCAAAACCCCAGCCCCUCUCCUAUUUAAUUCUUAGGCCAUAUAAUUAUAAAAUGUAUUUGUAGAUAGUAAAUUCAGUUGAAAUCACUAUGUUCAUAACUGAAUUUAAAUUUAGUUUAAUAUUUGAGGAAAAAACUAGGACAGUAGUUAAGUGCAAAAGAGUUUAAUGUAUCAAAUAAGUAUUCUUGGUAAACAACAGAAGACUAAAAUUAAUAGAAUUAAUUGCCAUAGGAGUUCAUCCCUUUUCCUUCCCUUCCUUUUUGUUUUAAGGCUUUGUAGUAGGCUUGACUCAUUUAGGCUAAGGAGUAAGUUUGCCUCCUAAGAUUAGCAUGAGUUUUUAAAUAUUAGCAGGGUAAAAACAGGUACAAACUUUAGAUAUUGGAACAACCUCGUCUCUCUCCAGGCCAGUGACUUGAUUUUCAUAUUCUCUGAAAGCCCAACUUUGACAGAAGAGAUCAUAUAGCCACAUCAUAUUUUUCUCACUUCCCUUUGGAAUAGUUGCUUUGUCCAGCCCUAAAAGCUAGGAUGUGAUUCAUCCUUACCCUGCUUUCCCAGGACAGCAGUUGGGAAGAUCCUUCUGAUGCCCUUUCAUCUGCUGACACUGCAUCACCCAGGGGUACCUUAGCUCCCUUCCUGUUAGCCUCUUGUCUGGGGCCAGCUGUGUCAGAACUAAAGCACUGGAGUGGAUGGUCUAUAAGAUGGGGUUUAAUCAGGGUAAUGUUUUAGGUGCAUGUGGAAAAUUUACUGUGAUAGAACAUAUUCUGGGUCGUAAAAAAAAUUUAAAGAUUUUUAUGUUUACCAAGUAUGUUCUCUGAAAAUGACAGAUUAAAUUAAUUUAAAUUAAAUGAAAUGACAGGAAUUAGUAACAGAAAGGUGUCUGAAAAAUACCCAAGUCCUUGCAAAAUAAGUGACAUAGUUCCAAAUAAUCUAUGGCUGAAGCAGCAACAAAGAAGAAAUGAAAACUAUUUUAAAAUGGAUUAAGAUGAAACCAUAGCUUUCAAAAUAUUCAAGUUUCAGCUAAAGCAGUGCUGAAGGAAAAUGUAUAGCAUUGAACAUCUAUAUUAAUAAAGAAGAAUUGUCUCAAAUAGAUGAUCUCAUCCUCCACUCUAAGGAAUGAGAGAAAGACACCAAACUAAAGUAAACAGAGUCAGAGACAGUCACCCCAACAGAAACCAAUGAGAUAACCGAGUUAAAAACUUCAUUUGUUUUAUAGUCUUGCAAUACAAAAUGCUUCUUGGACCUCGUAUGUGGGGAUUUCCUCACAUACCAAGCAAGCAUACCUCCAGGAGUGAACCACAGCUGAGUGAUCUCUUAUGCAUAUUCUGACACUGUUCAUGUAGAUGUAGUGUCAUAUCCCCUGGGUUGAGAGCUCAGUCCCAUAACACUGAACACCUCAUUUCAGAUGCCACUUUCAAGCCCCAAACUGGGACCUGUGCUUCUGAUUGGCUCCUUGGCUUAAAUCAACUUGCUGGAAUGGUUCACAAGUCCAUGAAAUGCUUACAUUCCCUGCUUAUUAAAAAGGAUAUUACAAAAGAUACAGAUGAUGAGACAUACCAGGGCAAGGCCUGUGAGAAAGGAGUGAGCUCCCAUACCCUCUCUGGGCAUGACCUCCAGGAACCGCUCAUGUUUGGGAAUCCACAAGCUCCUGGAACCCAAUCUUUGGAGGGUUUUAUGGAAACUUCCAUCAUGAGGUGUGACUGAUUUAAUCAUGGACCAUUGAGGAUCAGCUUGACCUUCUGCCCCUCUCCCCUGUCCUUAGAGGUUGGUUGGGCCAACCACCAGUGCUGCAGUCUGGCUGGGCACAAAAUAACCGAGCCGCCACACAGCCUUGUAGGUUCAAAACAGGAACUCCUUUAUUCUCCGCACUCCUGCGGACGCCACGCAUGCGGCCUUCUCUCCGGACACACCACACACCAACCGGAAAUCCCUCCUAUGGAAAUCCCUCUUCAGGCACUUCCCCAACCAAUGGAAACUCUCCGGGGAAUCCCCAGGAGAACUCCAAAGUAGCAGGCCUAGCAGGCCAAGGCGGACAGCAGGGGUCUAAUGUACAAUUGAAUACUCAGCUUAACAUAACCAUUAUCAUCUCAAUGGCUUGCUGGCAUCACCUCUCAACCACUCGGUUCUGGCUCUCAGCACACUAGCCAACUCAUUAAUGUACAAAGACAUUUGAGGAUCUUAGGAGUGUAUGCCAAGAAACUAUGAUGAUGAUCACAUGUAGCUCUCACAGUAUCACAGGAUCAACUAGAAAACUCCACAGAGGUGAAGGUGAAAGGUGGUUCUUUGAGAUCAGGAAGACUGAUAAACCUCUAGACAUAGGAAACCAGCAGAGGAGGUCAGCUGUGCAAGAUGACAGAGGCGCCACCACUUGGGUCUACAGGUGCUGGAAGCGUGCACUGGAUCAGCCUUGUACCAGCACAUUCCAUGGCUCAGAAAAAAUGUGCAUGCAUUCACAAGGAAAACUCCAAAGCCCACUUAAUUAGAGAGAAAUUAUCCUAAUAGUCCUGAUCAUGUUAAAAUUUGUACUUGUAUUAAAAUCCUCUUUCCCUCACCUAGAGGGACAAAAAUCUCCAGGCUCAAAUGGCUUUACCAGUGAAUUUUAUGAAACAGUUAAGGAAGAAACAUUUUAAAAAGGAAUAAUGCCAAUUCUCCUUGAACUCUGUCAGAAAGUUGAAACGGAGGUAGCAUUUUCUAAAUCAUUCUAUGAGGCCAGAAAUGCCGUAAAUAACAAAAACCAGGCAAAGAUUUUGGAAGACCAGAAAACUGUAAACAGAUAUUUGUCAUGAACAUACUUCUAACAAGAUUUUAGCAAAUAGAAAUUUGAAACCUAGAAAAAAUAAUUGGAGUUUAAUCCCAGGAAUGCAAAGAAUCAUUUGUUUAAAAUUAAUCAGUAUAAUUCACUAUUAACAUACUGAAAAUGAAAAACAGUAUCAUCUUAGUAUAUGCAAUAAGAGCAUUUGACACAGUGCAAUAUCCAUUCCAGACAAAGAUUUCCAGGAAACUAGUGAUAGAAGGAGACUUCCUGAGGUGGCAAACAGCAGGCAUCAUGUAAAAUGGUGAGACUGAGUCCUUCCCUUAAGACUGGGUGAAGGCCAGGAAGCCUCUUACCUCUUCUAUUCAGUAUUUUACUGGAGUUGUUAGCAAGUUCUGUAAGAUAGCGAAGAAUAAGAGGCUCUCAAAAUUAGAAAGGAAGAAGUAAAACUGCCUUUAUCCUUAUCAGCUAACAUGUUUGCCUCUGUAGAACAUCCUACAUCCAGAACAAAACUCCUGAAGCCAAGAAUGAGUUUAGCAAGGCUAGAGGAUACAAGAUCAACGUACAAAAAUCAGUUGCACAUCUCUGUCCUAGCAACAAAUAGUUAAAAAUUGAAAAAUGUUUUCGAGGGCAUUAGAAACGGAAAUACUUAGGAGUUGGCGGGACAAAAGAUGUACAGUACUUGAACACUGAAAACUUUGAAAUCAUUGUUGAGAGGAAUUAUGGAAGUCACAAAUAAGUUGAAAUAUAGACAAUGUUCAUGGUUUGGAAAACAAUACUCUCAAGGUGUUAAUUGUCCCCAAACUGAUCUGCAGAACCCAUGGAGCCCCAAACCGAAUCUCAGAAGGCUUUCACAAAACUUUGGCAUUAGUUCCACUUGAUUUUAUGACUUACUGUAAGCCACAGUGGUUGGAACAGUGUUGCAUUGAUUUUAAGUCAGGCAGCAAGAUCAGUGGGUCAGAGUAUGGAGUCCAGAAAUUGACCUUCACACAUAUGGUCAGUGACUUUUCAACAAUAGUACCAAGGCAGCUUAGUAGAUAAAAGCACAGUUUUUUCUUCCCCAACAAAUGAUGGUGGAACAACUGUAUAUCCCAUUUUUUUUUUAAAGAAACACUCUCAUUUAUAACCCUCAUCACAUAUAAAAAUUAACUUACAGUUGAUCAGAAAUCUCAAUCUAAAACUCAGAACUGUACUAUUUCUAGGAAAACACUAUGAGACGUUCUUUAUGACCUUCUGAUCUUGCAUUCAGCAAGGUUUUCUUAGUUACAACCUUAAAAGCAUUAUCCAUAAAAUAUGCAAAUGUAUACAUUGGAUUUCUUCACUUCCAGAAAUGCUGCUCUUCAGUGGCAGGUAUAGGGUUUUUUCUGAUCAGGUCCCAAAUUUCUCUCAUGACUGGGGAGCAGCAUGAACUCCAGCCCCAGGGCAGGUGGAGGUGAGUGUUUGCCAUGUGCUUUCACAGCAUCCUUCUCUACCUGCGUGCAGCCCUGCCUGAGUGUAGGACCUGUGACAGAGAGCUUGUUUCUACCUGCAGAUGCCCUUGUGGCUCUUGUCUGACCCCUACCUAGUGUAUGUACUGAGACAGCCACUCUCUGGGGGACCCUGAUUAGGUGGGGAGUGAGGGUAGGAUGUGUGGUCUAGGGAGACAAAGGAGGCAAAGAAACCAAACAGGUGAAAAGCAGAACUGGCAUGCCUGGCAGGCCAUGGGAAGGUGGAAGCUGUCCAGGACAUGUGUGUUCAACCAACAGGUAGGGGACAAAAGAGAUAGAGGGAGAGUAGGGACUCUUGGGCCAAAGCCUUUUGGGGGUACCAGGUGCUACCUAGGCAGGCUUCCCUCAGGGAGUUCUAAUUGGUGGAUUUCGAGCAAGCAGGUACAAGUUCUGUGGGGUCACUCUAUGGAUGAGUGGUCACUGUGGGGUCACUGUGGCAUAUCUGGGCAAUGUGUUCCACAUGUAGUAUGGGGUCAGUGGGGCCAGUUAGGUAGUUUGUAUGCAGCCACCCCAAAGGAGGAUGGUCACAAGGAGGCAGUUAUGUAAGGCCAGGCCCUGAGUGACCACCUUGAGGAACCUGGGGGGGAGGUAGAUGAGUAGAAACUGUGUCCAUGGUGACCCAGUUCUGCUUCUGGAAUGAGAGAUCCAACCUAUAUCCAGAAUGUAGGAUAUAAUUUUAUGGAUGCUGAGGGAGGCCCCAUAAAAUCAUAAGAAUUCACUACACACUGUUAAGGAAUGGAAAAGCAAGCCACAGACUGAGAAAACACUGGUACAUUACAGAACUAAUGUAUCUGAAAUAUGUAAGAACUCUUAAAAUUCAGUACUGAGAAAUCAUAACUAAAAAUGGCUAAAUGUUUGACCAUCCAUUUCACAAAAGAAGAUAUGUGGCUGGCAUAGAAGUCCAUAUGUGCUCACUGUCAUUAUUCACUGGGAAAUGCAAAUAAAACUAUAGUAAGACACCCCUGCUUUGUCUAACCAUGGUGAGUUUGGGCAGGGACGGCACCUCUUACGUCCUUCUGGGGAGGUAAAAUGGUGCCACUGCCUUGGAAAUAUUUUGGCAGUCAGCUCAGGAGCUUAUUAAAUAUGUAUGCACGAGCAUUGUACUACUAGGUGUUCACCAAGGUCAGUGAGAGCAAAUGUCAUACAAAGCUUUGAACAGGAAUGUUUCCAGCAAUUUGUUUUUAAAAGCUAAAAUACUGAUAACAUAUCAAAUGUCCAUCCUUCUGUGAAUGGGCAUACAAAUUGUGGUAUGUCCAAAUAAUGAAAUACUGAAUGAACUAGUGAUUCACAGAGUAACAAUGAGAAUCACAAAAUAAUUAUGCUGAGUAUGAGUAGCCAGAUCAAAUCCCAUUCAUUCUAUUUAUGAGCUUUUAGAGUAGGCAAAUUCUGUAGUGUCAGAAGGUAGAUUGGUGGUUUUGCGGAGCCAGGAUUUGGUGCCAAGACGGGAGGGGACAAGGCUGCAGAUGCCCCAGGGAACACUUGAGAUGGGCCUGUGUACCCACUAUAUGGUGGUUUCAUGGGUGUACCCAACUAUGGUGGUUUCAUAGGUGUUUACAUGUUAAAACAGCAGUUUGUAAGUUUAAAACGUGUAUUUACUGUAUGUCAGUUUUAUCUCAAAACUAUUCUAUUUUAUCUUGUUUUGUUUUUCAAAAAGAAAGCAGAACUCCCUUUGGAGCAAGGCUGUAUUGUGCAGAGCCUCAACCACUUCCAGCCAGAGUGAGACAUUCUGAAGCUAAAAACAGGAGCUAACAGAAAACUGAUAAAACAGAGAAGAAAUAGACCCAGAUAUUUUAUAUGAUUGCACUGUCAGAUAAGACCUUAGAAUAUCAAGAUUAAUAAACUAAAAAAGGAGAAAGUGAUGCAGAAACAUUUGAAAAGAUGAAGAAUUUCAAGUGGAAUCAUAAUCUAUAAAAAGAAUCAAAUUGGACAUUCUAGAACUGAGAAAAGUAGGUUCUGGAAUUAAUGAUUCACCAGGUAUGUCUAACAGAAGACUGGACAAAGCUGAACACAGGCCCAUGAACCAGGAGGCAGGUCAACAUCGUGAAUCUAGAUGGAAGCACAAGAGGAACGAGGAUGGAAAGCAUGGCAGGGUGCUUGAGUGCCCUGGUGAGUCCCAGGGGCUGACAUGGUGGGUCCCAGAGGAGGUGGGGGAGUCAGACAAACAUUUGAAGGGAUGAAGGCCAUGCAUCUUCCAGAGUAUCAAUAGUCAUCUGUACCCAGAUUCAUGAAACAGCCUUCUCUGCACAGAACAAAGAAGCACACAAACAAGCAAAACAGAUCUCUCACAUUUGAACAUAAAAUGGUUUGACUCUUGGAAGCUAAAGUCAAAGAGAACAUCUUUUAAAAGCAGCCAGCUUUUAGAAUGGCCCAUUGCUGUUUCAAGAGCCACAGUCUGCCUGGCACCGUCUGUGCACGCAUACACUUCCCAGGGGAUGCGUCUGCAAGUGGAAUUGCUGUGUCAUUUGUUAUGCGCAUCUUUAACUUUGUUGGCUGAUAACAUUUUUUUUUUCUUUCAUAGUUGGAGCUCCAAGCAGCAAAAUAUAGACUUCUCUUUCAUUAUGCCUGUAUCUGUAACCAUUUUCCUCCACAAUUUGGCUUCAAAAGCAAUGCCAAGCCAGGUACAGUAGCAUGUGCCUGUAAUCCUAGCGACUCAGGAGGCUGCAGCAGGAGGAUUGCAAGUUCCACGCCAGCCUAGGCAACUUUUAGUGAGGCCCCGUCUCAAAUAAGAAAUAAAAAGUGUUGGAGAUGCAGCUCACUGGUAAAGUAGCCCUGGUUUAACUCUGAGUAUUAGGGGAGGGGGAAAGGUAUACCAAAUUUUGGACAGCAAUAUCUUUCCCCACUCAAGAUAGUGAUGUUAAUAAAAUAUAUUAAAUAUGUUAAAUAUGUAAACUAUAUGGGGUCAUAUUGCAGCACCAUGGCUUCAGAAAUGGGGACACUCACACAUUUCUUAUGUAGCCAUUUCCACCUGUAUGGAGCAAUGUGCCUAUGUACUCUAUUUGGACAGCACCAGACAGAUGUGCUGGGGCGUGUGCCUCUUGUGAGGGAGGCUGAAGGGUACCAGCUCCUGCAGUGUGUUGUUACAAGUUUGCUUCUGUUUCAGACUAUUCUCAUUCUUGGCCAUUGCUUUGCUCUGAUGAGGUCUUGCUGAGCUGAAACUGUACAUGCACUAGAGUAUAAAACAACUACAACCUUCAAAAAGUUUUAUGAAAAUAGUGCAGAAAUGAGAAUGUGAGCACCAUGACCAAUGAAAGCAUCCUGACUCCCUUGCACAUUUUCCCCAGUCAGUGCCCCUGACAUGCCCUUGCUCUUCCUUUGGCUGGUAAUAUCAUCCUUCUAUGCAUCACAUUUUGUGUGCAAACUUGCUUAUUUGCUUUUGAAUAAUUACUUUAUCAACUUGUGUUCAUUGCUCAACUGAUUUAUUUUUCUCCCUUUGAAAAUCAUUCAUCUGUGGUUGAGAUCAAACAUGUCCUAAUCUUUCUGUUAAAAUUAGUGGGAACAUUUUUUUCCCCUCAUGGUAGAAGGAUUCUCAGGACUAAUCCUAGUCCAGGCAACAGAAGGAUGAGAUGAGUUCCUGUUGCGGCUCUUCCUCCUGGAGACAGGAGGUAUUGCCAGACUGUUACAUUUGAGGCAGUGUGGUGGGUGUGUUUCUGUUUUUGGUUUUACUUGUGGAUCUGAUCAUUUUUCUUUUUGGUAUUGGGGAUUGAACCCAGGGGCAUUUAGCCACUGAGCCACAUCCCUAGCCCUUUUUUAUAUUUUACUUAGAGACGGGUCUGUUGCUUAGGGCCUUGCUAAGUUGCUGAGGCUGGCUUUGAACUCGCUAUCCUUCUGGCUCAGUCUUCCGAGCCACUGGGAUUACAGGAGUGCACCACUGCACUUGACACUCGUAGAUUUGAUUACCAAUGGGCCUGAGUACCUUUUCAUGUGCUUUUUGGCCAUUUUGGUCUCUUCUGUGAAGAGGUUUUCUUCAAUUUCUGUGUAUGUUUACAGACAUAAAAAUAAGUGGAGAAAAGGGUACAAAAUCCAUCCAGAAAGAAAACAAUUUCCUCAAUCAUACAUUUCAGAGACUUGAGAACUCUGGGAAAGGGAUUUUCAUGGACUCUAUUGAAAGAAUGCCAUAAAAAUGGAACCUGACCCCAAAAUAGAAACAGAGGAGAGGAAGGCCACGGAAGAUGGGCAGUGACUCCAAACAGUGUGCAGAGCCAAGGGUAGAGGACAGGAUUCCAACACUGCAAAGCCUCAUGCGGCAGCAGCAUCGUGGUAGGGGCCAAGCAGGCUGGGGGCAGAGGAGUGACAAAUAACAGCCUCGUGCUCCACCAGCCAAUUAGUCAGUGUGUAGGGGUUUAGGAACAUCGUUCGUGGAGUGCUAAUGAAGAACCAAAAGUGCUGAAUAGCCUACCCACACAGAGUUGUGGCAGGGCGUCAACACCCCUUGUGGACAGAGGCUGGAGCAGGGCUUCUGCAUGUAACAUGAGAUCCAUGAGCAUCAUAGACUCAGACUCACUCAAAUGUGUAUAGUUGUUAGCAAUUAAAAUGAUAAAGUGACACUUUUCACCUGUCGAUUAACCAAAGUUUAAGAUGUUUGGGAUUGACUCCCGUAAGAUGCCAUGGGAAAUAGCACUCAGCAGCUCUGGGGGUGUGACUUGCCGAGACCUGUAUGAGAAGAUUCGGGUAACACCUCACAAGUUAAAAAUGCACUUCUUGUAUUUCAAAUGCACUUCAAGUAUUUCACUUCUUGUGCCAAGGUAGCUCCGAAUGUUGCUGAUUCAAAAGCUGCAUUGAUUGUAAAGGAUGAUGCACCAGCACUUCACUCCUGUAUGUGUAGAAAAUUUCUGGGUGGACCCACCAUGGAAGGUGACCAUGACCUGACUUUGCAAUAGUAGGAAAAUCUAUAUACAUUAUCUUUUUACAUUUUACCCUUCAUGUUUAAAUAUCUGUAAUUUUGAAAGUUUAUUAAAAUCACCUAAGACUGAGAAGAGUUUUAACAGGUAUUAAUGCUAGUGAAAGAAUUGUUAAAAAAGAAUUCACACAUGUUGCUGCAUUCAUUCUGCCUCAUAGGAUGCUAACAUUAUUUAAGGACAGAAGCCUGAAGCCUGAAGUGAAGUAAUUCACCUCAGCUCAGGAGUAGAGCAGAGCAGAUACUGUCCUGGCACCAGAACUGCUCCUAUAGGGAGGAUCACAGAAUACAGUCAUUAAGACGCUGUGAAUAGCCACAUGUCCCAAGUUAAACCUCGCCCUCUGAUCACAUUGUUAGAAGCCAUCUCCUGCAUCCCUCCGCAGCACCCCUGCUCCCAUGAGACAUGCACCUGCUGGGUGGGAAGGGCUUGUGCUGGUUUUCUGAGAGCUGCUGCUUCAUACUGAGAGUCAUUGGUUAUGCAGCACUCCUCUCUGAACCUGAUUCUCUCCCAUAAAAAUCAGGCAAUAGUGCCUACUCCUUAAGCUGGUAAAUAUUAGGUGUCAUAUAAUAAGCAUGAAAGUCCUUGGAAAUAAUAAAGUGCUUAAAUUGUUAGUUUCCCCUCCUUUUAAAGAUUUUAUCUGUUUACAUAAUCCUGUGUCUUGUCUCUGGAACACCAUCCAACAGUUGUGAUUUGGAGAAUAACUAGAUCUGGUUUCUCCUGAGUUUCUGGAAGCAUUUCCUGCAGCCUAGAUUCUACUGAGAAAUUCCCAGAGAAUAAGGUACUCCCUGUCAGUUGGUUGCUGGUGGGCACUGGCUGUGCCAGGUGGGGUUAGUGGCUGUCCUUAGGGUGGGGCCUUACUCUUGAGUCACUUUACUCCACUAACAGAUACUGGGCUUUGGCUAGGGUCUGCAGCUUGCUGGGGCUCUGUGGCUCUUGCCAGAUGUGUUGCUGAACUUGAAAGAUACACUUCUGCUAUAGCUGAGGUGCAGACUGUUCUGACAGUGCAGGUCAGAAGCCUGGCACACAGCAGACUCCAAGAAACAGCUCAGGUGGUGCUUACUACAAGCAAAGGGGUGGGGCAAAGGCCAGGCAAGGUGACAUCGGGAAAGGGCAUACAUACAUACCAGGGUACCUUGUGCCUGGAUAACAGUGUCUGGCAAUUGCCGAUGGGCACAAUACCAAAUUUCAAGUAACAAGAAUUUCAAGUGAAUAGAAUUGAAAGGGGUCAAGUGGGAUGUGGUCUUUGUGUCUUAGUGUUGGCUUUGCCAGGCUCAUUGGGUAAUGUGAUGCUUUUCCCUUGCUUUUUGGUAGAUGGACAGUGUCUCACCCUCGGGGAGCAGGUGGGCUGGCAGGACAGGCGUCCCCAGGCCGGGAGAAGGAGGCGCUCCCAGGUACUCUCAACUACCCCUGCUGGUGACCUGCCUGCCCAGCCCUUUCCUGUUCCAGAUAAUUGCCACUUGUGACCCUGCCUGCUUUGACUUGCUUUGCCAACCUGUGCCCACCUGUGCCUGCCUGUGCCUGACCUCGGCCCAGAUUUGUACCCUUCCUUUUCCUACCUAACUCGGGGCCUCUCCUGACUUCUGAUUGCUGCCUUUUCUUGUCUACUUCUUUUGAGGUUCUUAAUCCUGAAUCGCACCUGAUUCCUAUUAACCUCCCUUGCCAUGCCAUGUUGCAAGGGUUCCUCAAGGAGGCGAUUGAUGUAAGGGGACUCAGAUGCUGCUUGCUUCUCAUCUGCUCAUUUCCAAUAAUGGGGAUUUGUAGUAAAAUGAGAAAAAAGUUUUAUUCCUUAAGUAACACGAUCUGAAGUCUUGGUGACUGUCACUUCUUAUCCACACAGGAUGUCAAGAGCUCUUUAUUUGCCUCUGAAGUUCUCAGGUUAAGAAUGUAGUGGGGGCAGUGAGAUGCUUGAGAGAACUGAAAUGAGGCUGGAAGAAUUGAAUUCAUACCCAGGGUCAGCAUGUUCACUCAGCCAGCAGUAAGCAGGCAGUGCCCUGUGCCAGGCUCUUCUGGGUUUGGGUCAGAGCCAUCAGCAAGGAUGUCCAUUUCCAUAGUCAGCCACCCAGAGUGGACUUCACUCCUGAGAAAACCAGACAGUGACAGGCUCAGCAGAUCCAGGAAGAGGGGCACCCAUACACAAGUGUGUGCACAUGUGGAUGGGUGUGAGUGUGCACGAAUGUGGCACAUGUAUAUAUGUGAGUGAAUGUGUAACCCCACGUAUGUGGAUACACAUAUGAGUACAUGUGUGCAUUUCAUGUGUAUGUAUGUGCAUAUACAUGUGAGCUUGUAUAUGUGUGUGCAUGUAUGAAUGAGUCUCUGUGAGUGUGCCUGUGUUGAUGUGCACGUGCAUGCAUGUGCUUAUGUCAGCUUGUGUAUAUGCACACAUGUGAAGGUGCACAGCUGAGUGUUUCCAUCCCUGCCCAUAGGCCUGGUAAGGGGAGAGGCAGGACUCAGCUGUAGGAGUCCAGACAGUCACAGGCGGUCUCCACCAGUUUUGGAUUGGGGAGGACAGAAGCAAAGACAGGGUACACAUAAGAGAGAAGGACAGCAGGUACUGGGGCAGCUGCUCUAGAGAGUUUUACUACAAAGGAAAAGAUUAAGAGGGGAGAAGGAAGCCAAAAGACGUGGGAGAAGCAGCAGCUUGUCUCUGCUGGUGCUGUGCACAGGUGGGAUGAGCGGGCAGUGCACUGAGGCCAGUGUGCAGGUGCAUGGUGGUGGGGUCCACCUGGGAAGCCCUUCCUUGAGGGCUCCAUUGGUCAUCAGGGUGGGAAUGGGGAGGACUGAAGACAGAGGAAUCAACAUGAAAUCUGUUUGCUUGCCUGUUGUGACAUAUACUGAAAGGCAGUUUCACUUGGUCCAGGAUAAAGUUUCUUGCAGGAUAAUUUGGAAGAUUGGGGGUGUGACCAGACCAGGGAGGUGGGUUGUGACUGCAGGUGUGUUGUGGCCUGUAUAUGGCUGUGGCACGUGCUCAGUUGCUUGUGUUUUCUCCUGGUUAUGUGCAAGCUCUGUGGUCUAGGCAGAAAGUGACAAUUUAACAGGGUUGUGACUUUAGGAUGGCAAGGACUAGGAGGCAGUUGGGGCAACGAGAGCCCAACAUGGAUGGAAAGAGGAGGCAAAGGGGAGCUGGUGGUGUAUUCUGGGCAGAGGGACAGAGAGAAUUGAGGAAGAUCAGGGGACAACAGGAGGCAGAUAGCUACACCUAGCUUCUUUUCCAAUUGGUGGCUAUUGUGAGUUAAUCACAUCAAAAUAGAAACAACCAAGAAAUUUUUAAAAAAUACAACAGCCUUUUAAAGUUAAAGAACGUUACUUGGUUUCCAUGGUGACUGCCAAUCAUGUAAUGGCACAGCCAAGUGUUAUGUAGUGGCACGGGGUAAUUACAUACAACUGAGAAAUUGCAGGGUAAGUCUUAAAUAAAUACAGAGCAACUACAUGGUGAGGUUCUGAUCCUGAAAGUGAUGUGCAAUUCAUUUCCGGGCCUGAGCUGCAUGCAGGAGCUGGGCUGUAUGCCCAGUCACCAGUCUGGGUCAGUGCCAACUCCUAGAUCAUAGCCUUUCCCUUGCUCCAGUCACAUAGGGGUGAGUCCUAUUCCUCUUUUGUGCCUAGACCUCAGGCAAGCUGCCCUCAACCCCACCAAACCUCUGUGGCACCUUCUCAGGGCCAGCCAGAUAAGGGUGCAUCUGGUGCAGUUUCUGUGUGAUGCUCAAGAAACUCAAAAUAUGAUGUCAAGGUUAGUGCUGUCAGUCAGGACUUUGGGGAGAGGGUUUCUAGCCUAAAAGGUGACACACAUUGGUCUUCUGAUAAAUGUAAUAGGAUAGAAACUGAGGAUAGUAAUUUUCUGUCACUGAGCCAGAAUUCCUGGAAAAGACAAAAUUAAAUCAGCAGAAAUGUGUGACAUGCUUCGAGUCAGGGACAACUGUAGUCAGAAGACCAGAUGAGUUGAUUAAUUAUUAAGAAACAGAAACAUAAUGUUUGUGGAAUCAAAACAGCACAGGAGACAUGGAGAGGCCUAUUGCAUGUGAGAAUGAGGAUCAGUACCAUGAUGGGAACCUCAACUGACAAAUCCAGAUGAAAACCCCAACGUCUCACAUAGUCACCAAAGAUUUGAAUAGCAUCCCUAACAAACUCUGCUUUCAGUAGAGGAUAUUCCUCCCUCCCUCUCUCCCUCCCUCCCUCCCUCCUUUUCUUUCUCUUUUCCUUCCUUAGUUUUCCUUAGCAUACCAGGACCAUUCAUAAGUGUAUUUGCCAUGUAUUUUAUUUUUUAAAUCUUAAUUUACAACAGCAGAAAUCAUAAUGUGCAGUAAGAUGGAAAAUAACCACAAAAUCAUAGCCCCAAAUAAGCCAGACUUCAUUAUAUACUUAGAAAUUUUGGGAUGCUCUUAAAUAAAGCAUAAACUGUUUAAAAAAUAAUGAAAAUAAGAGAACAUAACACGUCAAAAUAUGAAGGCUGAUGCCAAAGCAAUUCUCAGAAGAAAAUUUUGAAAAACCAAAACAUGUAAAAUAAAAUAAAUGAACUAGCCAUAUGACUCCAACUGUUAGAGAGAGAAUUACAAAAUAAUUCAAGUCAAAGUAGAAAAAUGAAUGAAAGUAAAAGUAGAUAUGAGUAUAGUAGAACAUAAAUUUGUUGCUUGGUGUAAUAAACUCUGAACAAAGGUUGGAUUGGUUAGCUUUGUAUCCUUAUAAAAAAACUUUACCUGACACAGGCUACUUAUGAGGUAAAGAGAAGUUUAUUUUGACCAUGGUUCUGGAGGUUCUAGUCAAAGAUUAGAUGUCCCCAUGGGUUUGGGCCUUGGUACAUCAUAGCAGCAGUGCACAUCAGAGCAAGUGCCCACAUCUUCAGCCAGAAAGCAAGGAGACAAGAGGACUGGCUGGUCAGACAAUCCACUUUGAGGGCACAGCCCAGGGACCCAAGGAUCUCCCACUAGGCCCAACCUCCUAAAGGAGUUCACAGCUCCUCACUACACUGCCACCCCUGGGCCAAAGCUUCUCCAUAUGGACCUUUGGGGAACACCAUCUGAAUCAUAGCAAGGGUCAAAAAUACUUAAGCCAUUAGCCACUUGUGUCAGGGGUGAGGGAGGCAAAACUUUAACACUUGGGAAACCAGAAGUAGGCACCACUGCAGACAGGAGCUGUUACAACUUUAAGAGACUGCUGUUGCCACUUCUGAGUGAAAUGAACAAAUUUCCUUAAAAAAUGCAAUCUACAAAACUACCUCCAUAUAAAAAAGGAAGUCUAAUCAGACUUGUCACCAUGUUUAGAGGUCUUCACUCACACUCCAGAGGCCAUCUCCUUAGCAGCCACAGUCCAGCACCUCCUGGAGAAAAUUUAAAGGUCUGUACACCAUUUUAGAGUACAGAAGAAAGCAAAAAGCCCCAGAAUCAUUUUAUAAGUUCAGUAACAUUGUGAUAUAAAAGGUAUGCAAAUGAUUUUUUAGAAAAUCUUUAGGUUAAUUAUACCAUCUGAAGAUAGACGUGCAGCCACAGGUGGAUGUGGGCAGAUUGUAGCUAUCAGUGAGUUUAGUUCUGCUGUGGGUGGGUUUUUUUUUUGUUGUUGUUGUUUUUGUGUGUGUGUUUCGCUUUUCAGGGUAUACUGGGAAUUGAAUCCAGGAGCACUUUACCACUGAGCCAUGUCCCAGGCACUUUUAUUUUGACACAGGGUCUUGCUAAGUUGUUUAGGCCCCUGCUAAGUUGCCAAGGCUGACUUUGAACUUGCUAUCCUCCUGCCUCAGCCCCCCCCAGUUGCUGGAAUUAUAGAUGUUUACCACCAAGCCUGGUUCCUCUUUAUUUGUUCUUUUUUUAAUUUAAGAAGAGCUUUGUUGAAUAAUGGUUUGGAGGUCCAGCUGUGUCUCAGCUUGGUGCAUUGUUCAUGCACAUAAGCUCUUCUUAGCUUAUCUUCUGUAUGUAUCACUUUUCUUGAAUUCUCCUUCCUUGUUUUUUUAUUUUUAAGUUUUCUUUUUUUGUCUAAUUUCAUCUUUGUUUUUGAAACAUUUUCUUUUAUUCCCAAUUUUUUCUUGAGUUCUAUGCCAUCAAUUUUUAGUUUUUCUAAUUCUGAUUUAUAUUUUUUCAUCUCUUGGAUCAUUAUCUUAAUGUCUUUUAAAUAAUUUUAAAAAUAUUAGGCUAUAGUUUUUGUAUUUAUUGUUAGCUCAUCUUUAUGGUGUGCUUCUUGUCCAUGGAGAUGCAAUUUGCUUCUCAUUUUCUUGUUUUUAAAAGACACCUUGUAUGGGAUCUGACUUUCCCUGAAAUUUGCUUUUCUAAGUGCUCAAAAUGGAGCGUUUUCAGUCCCACAGCUCCAGCAUGCCCUCUUCUGUGACUUCCAGGAAGGGUUAGUGAGUUCAGAAUGCAUCUGGAGGCAGAGCUGGGGAGUGGGUGGUCAGGAAGCAGGAGUGGUUUCAGUUCUGAAAAAUUCUGGUCCUGGUAACUCUGUUUGGUAGGAUGUAGUCCUUUUGAGGACACCCUGCAGAGCUUGGGGCAAAGGAGUGUGAAGGUUGCUUGUCGCACUCAAAUGGUCGAGACCUGUGGGGAGAGUGAGUGAGUGUGUGGAUGGGCACACACCAGCAUGCAGGCAGGCACAAGGGCGGUUACUGGAGAAACUGCCUGAGGAGGCAUAGACACUCUUGAUGAUGUCUGCAGAUCUGAGAUUACAUCCACCAACAAGUUAUCAAAUAAGUGUAUGAAAUGGAUUCUUCAGUGGAGAACAUGAGGGCCCCUCCUUGGGUCAGCUCCUACAAGAUGGGGGCAAGAAGUGGUGCUGUCACUGCUCCUGGUGACUGAUCCAAGGUGGCCAAAGCCCAAGGGUUCAGGUGCAUGAUCCUCAGGGGUGACCUGAAACCUGAGGGUGCUGGGAACCAGGUUGCUUUGUUUGAGUUUCUCAAGAGCUUUUCUCGAAGUGGAGUUUUAAUUACAACUAAAUGUCUCAGAGUAUACAAUCAAGAGUACAAUGAGCAGAGUCAGCAGCCGGUCUGGUUUCUGUGUCCAGGAGGCCCGAGACCCAGGUGGGGGCAGUGUGCAUCUUAGCCAGGGUGACAGUAAUCUCCUUCCGCCCAGGUUAGUGGUGGCAUAUGUGGCGUGCCUGGUAGAGGGACAGGGUGUGGUGGGGGGACGUUGUUCAUUUUCCUAUUGCGGUGCCUCAUGCUGUCACCUGUUAUUUCCUCCUCUGUUACAUCUAGCCCAGCUGUGGUUCCUAUGGUUCUCUGUGGGACCAUGAGUGUCUGCACCUGGUCGAAGGGUGGGUGUUGUGUAGGGAUUCUGAAGUGGGGCAUGAGCAGUGGCAUCAGGGAGCCCUCCCUGAAGCUCAUGCUGAGGUGCUACAUGGCUGCUUCCAUUUUGUGGUUUCUGUGUGGCACUCUGACCCAUACCAGAGGUUCCUGGCAAAUCCACACACAAAUCAGGGCUGUCCUGGGUGUGAUGCGGAACAGGACACAGGCAAGGCUUGGGGCCUGAUGAACCUCUUUCUAAGUGUUGACCUUGGAGCAGGUGAAAUAGAGAUGGUAGCACCUUUUACUGACAGACUGGGACAGAGGAAGAGGCCCGUGAAGUCUGAGGAUGAACUACAUGGCCCUUUGUGCGCACUGAGCUCAGGGCCCAGGCCUGGCUGGCACUGACUCAGGCAUGUCCUGAUAGGCAUGCAUGUUCAUGACUUCUGACAUACUCUGCCUCACCAACUGUACCAGUCUUGGCUGCCUCCCUUCCUCAACUCUGCUGCCUGUUGAUGUCCCCUGCCAGCCCUUUGAGCUAUGUCCUUGGGCUGAGAAGAGAACCCUGUGCUACCUUGUGCGCACUGGGGUCCUUGCUGAGCCUUGGUGAGGUGGCCUUCCUACCUAGGCUGAGCACCUCACCCUGCCUGGAUCAAAGCCCACGGAGGGAGGGCCGUCUUCCUCUGACCCUUAUUUGUUCAAGCUUUGUUCCUGAUGACUGGCUUUCCUUCCACUCCCAGCUAAGCUGGGAGGUAGGACACUUCAUGUGGAGGUCGCCACCUCCUGCUCCAGACCUGCAGUCCACUCUGCUAUGGACCUUUUCUUUGCACACACCCCUUGGUGUGACCAUGGAUCACUCUGCUGGGCCAUUCUCCCACUCUGGCUGGGGUGCUGGCUAUCAUUUCUCCCUCCUUGGCCUCCCUCACUUGUCGUACCCCUCGUAGCAUCCCCUGCCCAGCUCUUAACUGCAGUUGCUUGCUGCUGGGUGGGUUGACAUGUUGUGAUAGCUAGCCUCACGAGGCCCUGGGUGCUGUCCCCUAAGUAAUGGCUUGCUUUAGCCACAUGCAGUACUAGAGUCCCGUCUCUCUGAAUCUGGUCUGGCCUGCCUACCACCUACAGGACAUCUGGUGUCCUGGGCCGGCUGCUCCCUUGUUGUGGGCCCUGUCAGUGUAAAAGGUGCUGCACACGAGCAGAAGGAAGCAGCGAGGGGGCAAUAGGGAUAGGGUUACAGCUACAGAUUUCAUGUUCUCCAUCCUCAGUGCAUUUGCUCGCUGGGCAUGAAUUUCACAGGAAGGGCAUGUCCCAGCACACCCACAGCUUCUGGCAAUGUGCUGGUCAUUAUGUGUUCACUCAUCCAGCUUCAGCUUCCCACCUGCAUUAUGUGACUGAUCCAGUGGAUAGCCCCAAGUACACUCUGCUGUGUGCUUCUUGCACAUUUUCUGCUGUGGGACUGUUUUCUUUGGAAGGGGCCUGAAUGGUGUGCACUAUUCAGGGUCCGUUGCUGCAUUUGUUAGCUGUUGCUUUUAUGAAUUUUUUGCCUUAUACCUGCAAGAAUCAGCUGAUCCAUCCAGCUUGAAACAGGCAUACAACGUAUGAGGGUCCCAGCCUAUGUGCUCUUCUCUGUGAUAUACUGAAGUUCAAAAUAGUCACACUAUGCAAAUGAUUGUUUGCAAUUCUUAUGGCUGCCCUCCUCCAGUGUGUCUUGACAUCAUUCGCUGAGUUGGUCACUUGUCCUGUGAAUGGACUGUCCCUGUGUGAGUUCUCUGGGGCCUUGCAUGGUUCUGCAGCUGGAUGCCACUCCCAUCCAGUCAUGCAGGGGGACAGUUGGGGCUCAGCAGGUCACACAGCUGGAAUGCUGGGGCCUGGUAAGCUGAGCAUUCCAGCUCCUGUGUCCUCACAGCCCCUCUUGGCUGUCCUCUGAGUCCAAGUGUCUUGUCUUCCAUGGUAAGCUGGAUCUUUCAAACCCAGUCCUUGUGGCUUAACCUCCCUUCUCCUGCCUCUUGUUGGUUUAUUCUUCAUUAAGAAUAAUAUUCAGGGGACUGGGGUUGUGGCUUAGUGGUAGAGCUCUUGCCUAGCAUGUGUGAGGCACUGGGUUCAAUUCUCAGCACUGCAUAUAAAUAAAUAAAUAAAUAAAUAAAUAAAUGUCCAUUAACAACUAAAAAAUAGUUUUAAAAAAGAAUAAUAUUCAUCGAGAGCCUACAUUGGGCAGCAUGAAUGACAAGGCUGGAUGGUCCAGAGGGCGGAGCAGAGAGGGCUUUCCUCAGGUGGUCUCUGAGGGUGGGUGUUAACAGGCUGGGGAGGGCACAUGAACUCUGGAAGCAUGUAAGCUGGACAAGCAAUGGAGGGGAGAGUGUAGCUGGGCAGAGACUGCACUUUGUCCUGGGGGUGAGACACCCUGGGUGUUGUAAGCAGGACAAGGAUCAGUUUGCAGCUUUUGGAGGUGCCCUCUGGCUUCAGUGGGAGGAGAGACCCCAAGGAAGAUGGAGCAGGAUGGACAUCAGGACCUGGACCCCAACAGGGCAUUAGGGGUGCAGUGAGAACACAUUAAGGAAAGGUGUGGAGGUGGAAGGCAGGGCUGCUCAGGAAAGCAGCUAGACCAGGAAAGGCUUCACCACGUCCUCUACUGAGGACUGCCUGGUUCGCUCCAUUUUUAAGUAACGUGCAACUGUUUCCUCUUGAAUCCUAUGAAUUCUUUAUAACUACAUUUCUUAUUCUCAACAAAGAGUAAAAUGUCCAAUCUACAUUGGGCAGUCAUAAUUUGAAAACAAAUACACUGAUUGUGUUGUGAACUCUUUAACUUGUCAAGAAAUUCACUGAGAGUCCCUUUCAGGGCCACUGGGAACAGCUGUUCAGAGUGUCCCCCCACCUCACCAUGGCCACCCUGCUGCUCAGGAGCCUCCUCUUCUCACCCUCAGCCUAGGGAGGCACGCAGCUAUCUGAGUGCAGGGCCCGCGUUCACCUGGGGGUGGUGACUGUGCAAGUAUGUUUAUGCAUUUUUCACUUAUGCCACUGGCUCAGGUUUGCAAAUUAACGGUGGAUUUUGUUAAUCUUUUGACCUCCAGAAAAACCACAGUUGUUUUAUCAUUUGUUAUGGUUUCGAUAUGAGGUGUCUCCCACAAGCUCAUGUGUGAGACAAUACAAGAAGGUUUGGGGUGAAAUGAUUAGAUUAUGGGAGCUGUAACCUAAUUGAUGCAUUAGUCUACAAUGGGGAUUAGUUAGUUGGUAACUGUAGGCAACUGUACGGUGUGGUUGGAAGAGGUAGGUCACUGGGGAAGUGUCUUUGGGGGUAUAUAUUUUGUCUUUGGUGAGACACAAGGAGAAGUCUCUCUGUCUCUGUCUCUUUCUCUCUUUCCUGGUAUGAUGUCCUGAGCUGCUUUCCUCUGCCAUGCCCUUCCUCCAUGAUGUUCUUCUUCAUCUCUGGCCCACAGCAAGGAAGCUGGGCAUCUAUGGAUUGAGACCUCUGAAACUGUGAGCACCAAAUAAACUUUUCGUCCCCUAAAAUUGUUCUGUCAGGUCUUUUGGUCACAACAAUGAGAAAGCUGAUUGAAACAUUCCUUUCCCACUGGGACAUGAGGGUGACUCUUUUGCUUAGAUUCCUGCCAUCAGCUAGUUUUGUCUUCCAAGUGCAGAGAGCUAGACUCUGAUCAUCUUACAGUUCCCAAGAAGUUACCCUUGAACAUAACAGACGCCAGCAUGUCUGUGGCAAAGGUCUGGCUGGAAGGAUCAGGCAUGUUGUGAAGGCUCAUCCCUGCACCUGUUUGCCUGUCUGAAGGUGACAUCUCUCCUUUCUGCUUCACCUGUGUAUGUAGGAGUAGCACUGAGGAAGCCUGAGAGGUGGAGAGUGGAUGGCUGGGACAGCAGUGUGUGGGGAGGUCCAGGCUCUCCAGCAGGGGUCUGAGGGUCUCACAGCAUGAGGAGACAUCGUGAAAUUCUCUAUCACUCUUAUCCUCAGGUGGGAGAAUCUGAGGGGAGAGCAGUCCACACUGAUGCCAUGUUGCUAGAGGUAUUUCUUCUUUAACCCCCAGGAUCAUUCAGCUUGAGGCAGACCUUAACCCUGGCCAAGGAGCAAGUGCCCCCCAUCUGAGGACCAGCAGCAGUCAGCAUUGACUCCCUGUGGCAGAGGCAACUCCCAGUGGCUGGCCUGUGCAGACCAGGGACUCUUCACAGGAUACUUGUGUGUGGAAUAGGCUGCCUCUCCAUUUCUGUAGCCAUGUGCAUUUAUGGACUCAGGUGGACGGAGAGUGCAGAGCUGAUGCAGGCAGCCAUUCUUUACUCACAGAUGGGAAUUGGAGCUGAGUCCCGAGACAUGUUUCCCCCGAGUACACUGCACACGUCUUCCUUCUGCAUGCCACCAGUGAGCAGGGAGUCCUGGCAUUGUUCAGAACAGCCUUCCGAAAUAGAGCACUGAAUGUGUUCCUCAUGCUCUUUUCUAUCUCUUUCUCUCAUCUCCUAUUUUUACUUUAGAAUUAUAUGGGGAAAAUAAAGCUUAAAUUCCUCUCAUUUGUAUGGCACUUUGCAAAUUACAGAGUACUUUUCACAGCCCUGAAAGGUGGGUAUUUCAUGGUCCCUAUUUAGAAUGAGGAGCUGGAGCUGAGAGGAGUUGAGUCACAGGAUUAGCCAAGGGCAAUCCAGUGGAGGAUCCUUUCAGAGCAGGCCUCUGAGGGGCUGGGGUCCCAGGCUGAAAGGUCACCAGGCUUCAGGCAGUGUCCCUGUAGGGUCAGAGAGCAGCUGCAUCUGAAUCCCACUCCCGUCUCCCUUCACCCUUCUCUCUGAGGACCUGUUCCUCAAACGCCCUGCAUGCUCCAGAACUCCAAGAAGACCUAGCUGGUGCUUCUUUGUAAAUUUUGUAUUUGUGUGCACUGCACAUUUUUCUUUUGGGAAAAUCAACUUUUUUACAAAGUUGAUUCCUAGGAGUGCUUUCCUUUUACAAUUUUUUGCUUUUGAUCUCCUGCAUAUAGAUGUCUUCAUCCUUGCAUGGUUCUAUAAAUAUUGAGCAUUUUUGGUUAUAGUUCUUGUUUUGUUUUGCAUUUUCUUCCCUCUCCAGAACUAAUUUUGAUGGCUAUGGGUCAAGGUUCAGGCAGGAAAAUAGUUUCCACUGCAGACAUUUCUAACAGAGUACUGAGUCCAGGGAUUGAUUGGACAGGUGACAGCGGGUGGAGGGGCAGAGGGGAUGAGGAAGGGAACUGGGGAGUGUGGGUUUCUCUCUGGGAUCAGAGAAGCAGUGGCUCUGGACUGGAGCCUGCUAGCCUGAGCCAGCUGUUGGUUGCAGGGCACACAGCUUGGCUCUGAAUUCUGGAUGAGGGGCUGCUAGACUCUGAAAAGAAGCUGCCUUCUCUUGCUACUGCCACUCGUGCAGCCACUUAGUGCCAGCAAGUGUCGCAGCUGCACCCUGUACAACCUAGAGGAGGCAGUUCCCCUGUCCUCCUGCCUGGGUCUGUCUCCAGUAUCUCCUACUUGAGAAGCUAACACAAAGUCAGCAGAUAAGCUGCAGUAGGCAGAAUCCUAUGGAAGGGAGGUGGGAGUAGUGGGGCAGGGCAGGGGCAAGAUUCCUGCCCCUGGUGCACACAGGUUUGCAUAAUUUCACCCUUUUUUGAAUGGGGAACUUAUUGACAUGGUGGGAAAUCAUCACUGCUGUGGUUAGGUCAUAUUAAAUGGCAAAGGCGUUUUGUAAAUGUUAUUAAGUCUUCCAAUCAGUUGACCUUAAGUUAAUCAAAGGUGAGAUUGUCUAUGUGGGUCUGACCUAAAUACAUGGAUGUUUAGAUACAGUCUAGAAUUCCAAGACAUUGGAAAUCAGUGAUGGAUUUUUGUUACUGAUCUGUAGCCACAGGCAGAAGUCUGUGGGCAUUGGAGAUAUGGGAUUUUUCUAUGGGCUAGGAGAUAGGCUCAUGGUGUGUCUCAAGAGUAACUAGGGGUUGGGCAUGAUGGUCUUUGUCUGGUGGUGCGGUGCUGGUAGAACGCCUCUAUCCCCCUGGGAUCGUAGGCCUGGGACAGGACCCUGCUUUCAGCUAAGACUUGGUCUAGACUUCUAUCAAUCAUCAGUAGAACUUUAGACUAUACAUUUACAAGUUGAACUUUGUUGAUUGCCGGUUUUUGUUUUCUGUUUCUGGAUGGGCUGUCAUCUUAUCAGCAGCCACACGCAGGGUGCUUGUUGUAGCAUGAUUCCUAGACCCUUGUUCAUUGUAGGACAGAAGUGCAGAGAUGUGCCCCUUUGUGUGGAGAACCGCUUAUGCUUUUAUUUCUGACAGGUUUGCCUGUUGUUAAUCAGUCAUUCCUGCUUUUUAAUGUGUGUCUUUGUAUUUAUAAAGUGUUUAAGACUAACAUGUACUUGGGUCUGCUUUAAUUAUCCAGUCAGACAGUUCAUUUAUUAAUUGGGAAUGUUAAAUCGGUUUACAUUUUUCAUAAUAAUUUAUAUGUGAAUUCAGCUCUUCUGUCCUGUUGAGUGUUUUCUAUUGUCCCAUCUGUUCUUUUAUAUAUUUGCCUUAUCCUGCCUUAAUUUUCACUAAUCAGUCAUUUCUUAAUAUUCCAUUUUAUUUGGCAUAUAUGCCUUAUCUUAAAUGUUGUCUUUAAUACGGAAAUAAACAUCCUAUCACAAUUACCAACCUUUUCACAUUUGCUUUGAGGACCUUACAACAAUAUACCUUUGUUUAAGCUUCUUUUCUUUGCCACAUUGUUUUUUUCUGCAUAAGUUUUGUUAUUUUUAUGCCUUCCAAAGUCAGCUUUUUCUUGAAGAAAUUGAGAUUUUAGCUUUCUAUUUUUUUUACUAUUUUGUGUUUCCACUCUUCAUUCCUUCUCAUAGAAGUUGACUCUCAGGGAGAAUAACUUUCUUUGGUCUGAAAUUCUUCCAUUAAUGUUUCAUGUACAGUUGUUCCAGUUUCAGAGUUUUCAGCCGUGGUUCGUUGGUUUUGUAAUUCAAGGAUGGCUUUGUUUUGCCUCCAUUGUUAAAGUAAAGGAGCACAUCGUCAUUCAUUUCUUAAGUUUCUUACCACUCUAGUAUCCACAUUAACAAAUCUUACGUCCAUGUGAAGCGUGGCAGCACGUGGGAUAGGAAAUGUUCACCACAGCAGGGGGUGGACUGCUCUCCGUAUGAUCGCCAGGAGACAAGCAUGUAGGCCUGGAGGCAAACAGGAGGGGCCAGGAUCGCUUCCACGGUGAUACUCAUUAACCUCUCUUGCUUAUGUAAGGAGCUGCUGGGUCCCGGUCCCAGCAGCUCCCAGUAAGACAGCAAUCUCUACUGUUGUGCUGCCCAGGCUGGCAGUCGAGCCUCUAGUACAUGAGGCAGUUUGGGGGCUUCUAGUCUAAACAAUGGCAUUUCAGUUAGACCCCUUUUUGAAAACAAAAUCUAUUUUUUUAAAACCGUUAGGUUUUCUUGGUGAUUGAAGAGUCCAGAUCCAAUUGUUCUUCCCAAUAAGGAUUGUCAUUAAAAUAAUUUAGUAGUAUUCAUGUUGCUUGUGCAGGUUUUCCAGUUCUGGUUUAUUGUUCGGGCCAUGUGUUUUUUGUUGAUAUGGGUUGAGGGAUUAAAGGGACGCCAUUCCUUUCUUGGGCAUUCACUUCUAGACUGUCUCAGUACUGCACAGGGAAAACCAGCACAGUGUAUUCAUAGUCACCAGUAAAAUUAGGAGGGGAAGAUAGGUAGAAACUCCACACAUGACACCGUGCACACGAAUAUAAGAACAAGAAGCACAAGAGAGCUUCACCCAUGAUUCUGGGUCCCUAUUUAAAUAAUAGCUCUGUGUGGGAAACAAUAUAAAUAGAAUUUGGAGCAUCAAAGUCAUUUAGUUUCUCUUUAAUUUUCCUGCUGAAGAUAAACUGAGAAUAGAUAGUUAAAAUGGACCAAAGAGCCUCUGUUAUCCUGUUGUUUCUAGAAGAAAAGCUGUUACCAGAUGGGGGUGAAAGGCUUGGUCUGGACUGUCCACCAGCUGAGGGAAGUCUGCCUGUGGCACACUCUUGGGAGGAGGGCCCGGGACUGGCCAUUUUCCUGGUUCUGUCUCUUUCCACCAUUCUACUUCUGUGCUGUCCUUCAGGGCCUCUAAAAGGCUUGUGGCAGAAGCCUGAAGACUGUGAAAUCCAGCAGUCAGGGAGACAAGCAGCCGACCUUGUUCACCCUGGUUCUCCAAAGAAUGGAGUCGUGUUCCAGGUUUUCUAUACUGAAGUGAUAAUCAGUUUGACACCUAAUAUGCUCUUGAAGCUGUGCUCCUUCCACAGGAUACACCUGUGCACCUGCACUGUUAUGGCAGAGGUGACCAUGCUGGGGCUAAGUUCUGUGGAGAGGCUGAUCUGUCCUUCCACCAUGUUCUCACAACUGUACAAGUAAUCAAGUUCACCUGAGGUUCUGUCUCCCUCAGCCUCGGCCUCAGUUUCUAAAGGAAUCUUGGAUAUUACCCCAUCUUCACACUAGACACUUCCCAUGAUCAUCUCUUCUGUCUCACUUCCAACUUCAUGUGUCAUUUCUCCUGUUUUUAUGGGCUGCUUCGUCUGCUUCAGGUUGACCUCAUGAGCUGUUCUGGGAUCCAGGUCUCUCUUGACCGUCUGGUCUGACAUCAGCUAAGUGGAGUGGUCCCCACUUGUGCAUAUUAGCUUGAAGAAAACCAAAUAAAAUCAUACAAUGACAAUGCACAAGUCUCACUCUCUUUGUUGAUUACUUGAAUGAGCCUCAUCCUCACUUCAUUUCCCAGUUUUCUUUGUUUUCACUGUUACUCCUGCUUUCAACCUUCUCUCCCUUUUCUUUGCUAAAUUUUGGUUUCUUAUUUCCAUGGCUGGUGAUACUCUGAGACUGCAGAAAGAUUUUUCCAGUGUUUGCUGAUUCUUCUGAUGUUGGCUGAUCUGCCAUAUUGCUGAAAUCACUGGCCUUCCUUGUUGGGUUUCCUUGUCUCCAGUUCUGCUUUUAUAAUUUUGGGGGAGCUGAACUCGCUGGCCUGGCCCCAGCAGCUGACUGUGGAGAGGAUUCAUUCCUUACUCUUUUUUAUUCCUCUUUGUGAAAUGCAUCUUUUUUUAUUGUUUAAUUCCCCCCCCCCUCUGCUUCAGCAUUUUGCCUAGGAUGUGGCCAUAUAUGGACUUUCUCAGAUGCCUUUAGAUCAUUUUUUUGACACUUUGUCCAGAGUUGAUGGAGUUGAUGGUUGUUGUCUGUAAUCUGUGGCAUAGUAGGUGGACAGAGCUGGGAGAUCAUGAUUGGAAGGGCCUCAGGGCCAUGACCAGGAUUGUGGGUGAGUACAGCCUGUGGGUUGAGGAUGUACAUGUCUGUUUUGGGCACAUAGCAUGCAUGGUGUGGCAUCCUUGAGCUUUCUAUGUCUGUCUGUCCUUACCGAUGGGGGACAGAACAAAGGAGCUUAGGAGGGUUUAUGUGCAUCUGAACCAGGGAGGUCCCCAGCUUCCAAAAGCUUGCUCACUUUCCAUUGUUCCCUGCCUCAGGCCAGGGUGGGGAGAGCCCAGCCCUCUUUCCCAGGGCCCCUGAACCCCAGGGCUGGGAGCUGGGCCAGUAGUCUGGAUUGGACUAAGGCAUGCAUCUGCAGCUGUCCUGACCUCUAGAGCCUCCAGGUCACGUGUUCUCCUUUGCCCCUGUUCCUCUUUCUCUCUUCCUUUCUUCCUUCCUUCCUCCCUCCCUCCCUUCCUCCCUUUCCUCCCCUCCCCUCCCUCCCUCCCUUCCUUCCUUCCUUCCUUCCUUCCUUCCUUCCUUCCUUGAUAGACCCCUUGACACCCAAGGCAUGUGCUGCAGGAAUGCCCCUGUCUACCACUGCAGUGUAGGCUGCAGGAGACGCUGGGCCCAUCUGAGUGCCAGGAGUGAGGGUGGGGCCUGGUUCGGACAGAAGGCCGGCCUGAGUGAAGUUCAUGUUCUGUGAAGACACAGAUCACUGCAGGGACAUCUUCACCAACACCCCACACCCUGGUGGUACCUGGAGGUUAUAGUCAGAGACCAAGACAGCAUGGCUUCUCCCAUGCCUGACCUACACCCCCAGUGAGCACCCUGGCAUCGUGCCAGAGGUUUAGUGGGAAAGUGUUUUCUCCUGUGGGUAGAAGCAGUGCUCCGUUCGAGCCUUGCUCAGGCCCAGGCUCCCUGGGUGGAGAACUUGCUUGUGUCUGUCUCCACCCUGUGACUGGAAUCAGAUUGACUCCCCUCCAUGGAAGUGCCAAGUGUGGGUGCUGAGUGACAGUUGAGGCUCUCCUGGCCCUUCAAGCUAGGCAGGGGCUGGCUGUGAUGCUCCUGUGGGCAUAGCCAGUAUUCUUGUUCUUUUUAAUGAAACAUAAAAUGUCUUGAUUAUGCAGAUUGAAGUGUGUUUUAUUCUAACAGGCUUUGAGAAAGGACAAGCCUUGAAUUCACGUCACCAGCGUACUCUGAACAGGGGAGGGAGCAGCAAGUGCCCCAGCUGUGUAUGUGUGUUAAGAGGUCUGUGUGUCCUUAGUUACUGCGCGUGAAGAGUUAUUUUUAAAGUGAAGACGGAUUUGAGCAGGAGUCUUGCGGGUGUGGGACUUGAUCUGCAAGGCUGUGAGCAAGUGGUUUCGUGGCCAGGGAGGGACCUGAAGAUCUCACCUUUGGUCACAGUGCUAGUGGUGCGACAGCCCCUCUGCUGUCAGUGGGGACUUCUCUUGGGUUUUUCUGUUUGGGGAGUUUAUUUCUUGCUCCUAGGGCUCUGUGAGAAUGAGGAGAAAUCAGGGGAUUGUCCUCUGAGGCACAUGGAGGUCGGUCCAGGGUGUCUUGGUGGGUGCUCCCAACUUUCAUGCCUGCCUAGACUUGGGCCCCCAACACAUCUUUGUGCUCAAGGUCCAGCUCCUCACAUUCCAGCUCUACAAAAUGCCCAUCUUGACCUGUAAACCUGAUCUGUAACCUUCUGGAUCUGUAAAACUUCCUGUUAUGUGCCCUAUGUUCAGAGGCUGAGGAACAUGGGAGGUGACAAACAGCUAGACCUUCCCUGUGGGUGGUCCCAGGAUACCCACUUUGCCUACAAUUCUUGCCAGAAUCUGUGGGGAAAUCAUUUUUACAAAAGCAUUUUCAUUAAAGCAGUUUAUUUAAACAUUGCUUCUGAGAGUAAAUUGAGGGUCAGUGUAGGAGGGGGACUCAUAGGUGGGGGCUCCUUCUGGUUGGCUCCUUCUGAAGUCCUUCAAUAUGGAGUUUUGCUCAUUCUCCGGUUAAAAUAAGUUUGAAAUCCAUAAGUAAGGACUUGUGCCAAAUGAGAAGGAAAGUACAGUUGAAGCCAAGGACAAGAGAUGGCUCAGGAGAGUGCUGGCGGGCUGGGCUCUGAGCACUGGUGUGGUCAGUCCUGCCUAGCUGGUUGACACCUCCGAUGCUGGCCUGUGCUCUGGAGCCUGACCAUUUAGGUUGUGGUGCCAUCACCAGCACCUUUUACAACAUUCCAUUUUGUACAGAUACCAUAUUGCCUCAUGUGGCCGAGGGUAACCAUGUACACCUGCCCCUUCCUCAUACCCCUGCUGGCAGACACCAGGCCUCUGCAGAAUGACUCUGAGGGUGGUGUUUAAUUAGCUAUGAAGGUAGGUUAUUGUUGCUAUGCUUUUAGGUGAAGUCUGCAGUUCUACCAAGAAAUAGAGCGUGCUAGAUGACUACCAGGUACUGGUGCCCAGUCCCAAGACCAGAGGUCAUCAGAUGUGGGAAAUCAGAUACCCAGGUUCGUCACAGAAGGUGAUAGCUGGGGAGAGACAUCUGUUAGGAGGAACCUAAGAAUGACUGGUGCACAGUGACUCGGGCUUAGCCUGGCUCCGGCACUGAAGACACAGACAUGCAGGUGUUACCUGGAGCCCAAACGGAAAUGCUCAGUAGGUCUCACGUGUUCUACUCCCUGAAGCACAGUGCUUGCCUCUCUACUCAGGCCAGGCUGUGGAGUUCUCCUCUUCCAUUCCACCCCAGGCACAGUUCUUAGCUGGCCAGCUCUGCUGGGUUACCUGUGCUUCUACUGCCUUGCCCUCUAGCCACACAGCUUCACAGGUCCUAGGUCCUCCCCCUUGGGCCUGUGCACACUGGCACCUCUGGCUGGACUGCUUUCCCAAGUUCCUGAGGUUGGUUCCUUCCCUGACCCCAGACAUACCAUGAGUGCUGUCCUUGACUCUGGCACAGCUCAACCUUACUGUUGGUCACAUCCAUUGAAGGGUGUACUCCUUGAAGAGGGGACCUCUGGGUUUUUGUCCAUUGUCCUCUGUCAGGCACAUGCUGCAGCACCGGACAUGCACAUUGCUCUGUGAUAUGCUGAAUGAAUAGCCCAACUCCAUCCUAGCCCCUGAAGUGCCAGGGUCUCCAGGGAUAUCUUCAGCCUUAGUCCCCCCGUAAGUGAGAGGAGCUUCAGAAGCACCUCAAGAGCCAGGUUAGUAAGCUGGAGUCUGAGGAGUGUGGAGAUGACACCCAAAUCUCCCUGUCCCUGUCCCCUGACUGCAGGAAACAGACUGCCUAUUACAUGGUGACUAUGUGCCUCUUGUGGAGGUGCCUGCAGGUGGCAUUAGCAAGAGACACAAAGACCUCCCAUCUGUUCAGUGCAUGCCUCACACUUUAGUCCUCUCCCUCUCUGACCUUGCUCUUGCCAGGUCCAGGGCCACCAGCCCAGCCGCUCGCUCCUGCCUAUAGUUUGUCGUAGCUUCCCUGAGGCCCCAUCUUUGCAGUGGUCUUCCUGCUGUGAGAUCUUCCUCUCCCCACAGACCCUAGGGCAUCUGUGUGUGCAGGGGGAGUGGAUACGCAGUUGUGUCUGUGUCUGGACAGCAUAAAGUCUGGCCUCUCCUAGAGCCAGCCUGAAGUUUCCUUCUGUCCCCUGAGCUGGCUUGGCCCAUGGCCCUGCUGGUGCCCAGCGCUGAGCCUGCUGUUCUUCUGCCUCACUGAAUGUGGGGUGGGUCGGCAGUGUGGAGCUGUGCAGAAUUCUGCCUUCACUGUCUAUUCAGAAGCCCAGUGGGGGCUGCUUUCACGGGUGCUGAGUUCUGUCACAGGAGGUAUAGCUGUGCUGCAGAACCUCAACUCUCUGCACAGUGUUGUUUCCAUUGGGAUUUGCCAGGACUCCUCACAGCUGGCUUCCUGUCUGCUGGGCCAUGUGCCCACAGGGGAGGACCUACAGCCUAGAUGGAGGCAGAGGGCCCUGCAGCUAGCCUCCUGGUCACCAGGGCAGAUGUGGGGGCUGCAGAGUCAGGGGGCUCACCACAUCGUGUGCCUUUCUCCAAGCAUUAGGAGGCACCAGAUGCAAAACACAUCCUUUACUUAGACGAGCUGUCUUGUGGUGGCCCAGACCACAUGACCUCACACAGUGUAUUGACUGCAGCCUCAGAACCCCUAUGAGUCACCUCCCACCUCUGCCCCAUGCACCUCUGGAGUACCCAGUUGAUUUGCUAGUUCCUGAUCACUGUGUCAAAUCAGAAAGAUGCCAACAACAAACUGGCCCAGCACCAUGUUACAUCUGAAACAUGUAUGGAGAGGCUUCUGAUUUCUGGCCCAGCAGGCCCAGGAAGAGAGUUCAGAAGUUGCCUCCCUGACCUAACAACAAGUGCAGAGCCGAACAAGCUGACAAAGCAGCCGAUCUUUUUGGAUGUGCGGAGAAGUGAAAGCACAGGGCAAACCACUGCCCCCAAGUUGGAGCAGACAGGCAGAGUUGGAGUAACAGAGCAGAAGCUUCCACUAGCCUCUGCCCAGGGCCCAGUACCUGAACAGGGAGUGCCACAGCAUUCACAGAGAGAAAACCUGUAGGGGACCCAGUCUUCUGAAGGCCCCCACACUUGGAUUUUACCUCCUGGAGGUCUACCAGUUUCUCACAGUGAAUAUUGGAGAAAAUCCGAUGCCUCUGGCAGACAGAAGUAAAGAACCAUUUUGAAAUAUGUCAGAUAUUCUGUUCUUAAUAAGGCCUAUCUGCACAAGAAACUGUUUAACCAGAACCUAGCCUGCUGGGAUUUUUUUUAGGGCCUGACUGACCUGGGAAAGGGAAAUACUGUAGCCCUCAACAGCCAGCCCGUUCCACCAGGGCAGGGGGAAUACUCAAGUCUAGCCCUCAAUAGCCAUCUUGUUCCACCUGGGCACGAGGUGAGGGGUGUUGAGAAGCACUGGUGAAGCUGCCAGUCCAGGGUACAGGCUCACUGAAAGAUGAGACCUCAUCCUAGGCCUGCAGAGUGCUCACCUCCCCCACACCUGACCAUGACUUUACUAAAGAGCCGUUUUCAGCCGAUCCUUUUACCCAGUACCUCACAUCUGGUCAUCAAGAAAAAAUUACAAGACACACUAAAAGGCAAAAAUGCAAUCUAAAGAGAGAGCAAGCUUCAGAGCCAGAUUCAGAUAUGGCAGGGAGGUUGGAAUUAUCCUAACCGGAAUUCAAAAAUGAUCAAUGUGUAAGAGCUCUCAAGAAGUAGUCGACAGCAUCUAAGAACAGGUAGAUGGGCUGGGAGUUAGCUCAGUGCUAGAGUGCCUGUGCGGCAGGCAGGAGGCCCUGGGUUAGAUUCCCAGCAUGGGAGGGAAGAAGGAGGAAGCGGGAGGAAGAAAGGAAGGAGGAAGGGAGGGCAAUGUAAGCAGAGAUGUGAGAAAUCAACGUCACUUUUACAGAAAUGAAGAAUGCCUUUGAUGGACUUAUUAGCAGACUGGAUAAGGCUGAAAAAGAGUCCCUGAGCUUGAGAAUAAUAGCCUAGAUCAGUAGUAGUUGUCAUUUCCAAAACUGAACUGGAAAGAAGGAGCGGGGGGGGGGAGAUUGGAAAAUAAAUAGAAUAGAAUUUGAAAUAAUUAUGGGACAACUACAAAAGGUGUAAUCCAUGUAUAAUAGGAACAUCAAAAGGGGAAGAGAGAGGAAAAGGGACAGAAGAAAUGUUUGAAACAGUGAUGAUUGAGAAUUGCCCCAAGGUCAGACACCAAACCUCAGAUCUAGAAAGCUCAGAGAACGCCAAAUAGGAUAAGCAAUGAAACAAAAUAAAACCGACGACUACAGGAAAUCCACACCUAUGCAUGUCCUGUUCAAACUACCCUACGUCAAAGAAAGAAAAAGUCUACCUCAGCUGCAGAGUAAGAAAGGUAAGGUUUGUAUCUGACUUCCUUAGAAAGCAGGCAAGCGAGGAGAAAGGGGGUGAAAUAGUGAAGGUAUUGGGAGAGACAAACCACCAACCUAGAAUUCUAUACAUGGAGAAAUUACUCUGCCUAAGGGAAGGAGAAGUAAAGACUUUCUAGACAGACAAAGAUUGAGGGAGUUUGUUGCCAGAUGACCUACUGUGUUAGUCAGAUUUUUGUCAUUGUAACCAAAAGAUGAGACAAGAACAACUUAGAGGAAGAAAACUUUAUUGGCUCAUGGUUUCAGACGUUCAGUCCGUGGUCAGCCAGCUCCAUUACUCUGGGCCCAAGUGAGGGUCACCAUGGUGUAAGGGUGUGACAGAGGAGCACUGCUCCAGGCACGGCAGCUGGGAGGCAGAGAGACAGGCAGAGGGAACAUGGGGAAGGUUCACCCCUCCAGGGCAGCCCGCAGUGACCCACAUUCUUCAGCCACGUCCCGCCUUCCUAGUCACUACCUAGUCAUUCCAUUCAAACCAGAUGGACUGAUUAGGUUACAGUCUCCUAAUGCACUCAUUUCACUGCUAACAAUCCUGCAUUACCACAGGAACAUCCAGACAGUAACACCUGCCUUGUAAAAAAUGUGGCAAGAAAUUCUUUAGAGAGAAAGAAAAUUAUAAAGUUCACAAAGUCAUUUCUCCAUAAAGGAAGGACAUCAAGAAAGAAUAAGUGAAGGUGAGAUAAAAACUUUGAUUUUUCCUAUUAUUAAUUGAUCUAACAUAAUAUUCGUUCAAUAUAAUAAUAGCAACAAAGCAUUCGAUUGUGUAGGUUCAUGAAUGCUUAGAUGUUAGUAAAAUGAAUGAUAACAAUGACUAAGGAGAGAAGAGAGGAAUUGGAAUCGUUUUGUUAUGAUAAGAUGCUUCAUCACCUAUGAAGCAGCUUAGUGUUAUUUAGAAGAGUUAGUUUAGAAGAGUCUAAAUGAACCAGUUAAAAGACAGCUUGCCAGUGGAUCAAAAACCAAGGCCCAACUACAUGCUCAUUCUAUGUUGUAAAUAUAAAUGCAUAUAUAGAUUAAGAGUAAAUGCAUGAAGAAAGAUCUACCUACCAUACUAACACUAAUCAAAUGUAAGAGGAAUAACUAUUUUAAUGUCAGACACUGCAAACUUUUCAGCAAGGAAACCUAUUAGGAAUAAAUAAGAGCUUUCUAUAAUGAAUAGAGGGGUCAUUCCUCAAGAAGAUGUAGCAUUUUUCACAUGUAUGUAUCUAACAAGAGCAUGUCAAAAUCAUGAAACAGAACUGAGAGAACUGCAAGGGGAAGUAGAAGAAUCUACUGUUACUGCUGGGUACUUCAACAACACUCAUAUUCAGAAAUGGACAGAUCCAGCAGGCAGAAAUCAGUAAGGACAUAUGCAACUCAACAACACUGCUGAUUUGUUAGAUUAUAAUGGACAGCUGUGGACCCCUUCAGCCAACAACACAGAACAACGUUUCGUAUCAAGCUCCCAUGGAACACUCACCAGAACAGACUACCGUCUGGGCAUAAAGUGCACCAUAACAGAUUUAAAAGAUAGAAAUAAUACAGUGUUUGCUCUUAUACCCCAGUGGAGUUAAAUUAGACGUCAAUAGAAGAAAGAUAGUUGGAAGAUGCCAAAACACUUAGAGACUAAACAGCACACUUCUAACAUGUGGAUAAAAGAAAUUGCAAGUGAAAUUUUAAAAAAUAUUUUGAACUAAAUGAAAACAACUUAUCAAAACAUGUGGGAUGGAAUGAAAAUAAAACUUAGAGGAAAAUUUAUUUAUUUAAUAUUUAUUUUUUAGGUUUAGAUGGACACAACACAAUGCCUUUAUUUUUAUGUGGUGCUGAGAAUUGAACCCGGGGUCCCGGCCGUGCUAGGGGAGCACUCUACCACUUAGCCACAGUCCCAGUCCCUUAGAGGAAAAUUUAUAUCAGUGAAUGUAUAAACUAGAAAAGAAUAAAGAUCUUAAAUCAAUAAUCUAAGCUUCUGCCACAGAAAACUAGAAAAAGAAGAGUAAAAUAAAUCCAAAGUAUGCAGAAUAAAAGAAAUAAUAUCAUGGCAUUUGCAGGUAAAUGGAUGGAGUUAGAGAAGAUAAUGCUAAGCAAAGUUAGCCAAUCCCCAAAAAAACAAAUGCCAAAUGUUUUCUCUGAUAUAAGGAGGCUGAUUCAUAGUGGGAUAGAGAGAGGGAGCAUGGGAGGAAUAGACAAACUAUAGAUAGGGCAGAGGGGUGGGUGGCAGGGGAAGGAGGGGGCAUGGGGUAAUUAAUGAUGGUGGAAUAUGAGGAUCAUUAUUAUCCAAAGUACAGGUAUGAAGACACGUAUUGGUGUGAAUAUACUGUGUAUACAACCAGAGAUAUGAAAAAUUGUGCUCUAUACAUGUAAUAAGUAAUACAUUCUGCUGUCAUAUGUAAAUAAUAAUAAUAAAAAGAUAUAAUAAUGAUUAUAGCAGAAAUCAGUGAAGUAGACAAUAUGAAUUCAGUAGAGAAAAUUGAAACUCAAAGCUGCUUCUUUGAAAAGAGAAAUAAAUUAGAUUCUAGCCAGGCAGAGGAAGAGAAAGGAAGAGAGAGAAGAAGAAAAGAAAGAGGGGGGAAGAGGAGGAGAGAGGAGAAAACAGGGAAGAGAGAAAAGAGAAGACAAAUUAUGAAUAUUACAAUUGGAAGAGGGGUUAUCACUUUGGAUCAUAUGGACAUUGAAAGGAUAAUAAAUAGGUCUAUGUCCAUAAAUUUGAUAACCCAGAUAAAAGGGACUUGUUCCUUCAAAAGAAAAUUUGCUAAAACUCAAGCAAGAAGAAAUAGGUUAUCCAAAUAUGCCGCAGUCUGGCUGGGCACAAUCAGGAGCCACUUGUCAAAAGAAACUAACUUUAUUUUUAGAACCACACACGCCAAACAAAACAGCCUCUCAGGAAAAACCCUCAGAGCCCCAACUGCCACCACCGGCUUUCCACAAGACUCUCUCUCCCACACAAGCUUCUCUCCACCUCCCACAAUCCUCCUUCUCUUGAGGCCGAUUGGCUGGGUCACGUGGGCGGAGCCACAAAAGUCCCCCAAUGAGCAGCUCCGUGGCCUUAAAGGGCAGGGAAACAGCCCAAUGAGCAUCACUGCAGAGGAGCCAAUCAGCUAGAUGUUGCUGGGGCCGCUGUGAGCCAAUCAUCAGCCGGCAGCUGGAAGUUUGCUGGGGCCCCUUCGGCUGUGGCUCUCAACAUCUCCCCCUCUCUGUUUAAACAAAAAGCAUGUGGCUUAGGGACCGUGCCUGCCUUAGGUUGUCCAAUAGUACAUAUGGUCCUUAGGUUGGUACCAUUGCAAUUGGAUCUUACCCGUCACUGACUACUGGUCCAGUAUACAGCCACACCUGUGGAGAGGUCUUUGUACCAGCGGGGGGGUGAGGUUCUUUGCCUCACCUCUGUUGGCCCCCAAAUUUUAGCUGGACAAUCAUGACAAGCAGAAGGCAGGAAGAUACACCAAGCCAAUUGACGGCUCCUUUUGGAAAAAUUGUACCACCGAUGACAUCAUCAGCAAAAAUACCCCAACACUACCACAAGUAGCUGCNNNNNNNNNNNNNNNNNNNNNNNNNNNNNNNNNNNNNNNNNNNNNNNNNNNNNNNNNNNNNNNNNNNNNNNNNNNNNNNNNNNNNNNNNNNNNNNNNNNNNNNNNNNNNNNNNNNNNNNNNNNNNNNNNNNNNNNNNNNNNNNNNNNNNNNNNNNNNNNNNNNNNNNNNNNNNNNNNNNNNNNNNNNNNNNNNNNNNNNNNNNNNNNNNNNNNNNNNNNNNNNNNNNNNNNNNNNNNNNNNNNNNNNNNNNNNNNNNNNNNNNNNNNNNNNNNNNNNNNNNNNNNNNNNNNNNNNNNNNNNNNNNNNNNNNNNNNNNNNNNNNNNNNNNNNNNNNNNNNNNNNNNNNNNNNNNNNNNNNNNNNNNNNNNNNNNNNNNNNNNNNNNNNNNNNNNNNNNNNNNNNNNNNNNNNNNNNNNNNNNNNNNNNNNNNNNNNNNNNNNNNNNNNNNNNNNNNNNNNNNNNNNNNNNNNNNNNNNNNNNNNNNNNNNNNNNNNNNNNNNNNNNNNNNNNNNNNNNNNNNNNNNNNNNNNNNNNNNNNNNNNNNNNNNNNNNNNNNNNNNNNNNNNNNNNNNNNNNNNNNNNNNNNNNNNNNNNNNNNNNNNNNNNNNNNNNNNNNNNNNNNNNNNNNNNNNNNNNNNNNNNNNNNNNNNNNNNNNNNNNNNNNNNNNNNNNNNNNNNNNNNNNNNNNNNNNNNNNNNNNNNNNNNNNNNNNNNNNNNNNNNNNNNNNNNNNNNNNNNNNNNNNNNNNNNNNNNNNNNNNNNNNNNNNNNNNNNNNNNNNNNNNNNNNNNNNNNNNNNNNNNNNNNNNNNNNNNNNNNNNNNNNNNNNNNNNNNNNNNNNNNNNNNNNNNNNNNNNNNNNNNNNNNNNNNNNNNNNNNNNNNNNNNNNNNNNNNNNNNNNNNNNNNNNNNNNNNNNNNNNNNNNNNNNNNNNNNNNNNNNNNNNNNNNNNNNNNNNNNNNNNNNNNNNNNNNNNNNNNNNNNNNNNNNNNNNNNNNNNNNNNNNNNNNNNNNNNNNNNNNNNNNNNNNNNNNNNNNNNNNNNNNNNNNNNNNNNNNNNNNNNNNNNNNNNNNNNNNNNNNNNNNNNNNNNNNNNNNNNNNNNNNNNNNNNNNNNNNNNNNNNNNNNNNNNNNNNNNNNNNNNNNNNNNNNNNNNNNNNNNNNNNNNNNNNNNNNNNNNNNNNNNNNNNNNNNNNNNNNNNNNNNNNNNNNNNNNNNNNNNNNNNNNNNNNNNNNNNNNNNNNNNNNNNNNNNNNNNNNNNNNNNNNNNNNNNNNNNNNNNNNNNNNNNNNNNNNNNNNNNNNNNNNNNNNNNNNNNNNNNNNNNNNNNNNNNNNNNNNNNNNNNNNNNNNNNNNNNNNNNNNNNNNNNNNNNNNNNNNNNNNNNNNNNNNNNNNNNNNNNNNNNNNNNNNNNNNNNNNNNNNNNNNNNNNNNNNNNNNNNNNNNNNNNNNNNNNNNNNNNNNNNNNNNNNNNNNNNNNNNNNNNNNNNNNNNNNNNNNNNNNNNNNNNNNNNNNNNNNNNNNNNNNNNNNNNNNNNNNNNNNNNNNNNNNNNNNNNNNNNNNNNNNNNNNNNNNNNNNNNNNNNNNNNNNNNNNNNNNNNNNNNNNNNNNNNNNNNNNNNNNNNNNNNNNNNNNNNNNNNNNNNNNNNNNNNNNNNNNNNNNNNNNNNNNNNNNNNNNNNNNNNNNNNNNNNNNNNNNNNNNNNNNNNNNNNNNNNNNNNNNNNNNNNNNNNNNNNNNNNNNNNNNNNNNNNNNNNNNNNNNNNNNNNNNNNNNNNNNNNNNNNNNNNNNNNNNNNNNNNNNNNNNNNNNNNNNNNNNNNNNNNNNNNNNNNNNNNNNNNNNNNNNNNNNNNNNNNNNNNNNNNNNNNNNNNNNNNNNNNNNNNNNNNNNNNNNNNNNNNNNNNNNNNNNNNNNNNNNNNNNNNNNNNNNNNNNNNNNNNNNNNNNNNNNNNNNNNNNNNNNNNNNNNNNNNNNNNNNNNNNNNNNNNNNNNNNNNNNNNNNNNNNNNNNNNNNNNNNNNNNNNNNNNNNNNNNNNNNNNNNNNNNNNNNNNNNNNNNNNNNNNNNNNNNNNNNNNNNNNNNNNNNNNNNNNNNNNNNNNNNNNNNNNNNNNNNNNNNNNNNNNNNNNNNNNNNNNNNNNNNNNNNNNNNNNNNNNNNNNNNNNNNNNNNNNNNNNNNNNNNNNNNNNNNNNNNNNNNNNNNNNNNNNNNNNNNNNNNNNNNNNNNNNNNNNNNNNNNNNNNNNNNNNNNNNNNNNNNNNNNNNNNNNNNNNNNNNNNNNNNNNNNNNNNNNNNNNNNNNNNNNNNNNNNNNNNNNNNNNNNNNNNNNNNNNNNNNNNNNNNNNNNNNNNNNNNNNNNNNNNNNNNNNNNNNNNNNNNNNNNNNNNNNNNNNNNNNNNNNNNNNNNNNNNNNNNNNNNNNNNNNNNNNNNNNNNNNNNNNNNNNNNNNNNNNNNNNNNNNNNNNNNNNNNNNNNNNNNNNNNNNNNNNNNNNNNNNNNNNNNNNNNNNNNNNNNNNNNNNNNNNNNNNNNNNNNNNNNNNNNNNNNNNNNNNNNNNNNNNNNNNNNNNNNNNNNNNNNNNNNNNNNNNNNNNNNNNNNNNNNNNNNNNNNNNNNNNNNNNNNNNNNNNNNNNNNNNNNNNNNNNNNNNNNNNNNNNNNNNNNNNNNNNNNNNNNNNNNNNNNNNNNNNNNNNNNNNNNNNNNNNNNNNNNNNNNNNNNNNNNNNNNNUUUCUAUCCUCCUGACAUGUGCAUCCGUCCUUUCUCCCUAUCUGUUCCUCAGACGUAAAUAGUUUUUCCUCAGAUGUGAGCGGUUUUUCUUCCGUCUCACUCAUCUCCAGAAACAGGCAACUUAAAACAAAAGUGAAGCAAAAUAAAAGAGGAAUCUUAAAAUGGCUACCCAUCCUCUCGCCCUGCCCUCAGGGGCGAGCAGUUUACCUUACCCUCAGUCGCUCCCCGUGCGAGCCACCAAAUGCCGCAGUCUGGCUGGGCACAAUCAGGAGCCACUUGUCAAAAGAAACUAACUUUAUUUUUAGAACCACACACGCCAAACAAAACAGCCUCUCAGGAAAAACCCUCAGAGCCUCAACUGCCACCACCGGCUUUCCACAAGCCUCUCUCUCCCACCCGAGCUUCUCCCCACCUCCCACAAUCCUCCUGCUCUUGAGGCCGAUUGGCUGGGUCACGUGGGCGGAGCCACAAAAGUCCCCCAAUGAGCAGCUCCGUGGUCUGAAAGGGCAGGGAAACAGCCCAAUGAGCAUCACUGCAGAGGAGCCAAUCAGCUAGAUGUUGCUGGGGCCGCUGUGAGCCAAUCAUCAGCCGGCAGCUGGAAGUUUGCUGGGGCCCCUUCGGCUGUGGCUCUCAACACAAAUAGACCUUUAUCUAUUAAAUACUCUUCCUACCGAGAAAUCAUUAGGCUUAGAUAAGUUCACUAGUGAAUUCUACCAAAAUCUUAAGAAAUAAAUUAUAGCAGUUUUCUACAAUCUCUUUCAGAAGAUAGAAACAGAGUGAAUACUUCCUACGAGGCAGGCAUUACUCAAACACCAACAGUGGACGAAGACAUUAUAAGAAAACCAAAGAUCAGUGUCUCUUAUUAACAUAGAUGCAAAAAUCCUUAACCAAAUAGCAAAUAGAAUCCAACAGUGUGUAUAAAUAGUUCACACCACAACCAGGUAGACUUUAUACAGGUAUGCAAGUCAGGUUUAACAUUAGAAAAAUCAAUUAAUGUGAUCUGUAACACCAACAGAUUGAAGAAGAAAAACCAUAUGAUCAUAUACAUAGAUGCAGUAAAGGCAUUUGACAAAAUCCAAUACCCAAUAAUGAGUAACCAAAAAAUCACCUCUCAGUGAACUAGGAAUAAAGGGAAAAUUCCUCAACUUGAUAAAGAACAUCUACAAACAAAACAAAAGAGCUAGCAGCAUACUGAAUAGUCAGAAGCUAGAAGCUUUCCUGCUAAGGUCCAGGAUCUCAGCAAGGACAGCUGUUCCCACUACUCCUUUUUAACAUCACACUGGAACUCCUAGCUAAUGCAAUAAGAAAAGGAAAUAAAAAUUAUACUGACUAGCAAGGAAAAAAUAAAACUUUAUCCAUAGGUGCCGUGAUUGUCUAUGCAGAAAAUCAGAAAGAAUACUGUGUUAGUCACUUUUCUUUUGCCUGGUACAAAGUACCUGAGAAAAUCAACAUAUAAGAAGAAAAUAUUUAUUUUGGCUCAAAAUUUCAGAGGGCUUAGUCCUUUUUUGCUUGACUUGUUGCUCUGGGCCUGUGGAGCACAGUACAUCAUGGCAGGGAAUGUGUGGUGGAGCAAAGCUGCUCACCUCACAGUGGCCAGGAAGAAAAGAGAGAAAGAGAAGAAGGAGGAGGAGGAGAAGAAAAAGGGGCUGGGUCCCAAUAUUUCCCCCAAAGGCACACCCUAAUGAUUAACUUCCUUCCUGUAGGUCCCACCUCCUAAAGGAUCCUCUACUUCCCAAUAGAGCCACAAGCCUUUAGCAUAUGGGCAUUAGGAGGACAUUGAAGAUACAACUAUAACAAGUAUAGGGGGAAAUUCAUGAAACUAGUAAGUCGUUAUAGCAAGGCUGCAGGAUACAAGGUUAACUGUACAAGUCAUUUACUUUCUCGCCUACUAACAAUGAUCAAGUAGAAUGUGAAACUUAAAAACACCAUAUAGUUACAUUAGCACCCCCCAUGAAAUAUUUAGGAGUAAGUCUGAAAAAUGUGUACGAGAUCUAUAUAAGGAAAACUACAAAAUUCUGAUGGGUAAAAUCAAAGGGGAACUAAAUAAUUGGAAAGAUAUUCCCUGCUCUUGGGUAGGGAGACUCAGUGUUGUCAGGAUGUCAGUUCUUCCCAAGAUGUAUAGAUUCAACACAAUCCAAACAGAAACUCCAAGUUAUGUUUUGUAAAUCAACAAAGUGAUUCCAGUAUUUAUCUGAAAAGGCAAUAGGUUGAGAAUAGUCAACAUAGUACUGAAGGAGAACAAAGGCAGAGGACUGACACCGUCUAAUCCAAGAUUUACUGUAAAACCACAGCAGUCAAGCAGUUGGUAUUGGCAAAGCAUGGACAGGCAAACCAACAGAACUGAAACCCAGGCACACAUGCAUGGAAGUAUAGCCAGCUGACCACUGCCCAAGAGCAGCGGCAGUGCAGUGGCACAGACCCAAGGCUAAGUCAGAACCCCAGAAAACUCCUAGAAGACCAUACAAGAGAACAAGGAAAACGAGAAGCCCUUGCCUUUGGUGCUGAGAUAGGGCAAUAAAGGCUCCAUCUAGGAAAUAAAUAAUAUAAAGCAACCCAAUUAAAAGUGGCCAAUGACCUUAGCAGACCCCUUGCCAGGAAAGAUGCACAUAUGGCCAACAAGCAUAUGAAAAGAUUUCCCAGGAGGCUGAUUGCACUGUUGCGUGCAUGUGUGAAUACGGCAUAAUUGUACAAGUACAAUGCACCAAUCAAUUAAAAAGAUUUCCCACAUUCUACGUCAUUAGGGAAAUGCAAAUUAAAACCCCAGGGUGCCCCUGUACUCCUAUGAGAAUGGCCAGAAUACAGAACACUGACAGUGCCGAUCGAUGCUCGUGACAAUGUAGAGGGAUGGGAAUUCAUUUUCUGUUGGUGGGAAGGCAAAAUGGUACCACCACUUGCGAAGACAGUUUGGCAGGGUUUUUUUUUUUUCUUGAUUUUAUUAUUUAUUUAUCCAUUUAUCUAUUUAUUUUGCCCAAACCAAGCAUGUCUUACCUUGAGAUAAGAAUAGGUUGUGCUCCUUGGUAUUUGUGCUCCUUGGUAUUGACCCAAGGGAGUUGAAAACUUAGGUGCACACAAGAACUUGCACCUGGAUGUUCACAGCAGCUUCCUUCCUGGUUGUCCAAACUUGGAAGCAACCAGGACGUGCUUCAGUAGGUGGAAGAAGAACCUGCAGUGCUUCCAAACAAGGGACUAUUACCUUGCUGAAAAGAAGUGAGCUGUCCCACCAAGCUUGGAGGAGCCAUAAAACCUAUCAGUAAGUGAAAGCAGCCAGUCUGAAAGGGCUCCAGACUGCCCAUGCCAGGCAGAACUGUGUGUACAUGGUGGCCUCUGGAUGACUCUGGGUGUCCCUACCCUCUAGUGAGGAAUGUUGAGGACGGGGAGGCAGUGGUGAGGAAGGGGACAUAUGGGAAGUCAACCUUAAACUGCCUUUGAAAAACAAAGUCUUAUUAAACAAACAAACAAAAGCCGAGUUCCUGAAGACUGUCUUGUGAAGAGCUUCAGGAGACAGCAGUGCAUUGCUCUUCUCCAGUGAAGAAGCAAACUGAUUGGACCCUCUUUAUUGCUGGGACUGAGAAGGACAGUUCACCAGGAGAACUGCCCAUCUGAGGCAGUAUAGACACCACAUCGCUUGGCUGAGACCAGAGGAGUUUACCAUUGCACACCAUGGUCCCCAGUUCAUGGUGGAAGUGGAAAGGGGUUGUCAUGGGCCAAACCACCUAGCAACCCUGACUUCCUUAAUGGUAGGCUGUCUCAUUUUCCCCAGGUGCUGUCUUGGCUGAGGGUGGGGCGGUUCUCAGGGAUUGCAAUUGACCUUUCUCACUUUCUUGUGCUGAGACCAGGAAACCAAAGUGUUUGUUCUGGCAACUUCUGAAGUGCCUCCAUCUCAAGUUUAUAUCCAGGCACUGGGUAAAAAUGUCAGCCUGAUGGUGUGCAAACAUAUGUGUGCACUGUGAGGCAGACAGGGCCGUUUUAAUUGGGGGUUUGUGACAGUGUUUGGGUGCCCUGGAAAAGGCAGAGCUCAGGCCCAGUACCCAGCAGUCUCUAAGGCCUGGGUGUUCCCUGCCCCAUUCCCCAGCAACUCUUGUCCUGAAGAAUGCUGCUGCACAUGGUAAGGUUGUUUCAGGACCCUGUAGGACCUCGCAGGACCCAGCCCUUCAGUUGUGGGCUCUUAUCAGUGGAUGGCUGAGACCUUGAAUCUGGACAAGGACCAAUCCCGUGGAGGGAUUGGUGCUGGCCUCUGGGGUAUCCAUAUCACAUGUCCUCCUGUUUUAGGGGCACCCUGCUCCAGGCAGGACCUGCAUGUGCUUUCUGGGGCAGAGAAAAGAAAUUGGUUUUGUGGCCUCACAGUCUUUGUAGUGUCACUCACCUCUUGGGAGCUGGAAAACAGCUGUGGGUUGUAAGAAAAUGAGUGGCCGUGCCUGGGUUUCCAGUGAAACUUGAAUUACAGAAGCAAGCAGUGGGUGGGCUUGGUCUCAAACCCCUGGGUUAGAUACAAAACCCAGAAGCACGCUUCCUCUUUGAGAAAUGGUCGGAUUUUUCUGAGUACUGUGAUCAUGGGAGUGGAGCUCUGUUGCCACCUAGUGACAAUAAUUUUACACAUUCAAGUCUCAUCCUUUUCAAGGUUUGGAAGUUCCGGGGAAGGGAGCAACACACAGAAUGGAAGUGCUCUUUUCUGAACUUGCCAGCACUGCCUAGAUGCAUAGCCGGCCCUAUUGCAGGUUGGGGCUGCAGUCAGAGGGAGCCUCCCAGCACACAGGGUGCUGACGUUGGCCAUGCCCUGCAUCCUGUGGGCCCCAUCUAGAGAGAUCCUCCUUGUCCUCGGCCAGCAGCUCCGGUUUGAGAGCUGACAGAUAACCUCAAGCAGCAACCUUUCUGCAAACAAGCAUCAUGAGCUUCCUGUGCCGCUCCCACCCCUGGCUCCUCUCCUCGCUGCCUUGCAGGGCCAGUGGCCGAGUUGCAGCUUCCUCCUUCAGGCAGCACCUUGGGGGGGGUCCUCCAAGUUCCACAAGUGGCUAUUGUGAAUUGCACUGCAAUCGGGCACAUUCAGGGGGCACUGAGAAUGAGGUAGAGAGGUGACCCCAGGAGGGUCUGCUCCCUGGUUAGUCUGUCCACCCAGAAUUCCUGUCCCCUGAUCUCCCACCACUCUCCUGCCUCCCUUCCCAAGAACUAACCCCAAAGUCCUAUGCUUAAGGAAGUCCAUUCCACAUGCAAAAUCUGGAAGAAAAGUUUGUCUAGAAUAGAGCUUUGUUCUCUCUUACUUGGAAAUUGUUUCAUGGCGCCCUUCAAUGUUUGUCUCUCUCACACAGUCAUUCUCACAAAUUGUCUUUGAGACCAGCUGCUCUUUUUCAACCCUUUCUAGACGCAGGAAAAUCAGAGAAGGGUCCGGCCUAUGCACACAUCCUUCUCACGCUGAAGCCACCGGUCCCUCCCAGCAUCAUGUGGCCAACCCUGAGCUCUGCCUCUGUGCACCUUCCCUUGCUCUGCGCUCCAAGUCUUAUCUGAGGCCUUCUCCAAUUCUGUUCAUUUUUUAAAAAGUGUCCUGGCUAAAGCUGGACACAUUCCCCCAAGGAGCUGUUAAUCAAUCACAGCAAGAACUGUCCUCUUCUUUAAAUGACUUAAAAUAAUUUCUUUUAAAUGGUCCCUUAAAAUUUGUAUGCUGACUAAGCAGAUGACAGAUUUUACAGGGAGAAAAAAGUACCAACCUAAAGAAGCCUAUAAAAAAUCAUGGAGAUAAUAUGGUAUUUAGGAUGUUUCCACCGGCAUAUGGUCCUUGCCCACAGGACAGAGCAAGGACUACAAGGGUAGGGACCCCACAUGUGGGCCAGAGCAAGGACUGAGAAGCAUGGGGACCCCACUUGCAGGACAGGUGAGGACAGAGAGGCCCUGUACCCUGCCCUCAAGAUGGAGGGUAGGGAGUGGCCUUUGAGGGGAAGCCCAUGCUCUUGAACCUCUGUGCCACUCGGCUUCUACACUGCAGAGGGCUCUGUCCUAGAGAGCUGGUCAGAUAUUGAGACAUCUUUUCAGAUACCUCGGAGCACUAGCAAGAGCACCAGGGUCUCUGUGGGCUUUGGGCAGGAAGGGGACCCUGGGAAGGAAGCAGGCCAGAGCUGGCAUGGCCCUGUGUGCCUGCCCCACGUUGCAGCCAUGAACUUCUACUUUGGCAGGUUUCUGGUGAGGGAAACGGGGAGUGUGGCUUAGGGUCAGUCUAGAUGGGAGUUAGGGGGUCCCCCAUAAAGAUGUAUGGAAGUAAAGGCCUUCCCUGUGACAGCUCUUGCCACUUGCUGACAUUGUGGCCAGGGCUCACGGGCUUGGUAUGUUCAUGUGUGUUCAUAGCACACAUAGCAUAAUUUGGUCAAUUUCAUUCCGCAGUUCCUCCCUUUUCGUGUCGCUCCUCUGUCCCCCUCAACCCCUUUCCUCUCUUCUUGAGCUCCCUCCCUUUCCCCCCCUUAUUUGUUCUAGCUUCUGCAUAUGAGAGAAAACAUUUGACCUUUGACUUUCCGAAUUGGCUUAUUUCACUUGGCAUAAUAUUCAGAUACCUUGGAGCAUUUACCAGUUACCCCAUAAUUUUAUUCUUCCUUAUGGCUAAGUAAAACUCCAUUUUGGUGUAAAAGACAUCCCAUGUUCAUGGACUGUAAGAAUUAAUGUCUUUUAUUUGUGUUUUAUGGUUCAGUGUACAGAUCUUUCACUUCCUUGUUAAAUUUAUUGCUGAGUAUUUUGUUAUUUUUGUAGCCUUUGUAAAUAGGGUUGUUGUAUCAAUUUCUUUUUCAGAAAGCUUGUUAUUAGGGUAGAGAAACACGACUGAUUUUUGGAGAGUUUAAGCCUCUAUUCUCACUGGCCUAUGUUGAAGCACCCCAGUUGCUCCCAUGACUGAGCAUGUCCUGUGUUUCCAUUGGAGCCAAACUCUGAAGAGGCCCUCUCCCACUGCUGUAUCAGUAGGUCCACGUGUGGGGCUGCCAGGCCCCACUUGCCUAGCAGUAACGAGGAACCCCUCUGCCUGUGUUCUGCCGAGGCCAAAUGACAACCCGGACUUUUACCCAACAGCAGCAAUGGAGCACCACACCUCUAUCCAUCCUGCUUCCCUGCUGGAAUGGGUGUGGGCUGAAAAAACAUGGAAUCUAAAUAAAAUCAGAGUCUUAUAAUAUCAGAAUGUCCAGGUUUCAGUUGAAAGUCAUGUAACAUUAUGAACCAGGAAAGCCUCAACUGGAUGCCAAAGGAAAUCAACAGACACCCACACAAGAUGACACCUAAAUUAAAACUAUCUCAUGUCCUUUAAAGAAGCUAUAGCAAAAGUGUAUCAAUAAGCAAUUACAAAUACACUGGAAACAAAUGAGAAAAUUAUAAGUCUCAAUAAAGUAUUAGAAAGUGUAGGGAGGCUUUGUAAUGUUUUGAACAACUAAUAAAAAAAAAAGAAAGAAAGUGUAGGGAGGAACCAAAUCAAAAUUUUAGGACUGAAGAAUAUAAAAAUUUACAUAUAAAACUCAAAUUGUAUACUUUAAGUGUGUGUAGUUUUAUGUACAUCAUCAACCUCAAUUAGACUAUCAAAAAACAAAACUCAGAGGGGUCUCAGAGAAGUCCAGUGGUAUAGGAGGCCUAAAGAAAGACCCAGAACAUUUAGAAAGAAAGAAAAAGGGAAGAUUACCAAAUCCAUGCCAACUCCCCUCAAAAGAAAGGAGACUUGGAACCAAUCUGGGUAGGCUGAGAAUUCACACUGCUCAUGUCUCAGGUGCCCAGUGGCACUCCAGCCCCAUGACUGACAAGGGCAUGAUGUAUUCCCCACUUGCUGUGUGAACUAUGUUCUUGUCCAUGUUGUCUUCAGCCUCUUCCCAAGCUGAUGCUGCAACCUGUUUCUGGGACACUGGCAUUGCUGCACAGGGGACCGAGACCCUGGGCAAUUCUCCACAGUCUGGACCCAGUUUCUCCCAGGAGAGAUGCCACGCUCUUCUCAAAAAUAACCACAUGAGCCUGAUAUUUCAGAGAAAACAGCAGAGGGUUGCCAGUAACAACCAUUAAACUUUCAAAGCAAAAAUUAGAAUUUUGGAGCAUUUCCAUUUGCUUCUGUUCACGACCGUGGGAGCAGCCUCUGAGAUGCCCACCUAGCCUGGUGGUGCCUCCAUAGACAGCCCAGGUGCACCACGCCUCUGCUUCUAACCUGGAAGCCCUGAUAUCUGCAGCCCAGGACACCCACCCCUUGUUGGUUACACAGCACAUGUCCAAGCAGGGAAGAUAGUUCCCCUCACAUUCUGCAGAUGGGAAGAUGGAGAUCCAGCUCGGCUCUGCAGUGUUCCACAGGUGGGACCAUCUACUACAGUCUUGCUAGUCUGUGGUAAUGGGUGACAACUUCAGCUCCCACCUGCCUGCCAUGGAGUGGCCCUCCUCUCCUGCUGUUGUCCCUAGCCAUGCCCCGCCAGUUCAGCAUCACCUCCAUACUCCAAGAGGUGGCUUCUCUUGGUGAGUGGGAGACUGCAGCCCCAGGCACUGUCCUGUGUUCUGGGGGAUGAGAGGCAGUCUUUCCCUGACCCUUUCUAAGGCGUGUGUACAUGUGGAACCUUGACUCACAUUCCAAGGUUCUCUUCCCUGGUUCAGAACAGUCCUGGGCCAGGGCAGUGGUGAUGUCACAGCAUCUGUGCAGAUGUUCACCAAGGGGACCAAUUACUUCCAGACCCUGCAGGUUUAAGCCCUACAAGGUUCUGUGUCUGCACAGAGCCUGCCUUUCCUGCGGAGCCCAGGUCCUCUCUGAGCCAUGAGGCUCCCCACAGCUGAGCACCCCUCCAUGGAAAGCUCUUGAUGAAGCCCUCUGUAAUGCCACCAAGUAGCUUGUCACUGUACAUAAAGAUGAGACCCCAGCAUGACCAAUAGCAAGUUCAUUUAGAGAACAGUCAAUGAGAGGGACAGGUUAGGCUUGCAGAGGGUGAGGACACUGAAGCCUGGACUGGUGGCACACAGGGAUCACAGACCCCAGACAUGUCUGUGAGUGUCAUGUGUGUGUAUGAGUGCAUGCACGCAUGUGUGUGUGCACACGUGUUCUCAGUGCAGCCUGGGAGAGGGUCCUUGAGGUCUGAGCAGCCCCUCUGUUAGAAGCAGCAAGACUGCAGCCCAGGACACCCACCCCUUGUUGGUUACACAGCACAUCUUAAAUGCAAGAAUAUGACCAGCGGUGCUGGGGAGUGUGGUGUGAUGACAACAAGCUAAACCGGUGCUGGACAGGCUUCUCUGUGAGGCUCCCUGCAGGAGAGGAACUAGAAAGAAGCAGUCGCCACUGCUGCUGGCCCUGUUGUAUAUAAAAAGCAGCCCUGUGCCUCUGCCCUUCUCUUCUGGGCCCCGGCAGUGCCCAGCACAGCAGCAGACUAUCCAUACACCCUGCCCUGACAGGGCAGCUCCUCCUCCCACCCCUUCUAGAGCAGCCCCAGCUCUCUUAGCAAAUGUCUCUGGGCUCAUUCUGCCCUCCCCACUGUCUUUUCCCUUUCUCUUGGCCUCAUGAAAAGGCCUCCUGACUUGCCUCCCUGUGUCUGGGCUACCCUGAGGGACUGACCACAUGCUCACCAUGGUGUCCAGCCAUACUCUGAGGCAUGCUGGGUCACAGCAGAACCUCCAUGGGGUCCCACGGCAGCCUACUAUUUAAUAGUUCCCCCUCACUGAUGCUGAGGCCCAGGAGCUAGGAGCUACAUCAGCCUGACCCCUCUACCACUGGGUUGGCCAUCACGUUAAGUGUCCCGGGCCUCAUCCUGUGUGUCCCCACCUCAGGCCUCUAGAAUCAGUUGUUGACCUAAAAGGACUGUUCUUGUCCCAAUUGGGGAGAAGUGAUAAGAGCCCACAACCUAGCACCAGGGUUGCUUAUCACAAUUGGUUUGCCACUUCUUUUUCAUAACUUUAGUACCUAGAACUAAGGAAUUUUUGUAUAUUUAAAAGAAGGGAAAAUCAUGAAAUUUCAUAUUUAAGAUUGCGUGAUUUUUACUUAAAAUACUUUAAUGCUUGUUUCUCUGUUCUCUCAUCAUUACUAUGAUUAUUUACUUUUUCCUAAAUCUGAGAGUUUAAAAAAUAAUACCCAUAUUAUUGUUAUCAAUAAAUAAAUAAAUUAAGAUUGACCUGUUUCCUUGCACCUCUUUCUAUCCCUGUAACGUACCCCAAGGGUGUCCGUGGGACUCCUACGCUUGAGCUCGAGUCUCACAAGCCUUCUCUCUGUGAGGUGCAGCACUGACUCGGCGUGUAUUUAGUUCUCAGGGUUUUCCCCUAGCUUUUAGGGACAUAGAACAAUUCUUGUUUUCAAUUGUGUGAACACUGACUGCAUGAUCAUAGUCAAACUCACUCAUGGCCCAUUAAGAGGAGCCUGCUUGUGACCUUCCCACCACUCAACUCUGCCGCUCCUUGUUAAGUAACUUACAUUUAAAAUCUUCCCUUUAUUUCCCUUUGAAAAGAUAAACAGAUAUGGAUAUAUUGAGUUCCUCAACUUAGUAAGCUUUUCUCUCUCGCUCUCGUUGUUGUUGUUCAUUUUUCUCUUUAUCUUUAGCAAAAUUUGUAACCUUUUACUUGACUCAACACUAUUUUCUGUUUAAAUGAUUCACAUGACCCUUCUCUGUCCCUGACAUAACUGUGUCAGCUUCCUAAUGCAAGCAGCAUUAGGACAAGCCCACGCUCCUCCUCCUCCUCCCCAGGCUUCUCUUUUCAUGCCUGUCAGUCUGCUCCACAGCUGUGGACUGACAGCACACUUGUCUUCGUUUCCGUUUCCUCUCCUACCUCUUCUCCCAUCUCAUUGGUUGUAUUAGUUUUAUUUUUAGUGUACUUAAUGUUGGCCUAUGAUUCUAUGGUCCUUAGCGCCGUCAUUUAGCCCUGUUUUAUAGAUAUACCUGGCCCUUGUCGCUAUGGUUUAUGCAAAGCUUUUCCAUUAUCUCUUGGGUCACCAAAACCAUUUUACACCAGGUUCUUCAGAAAGGGCUCAUGAGAAAAAGAUUCCCUGUGUUCCUACGGGUUCAUACCUUUACCUGUGGACUUCACAAUUUACAGUUGAUUUGAUUCACAUUUUUUCUCUCCAGUAUUGGAGGUGGAGCCUUUGGGAGGUGACAAGGUCAUGUGGAUGGAGCCCCUAGGAAGGGAUUAGUGCCUGAUAAAGGGACCCUGGCGCUCCCUCACUUUCCCACCAAGAAACAGCUGUCCUAGUUGGAGACAGCCAGAAGACAGGUCUGCAGCCUGGAAGAGGCUUCACCAGAACCCAGCCAGCCUGGCCCCCAGGCCUCAGACUUUCAGGCUCCAGGACUGUGAGGAAUAAAUUUCUGGAUUUCACAAAUCAUAUCUGUGGGACUUUGUUACAGCAACCUGAACUAAGACAAGUGCUCCUUUGAAGUUCAGAGAAUUUCCUUCUCUUCCUGCUCUUAGCCUUUGCCAUGAAUCGGUUCUGAAUUUGGUCCGAUUUUAUUCAUCAAUUAGAAUGCUCAUACAUGUUUAUGCUUCAGCUUCUUGGCAUGUGGAUUAUUGUGAUUGAUAUGGCAUCAGCCUUGCGUGCCUGAAUGAGUGGGCACAUCUGUCUUUUGCACGUCACUGAACUCAUUUUGUUGAAAUUUAAAAAUUCAUUUGCAAAUGUAUUCAUGAGAGAUUGGUCUGUAGUUUUCUUUUUCUGUGCUUAUGUAUCUCUGGUCUUGGUAUCAGGGCAAUGAAUGUGGUAGCCUUUUAAAAUGAGUUGGCAGAUGAACCCCUCUGUUGUGCUUUCUGUGAAACUUGGUGUUUGUUAUUCAAAUGUUUGGUUGAACUCUCCAGUGAAGCCUCUGGGGACUGGAGGUUUCUAAUUCUAAGCUUUUUAUUACAGAUCCAACUUCCCUAAGUGCUUCAGAGAUCCAUCGAUGUCUUUGGCAGGUCUGUGGGGUCCGGGUGUGCUGCUGGCACUCACGUCCCCUGUGUGUGUGCUGAGGCUUUCUCAAGAAUGUGCUACAAGGGUGCUCAUUGAGGCAUGGGGACGUGCACUUUAGCACCUGUCAAAAGCUCUAACACCCCUGUCAUCUCAGUGCUGGCCUUAGUUCAUUUUCUUUUCAUAUAUUCACAUUGAGAUGAUCCUAGUUUUUAUUAAGUUGUGACUGUUGUCUGUAUCCUAGAAAUUUCGGUAUGUCAUGUGAGAUUCUGUUCUAUCUAAAUCUGUUUUAGACAGCCUUUGCCAAGACCUGGGGGAGGGACACCUUGUUACAAGCAAGCUGGAGUGGAGAUCCAGGACCCCUCCUUCCCCACAGACACCAGGUGGGGAGGGAGCCUGUGUCUGUGUAGAGAGGGGCAGGCUCCCACUGCCCUCUUCUGUCGGGGUGUGUGACCUUUGUAUGGUGUGGGGAAGGGUUUAUCAAAGGAAUUUAUGACUUACUAGCUUCCCCUUUCUUGGUCCUUGACUUAGAGCAGCCUUUUUUUUGGGGGGGGAGGGGGGACUUCUAUUAUUUAUUAAUUAUAUUCUGUGCCAUUUGGCAUUUUUAGGUUGUGAGCUUUUCUGGUGACCCAUCUGCAGCAUGCAGGAGGAAAACAGCAAAACCGAGAGCAGUAAACCCAUUACUGGAUUAUCCCUGAGGUCCAAGGGCCCCAGCCAGCCCACUGCUGGUCUCCCCAUUUUAGGACUUCCUUUUCUGCACAGUGUCCAGAGUUGUGGCCAGCAGAAUGGGGAGGUCAGGCAGUGUUGUCUUUCAGUUUGUUUCGUCCUCUUCCUCUUGGUGACCUCUGUCCUUGUGCUGCCUGGUUGCUUUCCUUGGCCAAACUCAUCAGAGGGCUGUGUGCUACCUAGACUUCACUUUAACUCGUUCUGUCCCUCAUCCCAAUUGCAGAACACCUGUGAAAACUUAAACAGAGUGUUAUAUGUACUCAUAUAACAAUUAUAUGUAUUAGUAGAAUUAUAUAUGUUCUGAUUUUUCAACCUGUUUUAAUACCCUGUGUCAAUUUGUUUGAAAUAUUUGCAGAACUGAAUAAACAUGGGACUUUUUCUUUCUUUCUUUCUUUCUUCUUCUUCUUUUUUUUUUUUUUUUUGGUGGUGCUAGCAAUUGAACCCAGAGUCUUAUGCAUGUGAGGCAAGCACUCUACCAACUGGGCUGUGUCCCCAACCCUAAACGUGGGACUUUAAUAACCAACUCCGAUCUUCUCCAUUGAUAUUUUUUUUUCCUUUGCUUUUCUGUUACUUUUCUACUUUCUGUUGACACUGAACUCCCUGUUGGAUUUUUUUUACUGUCAUUAAUAUUCUGCUACUAUUUGUUCCUAAUACAGACAUUUAAAGCUAUAAACUUUCCUGUAAAGUUGUAUUGUAAGGUUGUAUUUGCCUAUUACUUAUUUUCCAUUUUAUUUAUUUGUUUGUUUAUUUAUUUAUUUAUUUUUUGGUACUAGGGAUUGAACCCAGAGGCACUCAACCACUGAGCUACAUCCCCAGCCCUUUUUAUUUUUUAUUUUAAGGCCCUAAGUUUCUUAGGGCCUUACUAAGUUGUUGAGGCUGGCUUUAAACUUGUGAUCCUCCUGCCUCAGCCUCCCAAGACACUGGGAUUACAAGCAUGUACCACUGUACCUGGCCCUACUGCUGAUUUGGGCAUGCAAUAAUUGUGUUGUUGAGAUCUGUUUUCCAACUUCAUUACUUUCUUCCAUCCAUUUCCUAUUUAGAAACACUGUUAAAAUAUAUAUCCCCAAAAUUAUGAAGUUGUCUUUUCUAGAGAUAUUUAAUUUAAUUUCCUAGUAGGCAGAAAGCAUAGUCUGUUGAUCCAUGUCUUUAAAAUUUGUUGAAACUGGAUUGUGAGCUAAAGAAUUGUCCAUUUUUAGUUUGUUUCUGGGAGUUUAAGGAGAUUGUGUAGCUUUUGAUUGUAGGGAAGAGACUGUGUGACACACAUUACCAUGUUUGGUGUUGUUCUUAUAUUCUGUAUUGCCAUUACCUUGGGGGCUACACCUCUGUGGACUGCAGUUGAGAGACGUGUGUAAACAUCUCCCGUCGGAUGGAUGAAGGCUGGUUUGUCUCAUCACACACAGUCGCAGUCUCCUGACUGCACUGUGGCCACUGUCCCUUCAUUCUCCUGCAUGCCCCUAGUUGUGUGCCUCCUCACCACACAUGCACAAUCAGUGCCCGUCAUCCCAGAGCUCCCCUCUGACCUCUUGUCCUUCCCUUUGCACCUCAGCCUGUACCUGCGCCAGCACCAGAAAGCACAUAUCUACAUACCAUAAUACAGCAUGGCUCUUCUGAAACCCUCUUUUUUAAAAAGUUUUUUAAGAAGCUGUCAGUGAACCUUUUAUUUAUUUAUAUGUGGUGCUGAGAAUUGAACCCAGUGCCUUACUCAUGCCAGGCAAGUGCUCUGCCACUGAGCCCCAGCCCCAGCCCUUCUGAAACCCUCUUGCAGCUCUGCUUCUUACGGAUUGCGCUGCCCCCAUUCUGAGGCUUGCACAAACACAUAUCCAGUUUGGCUUCUUAUCUCCGUCUAGCUGCAGCUCCACUGCUCCCUAGGGUCACCCUCCUGCCAUAUGCCCUCAGUACCCAGGUGCACCCUCGCCAGGGCCUGUGAGCCAGUAGUUGAGUUGUGUUUAUCUCCCUCCCUUGGCUUUUCUGGUCUUACUUCCUGGGGUUUCUGUCUCAAAUUGCAGCCCACCUACAGUCGCCUCAGUGUGCACAUGACCAUGCUAUUUCAGUUGGGCUGGCCUGUCCCUCUGAAAUGGAGGGAUACUGCUGCAUGUAGUAAAGGCUUAGCCCUCUCAAGUGCCCCCACUUCAGGGAAGCCUUGUGCUUGAUUAUGUUGACCAUUGACACUUUGUCAGAGCCCUGAGAGCAUCCCAGACCUAAGGACUCUCUAUAAUUUGGAUGGUUGGGCUGGGGGUGCCCUGCCUGCCAGACCCCUUCAUGUGGCCCCAUGUGUGCCCAACUUGGAAUGAAGGGACCCCCGGGUACAUUCUCUGCCACUCCCUCCAUCAGUAUUGCAGGGUCCCCACCAGGAGAGCCUUCAGCUUGGCUGGAGAGCUCCAUGUGGCAAGAAUAAGGAGAUGGUGAUUAAUCUGGACUCCUCUGCACCUUGGUCUGCUCUGUCCACUUGCACAGUUUGGCUUCUUACCUCCGUCUAGAUUUGUUCCUCUGCAUUUGUAGAAAAUUAGUCCCAGGACCCACAGAUACCAAAUCCACACGUGCCUGUGUCACUUGAGCAACACAGCUCAGCAUUUGCAUAGAAUCUGCUUACAGCCUCGCAUACACUUUACGUGUCUCAGGGUUACUUAUGGCACAAGUGCAGCAUAGACACCAUGUGGAUAGUUAGUUGUUACACAGUAUUGCUUAGAGGAAGAAAGGCUGUCUGUGCCCAGUAUAAAGAUAGUGUCUCUUCUGAAUAUUUUUCACCUAUGGUCAUGAGCUGUGGGUUCAGGACUGGCAGGCACAGAGUCCUGGCUAAAUACCACCUUCUGUGGGCCCGAGCCCCUGCUGCUAUUCCUUAACCUUUCUCCCUGCUGCCAGCUUGGAGGUACUGCUGUCUCCCACCUCUUCCCCAUGCCAUGGUCCGUGAGCUUCUCUGCUCCCCUUUCUUUCCUGUUCAUCCACCUCUGCUUCCCAUAUUGUAUUUGCUUUUAAGAACAGCUCUCCCCAAAAUCUUUCUAUUAUCACCCCAGUUUUUAUUUCAGCCUUUGAUCCACAAAGGAUUUUUCUUAUUUCUGCCAAACUUGUUUCUUGUUUCAGGUGUUUCUUGGUUUGCAGAAGCUUGUCUUUUAGCAGACUUCUCACAAAGCCCAUGACCAUGGCAUUGGCAUUGCUUAUGAUUUUGAAUAUCUAAAGCUCUGGCUUUGAAGGCCUGUCUGACUGAGAGGAGGCCCUGCGGCCAUGCUGUCUUCAGGGAUUUGUGAAGGCAUGGCCCCUCUGGCCUGUGGAGUCGGAGUCCUUGCCUAAGCCGAGUGCGCUGCUCCUCUGCCUGCACUCCGUGCUAGAGAACCCUCUCUCUGUCUCACUGGUCUCCGUACCUGUCUGGAGGCCACCACCAUGGGCCACUUUGCACAGGUGUGGGAUAAACCUUCUCACUGUGAGUCUUUUCCCCUAAGACUUUGGUAAGAGUUGAUGUAAGUGUUGGCUCUCCUUCACGGCUUUCACUUCUUGCCUGGUGCUCUGUACUGACCACUUCUCUUUGAUGGCUGCUACCUGCUCUGCCUCAUUUUCUCUGGAUGGCUUCCAGUGCUCCCUGUACAGUCAAUUGAACGGUUUCCCUUUGGGCCCUAUAACAGUCUUUAUUUACAGGCCUUGUCCGUUUCUUCAGUUCUGCUUAGAUUUUGUUUAGCAGCUCCCACUUUUGUCUGCCUUAGCGCUCCAUUUGCAUUUUACAGUGUUGUAGGUCUUUGCUCUAGUGAUCUCACAUCUGCUUCUGCCUCCGUCCUGGAAUGCUAUUUGGCGUUCCCCACCUUGCCGUGGGGUUCUGUCAUUGCUGAUGGGGUUCACUUUGAGGCAAUCCUGUGCCACAAAGGAUUUUCUGUGCCUAUUUUCUCUCUUUUAAAAGCACACAGUUUCCUGCACCAGCUGUAGCAGGGAAGGGUGGGUUGAGGGAUGAGGCUUGGGCUUACUUGUUCUUUUCUUUUCUUUCUUUCUUUCUUUCUUUCUUUCUUAAUACUUAGUUUUUAGUUGUAGUUGGACACAAUACCUUUAUUUUGUUCAUUUAUUUUUAUGUGGUGCUGAGAAUUGAACCCAGGGCUUUGCACAUGCCAGGCGAGUGCUCUGCUGCUGAACAACAACCCCAUCCCUCACUGGUUCUUUUCUAGGAUCACCCUUUUCACGCUGGUCAGCAAAUGCAGUAUUUACAUUGUUUUAGAACUGUAUUUUGGAGAUGGGAUUUAAUCAGUGUGCCUUCUGAUGCCUCAGUGCUCCUUUGUUUUGUGGGAAGCUCAAGUCCGUUCUUCCUGAACCCUUCUCUUUUCCACCCCAGCUCCCACUUCUCUUCCUGCUCUGAAGCACUUGUCCCAAGACCGUCACCUCAGUGUCACACCCUUCUGUGCCCUUCCUGUGGAUUUCCUGCAGUCGGUGUGUUGACCCCUGAGGUCAACUGCUCCAUUUUUGUGCUUCUGGGUGGAACCUCACUUCUUGGGGUGUGGAUCAGUGUGUUCUGCUGCUGUGACCUGGUAGGGCUUGCUCCUUUCCACUGUGGUUUUGCCAUUGGCAGAGCACACAGGGAUCUGGCCGUUUAACUCUGGGGUCUUCCAGGUACAGAAUUGGUGUGUCCUUUCUCUUGCCUCAUAUUUUAUUGACAAGUGAAUUCUCAGUUCUUCUGGUGAGAAAACCAUCCUGGCUACAGAAUUCUGAGGCCAUUGGACAAGGGACGGAAGGCCCCCUGUGCAGCCUGUUGCUGCACUCACCCCAGCUUUUGACACUUCUUCAUCUCUAAAACGUUCAUUGUCGUGAGUUCGGGGCCUGAGUGUGCCACCUGAGAGAAGGGGCCUCCAGGCCCUCCGCUAGUGACAGAGAGGGCCAAGGACUGCAAGUCCUGAGGCUCCCCAGCCAGGCUCCCUUGGUGCUCCUGCUCAUGCAGACCAGUGGUGGUCCCCGGGCCUCUCCUCGUGGGCUCGGGUCCCAGCUUCCUUUGUCGUCCCACCUGCUCACUGCUGGUUCACCCUCUCCCGGCUGCCAGUCUGUUGGCCACCCGGUUGUUCUCCUCUCCCAGCUGCUGAGCUCCUGAGGUGUGUGCCUCUUUGUCGGGAUCGUUUCCCUGUUCUCUGUAGGGAGGAGACGCACGCCUGUUAAAUCUGAGACUUUUAACAGGAGGUGUCUUGCAUUGUUUUCUCUUUUUUCCUUAACUUUUGAGUAUUACCUUGCAUGUUUUUUUUAAAAAUUUUUUAAUUGAGAUGUAGUUCAUGUGCCAUAAGUCCACUCUCUUAAAGUGUGCAUCAGUGGCUUUGGUAUGUCCCACACGCGGAGCUCAGGGCCCAGCUCUACAGCUGUGGUCUCCCACCCUCUAGCCAGUGGCACUCCCAGCCCUCUGCUGCACCAGUGCGGCAGCCUUCCCUGGUGAGGGAGGAGGGAGAGGGGUUUUCCUUCAGCCUCAUCCCUCAUGGGAUCUUCUUGCAUUGGGGUUUUUUUGUUUGUUUUCUGCACUUGAAAGCUCCUGCUGUGGUGGGAUGUGACAUACUAGGGAAACCACUUCAGGGAGAACCAUUGAUGGCUGCCAUGUGGCUCACAAGAAAGGCCCUGUCGUUCAGCAUGGGCUCUGAUUACCACUGCUCACAGUUCCAGGUGCUGGACACUGUAGUCAGUGUGCCUUUAGGAUGCCCACGGCAGUGGUCUGUGGGGACCAUAAGUAUGCGCCUGUGGAGCAGAUGACCAAAUGCAGCAAGGAGGAUGCUGUUCUGAAGUGAGUGCUUGUGGCUGGGAAUCCAGUUUCCAGUGUUGGCAGCAAACCUGAAUUCUAAAAGCACAAAAGUCAAAGUAUAAACUGAGUUGACAAUGAGACGCUGUGCAGAAGCACUAGGUUGUGCCGAGGGUGACUCCCGAGGGCAGAGUUGCAGGCUGGGGUUGGAGAGAUUGAAGGGAAUUAUCUCACUGGCUGUGAAAGUGGGACGCAGCGAUGUACUUAAAUUAAUUUUCAUUUACUAACUGUCAUUUCAAAGUCAGGGUGUACACAGAUAAAACCCCUAACAUAAGUAGAACAUUUAUAUGAUCUGUCAAAAUAUUUCUCCUGGGUCACCCACUGUGAGGUGGACGCCACCCAGUACAGCACUGCUACUUGGGCUACACCAGGCAGCAUUCUUGGGGCCAGCUCUGCUGACACACGUCUCCUCGCACAGGUCUCGGACUCGAAUGCUUCAGAGAUGGGCACUGUUGUGUCGAAUGGAAGAAAUGAUUACCAAAGCCUGUCCUAAGGACAGGACCAGGCACUGGAGCUCACGUGCUCCUGUUUGUCUUUCAGGUAGGC
rnacentral:lncRNA from 1 species